AAGUAAAACCUUUAUGACUAGUUUGGUGAUGGUUGUUUGAUCCUGCUGGAAAAAGACAGAAACUUUUCGCUCACGAAAUUAUUUUUCAUUUUUAUCCAGAAAUAGUUUUUGAGUUGAUCUUUUUGCUGCUGGUUUAUAUGCCUUUUUCCCAAACUGUCGUAAUUGUUCAGAAUUUUUGAGAUACCAGAAGUAUACGAAGUAUACAGUUUGCUACAAACUGGCCUGUUUUUGACAGAUUCUGUUUUUGUUGUGUUGGUUGCUUGUUUUGAUGAAACUAUGGAUAGUAUCGGGGGGGGGGGGACUAGUCAUGGAAAAGUGNNNNNNNNNNNNNNNNNNNNNNNNNNNNNNNNNNNNNNNNNNNNNNNNNNNNNNNNNNNNNNNNNNNNNNNNNNNNNNNNNNNNNNNNNNNNNNNNNNNNNNNNNNNNNNNNNNNNNNNNNNNNNNNNNNNNNNNNNNNNNNNNNNNNNNNNNNNNNNNNNNNNNNNNNNNNNNNNNNNNNNNNNNNNNNNNNNNNNNNNNNNNNNNNNNNNNNNNNNNNNNNNNNNNNNNNNNNNNNNNNNNNNNNNNNNNNNNNNNNNNNNNNNNNNNNNNNNNNAUAGUAUCGGGGGGGGGGUACUAGUCAUGGAAAAGUGAUAAUAUAAAUAGACAUCAAGAUUGCUAAAGUACCUAAAGAGGUGGUAGUUUGUUUUCUUGUGCUAAUGAUAUCACGAGCUUCUAUUUAAGUUUUGUGUUGUGAAGUUUUCAAGUUUUGGGUGAUGUUCUCAUGGACGAUGAGAUAAAGAGUGGAAAGAGAUCAAGCUUGGGGAUGCCCAAGGCAUACCAAGCCAAAUUCAAGGACACCAAAAAGCCUAAGCUUGGGGAUGCCCCAGGAAGGCAUCCCCUCUUUCGUCUUCAAUCCAUCGGUAACAUUACUUGGAGCUAUAUUUUUAUUCACCACAUGAUAUGUGUUUUGCUUGGAGUGUCUUGUAUCGUAGGAGUCUUUUCUUUUUGUUGUGUCACAAUCAUCCUUGCUGCACACCUUUUGAGAGAGACAUGCACUCAUAGUGAUUUUUGCUAGAAUACUCAUUGAGCUUCGCUUAUAUCUUUUGAGUUAGGCAAUUUAGCUCACAUGUGCUUCACUUAGAUCUUUUAGAGCACGGCGGUGUCAUAUUUUGGAGAAAUAAGAAAUCUCGAUCUUCACUUAUAUCUUUUUUAGAGUGAUCUCUCUGAGAAACUUGGUAGUUGGCUUGUGCUAUGAAAGUAGUCCCAAAGGUGAUAGGAAUCCAAAGAGGAUACAAUAAAACUUCCAUCUUCUUGUGCAUUGAUUAGAAAGAGAAGUUUCAUUCCUCUCAAAUAGUUUUGAGACAUGGAUUUGGUAAUAUUAAGAGUUAUGUUAGUAGGGUGUUGUGAAUCUAGAAAUACUUGUGUUGAAGUUAGUGAUUCCCGUAACAUGCACGUAUGGUGAACCGCUAUGUUAGGAAGUCGGAGCAUAAUUGAUCUAUUGAUUGUCAUCCUUUGUGUUGCGGUCGGGAUCGCGCGAUGGUUAACACCUACCAACCCUUCCCCUAGGAGUAUGCGUUUAGCACUUUGUUUCGAUUACUAAUAAAAACUUUCGCAAUAAGUAUGUGAGUUCUUCAUGACUAAUGUGAGUCCAUGGUAUAGAUGCACUUUCACCUUCCACCAUUGCUAGCCUCUAGUGCCGCGCAACUUUCGCCGGUGCACAAACCCACCAUAUGCCUACCUCAAAACAGCCACCAUACCUACCUACUAUGGCAUCUUCAUAGCCAUUCCGAGAUAUAUUGACAUGCAACUCCCACCGUUCCGUCUCAUGACUUGUGCCGUCACUUUCAUAUUGCCAUUGCAUGAUCGUAAGAUAGCUAGCAAGUCAUACGCCAAGCUAGAUCGUUGCACAUUCUGGUACAUUGCCGGAGGCAUUUCCUAUAAGAGUCAUCAUUGUUCUAAGCAUUGAGCUUUGAGUAAAUUAAAGUGUGAUGAUCAUCAUUAUUAGAGCAUUGUCGCAUGUGAGGAAAAAAAAGGGAGGCCAAAGUUGCCCACACAAAAAAAGAAGAAGAGAGAUUUGGAAAGAGGCCAAAGAGCCCAGAAAAAAAAAAGAAACAGAAAAAAAAGAAGAGAGAAAAAGAGAGAAGGGACAAUGCUACUAUCUUUUUCCACACUUGUGCUUCGUAAUAGCACCAUGUUCUUCAUGAUUGAGAGUCUAUCGUUUUGUCACCACCAUAUGCUAGUGGGAAUCUUCAUUAUAUAACUUGGCUUGUAUAUUCCAAUGAUGGGCUUUCUCAAAAUUGCCAUUGGUCUUCGUGAGCAAGCAAGUUGGAUGCACACCCACUAGUUCUCCUUUUGAGCUUUCACAUACUUAUAGCUCUAAGUGCAUCCAUUGCAUGGUAAUCCCUACUCUUUCACAUUGAUAUCUAUUAAUGGGCAUCUCCAUAGCCCUUUGAUACGCCGAGUUGAUGUGACCAUCUCCUCUUUUUUUGUCUCACAACCUCCACCACACUCUAUUCCACCUAUAGUGCUAUAUCCAUGGCUCACGCUCAUGUAUUGCAUGAGAGUUGAAAAAGGUUUGAGAAAGUAAGAGCGCAAAAACAAUUACUUGGCCAAUACCGGGGUUGUGCAUGAUUUAAAUUAGUUGUGUGGGGAUGACGGAGCAUAGUCAGACUAUAUGAUUUUGUAGGGAUAACUUUCUUUUGGCCUUGUUAUUUCGAAAGUUCAUGAUUACCUUGCUAGUUUGCUUUAAGUAUUAUUGUUUAUAUGUCAAUAACAAGAUAUUGUUUUGAAUCUUACGGAUCUGAACAUUCAUGUCACAUGAAAGAAGUUACAAAGGACAAAUAUGCUAGGUAACAUUCCACAUCAAAAAUUCAGUCUUUAUCACUUCCCUACUCGAGGACGAGCAGGACUUAAGGUUGGGGAUGCUUGAUACGUCUCCAACGUAUCUAUAAUUUUUUAUGGUUCCAUGCUAUUAUCUUGUCAAACUUUGGAUGUUUUGUAUGCCUUUUAUAUCUUUUUUUGGGACUAACUUAUUAACUCAGUGCCAAAGUACCAUCAAAUUCGCACAUCAAGCCGUCUCGGCGACUCAAGGGUAGGAUGCGCCAUUCCACCCAGCAGCGGAUCAGAUCAACUCCAGUAAGACCAUUGUUUGUUAAAGAUCGUAACUCGGAUAGCACUGGAAUGAAAUCCGAUUCUUCUUCUUCGGUGAGCUUGUCAGGAAGUUUGAAAUUUGUGGGCAGACGCUCCUUCCUAUAGCCUAGGAGUUUGUUCUCACCCGGAGGAGAAGUGUCCCGGCAGUAAAACCAAGACCCGCCCCAGCCUUUGGGGUGGCUGGGCAUGGCGAGUGAUGAGAAUGGGUUGUCUCUGCGUCGUUGAACAUUAACCCCUCCAAGUUCUAAGCUAGGGCCAUUGGAGAAAUCGGUCUGGCGAUUCAGGUGCAAGAAGUACCAAAACAAAUUGACCGACGGUUCCAUUCGUAGGUAAGCUUCACAGAAUACCUGGAAUUGGCACAUGUUGCUGCUCGAGUUGGGGCCCAGGUCUUGGAGGCGGACGUUCAUGAAGGCCAUAGCAUCUUUGAGGAACUUUGAUCCUGGCGGCUUAAACCCUCGUUCGAGGUGUUCAGCAAAAACAACUAUUUCUCCUUCAGCCGGGUUGGGAAUUUCGUCGCCUAGUCCAGAUCGUCAUCCGAUGACUUCCUUCGGAUCAAGGUUCCCUGUCUUUACGCAAUCCUCGAGGAAGGCAUCGUCAACUUUGGCCGGGAGCCAGUUGGCCUUGAAAACGGUACCCAUAGCUACAGAGAAAAAGGUCAUGGGUAAGUCAACCCGUCAAACACUUGUUGAGUGGCUAAGAGAAUCCAUUAACCCACCAGACACUUGUCGAGUGGCUAAGAGAAUCUAUUAACUGGCCAAUAAGGGACCAGGUUUGGGCACAAGGGCGACUUAAGAAUUUCCUAUUACUCAGAGAAGGUAUCCCACGGCAUCCAAGACGUGCGGUAAAAUGAUGAAGUCUGAAUCUACAAACAGUUUUCCACACAGUAAGCAGUGCAAUGCGGAUCUACGAGCAAGGUAAAAUAACAGAAAAAGGCUUGGAUGAAGCAAAACGGGCUGUGCCUAAAAAUGAAUAUGGCGGAGAUGAUUUGGCCGAAGCUUUUUUGGUUUUUGAAUAGGAAACUAUUUAAUCAAGGAUGCGGUUAACGCUAUUACAUCAGCUAUUACCAUUGACCAAUCAACAUGCAAAGGGAAGCUCGAAGUGUUCUAAGAACAUGGCAUGUGGCGGAUGCCGAAGGAUCAGGAUCUGAUUGCAACUGAUGAAGAUCUGACCUGCUAAUGGCGUCCGGAAGCGACUGUGCGGGUCCGCGGCGAGGACAACGUUCUCGCUAGGUUGAAGAUAUGUCAGACGCAGUGGGCGGCGAUGGAGUCCAUCGAGCGGCGACAGAACUUCAUAGGCGGUGGCGGAGUCCCUCGGGCGGCGGCGGAGUCCCCCGAGCGGCAACAGAUCUCCGCACGCGGCGGCGGAGUCCCUUGGGCGGCGACGGAAUCCUUCGGGCGGUGCAGAAAUCCUUUGGGCAGCGACGGAGUUCUUCGGGUGGUGUCAGAUUUCUUUGUGUGGUCACGAGGAAGAAGAAGUCGAUGGGACGAGUAGGUGAAGAUUCCCUCCGCUCCUGUUCCCGAGCCUAUUUAAUAGGUCGGGUGCAUGGAUCGAGGCGCCUCGCGCGGGAACCAAAAGGGCAAACUAAAGAUUCACACUUAUGGCGCCAAGAUUUUCGGGAUAUUUGCGCCACGAGAUCCGCUGGAGAUUGCGUCAUCAUUUUCCGAGGUUAAAGGGAUAAGGUGAUGUCAUCAAGAAACGGUUCGGCGACUUGGAUAUUUCCAUGGAGGAUGGCGGCUUAAGCAUAUGAUGCAUGAAAGGAGUGGAAUGAGUCGCUCCUAAACUAGGUAAGAGUUUAUUGGCGAGAACAGGUUCAAGUCAAUCUGGGGCCUAAUGUUGGGGAUAUUAUCUGCGGCGUGACCCGCCCUAGUUGGGCCGGGUCACCAAGUGGGUGACUCAUCCUUUGGUGGUUCAAGCUUUGGCCCAGAAGGCCCAGGAGCUGGAUGGCGGUUCAAGAUCCACAUGGAGGAUAAAUUAUCGGGGAGUUCUCCAGUCUUUGAAAGCACGGCGAUUUAGAGAUAGAAAGAAUCACGACUUGUGUUAUGGCAAGGACUCUUGUAAACCCUAAGGCCUCGACCUGUAUAUAAAGGUGAGUUCCUGGAGAGGAGAGGGCAGGUUAGAAAUCAUCGAGAACUAGGUCAGGCGAGUUACUCCCUCCUUGUAAUCGAAACAUCAUCAAUACAAAACAAAGCAGGACGUAGGCUUUUACCUCCUCACGAGGGGCCGAACCUGGGUAAAUCUGAGUCCCGCUCCCGUUCAACCCCUUUGAGUCGCCACCAAGGUGCGAUGGCUCCAUCAUUAAGUCCUUUCACUAGGACAUCUGCCGUGACAAAACCACGACAAUCGUCAAGCGUUUUCUCACAGAAAUUGAGAAGUGGGACGUCGCCACAGGCAGCAUGUUCGACAUCGAACUGCUCAAACUCUGGGUAACCUUGUCUACAGCGAGCCCAAGGCGCUGCUCCUCACGUGAAAAGAAUCCGCCACCAAGAAUGAGGCUACCGGGGGCUCCGGUGACCAGCCGAAAGCGCCACCGUUAGUCCAAGAAGUCGUGCGCCGUGUGCUCGGCGGAAGCGGAAACUCGCGACGAGGCGACCGUACGAGCCGCCCAACAGACGGAUGCAAAACGCCGCCCUCACGGUCCGGACGACAUCAACAUAUCGGUGUAGUGCUUGCCUAUACGAGCCACCCAACAGACGCGCGCAAGACGCCGCUCCCGCAGUCCGUUCUCCAUGAACAUAUCAGUGCAGUGCUUGCCUACAUGAGCCGCUCAAGAGACACGCGCAAGCCGUCGUACCCAUGGUCCAUUAUCCAUUAACAUAUUGGUGCGGUGCUCUCUUAUAUGAGCCGCCCAACAGACGCAUGCAAGCCGCCUGUGCGGCCCGUUUCCCCAACAACAUUGGAGCAAAGGAAAAAAUAACAUUCAUGUCUUACUCAAUGUCAUCAAAACAUGGAGAGCUUGUCAUGAAGGAAACAUCUCUGGUGAAGGCUACAAAUUGAGUCGGCCAUCAUUAAGUCGGCAAAUUCAAAGUAAACAGCAAAGGAAAAACAAAGUGGCCCUCGAGGAACCAUGAGAGUCGGACUACCUGAGAAUCAAGCACGGGUCAAAAAUCCAUCAUCAACUGUCAAAUCUUAUGCCGGUUUAUGCCACAAUCAAGUAUGAAGAAUCUCAAGCCGCCUCCUUGAGUCGACUUAAGACUCGGGGGCUACAUGGACAUGGCUCGGCAGACUCAACUGGGAUGAAUAAUUCAAGAACCCCGGGUCGUUACAGAAAAAUCAAGCCGGUCUCGGGGGCUGAUGCCUCAUUGACAAGAUGAUUUAAAGAUCGCCUAAGAAGACAAGUCGCCAUGAUGCGACCGCCCAAACAUGGGUGCCCGACCUAGCCGUCCAAGCAUGGACGCUAUCAGUAUCAAAGAGCAUAAGUCGUCAUGAUGCACUUAUUUCAAAACUGGAUACUGGUAAGCCAAAGAGGACCAAAGUUGCCACAUUGCACGGUUCAAACAUGGGCGCCUUAUAUGGUUUUGAGGAUUAAGCCGACUUACUUGGGGCUUACUAGCUCCCAAGUCGUUUUGCAGUAAGAGCGUACGCUUCUGCAAUCCUAUGUCUAGCUUUUCCCUAAUCAUAGGUCACUUGGGGGCUUCCACUCACUGAGUUCAGCCUAAAUACCCUCUUGGCUAGCGAAAAAUUAACGCAUUACAAAUGGUUAUACUGGACUGUGUGUUGGGAAAUCGCCCUAUGAUCCCAUGUACUCUUGGCGAGUCAAUCCGCUUUUGGACCCUGAACUUGCCUUGGUUAAAACAUGAAAGGUACUGGCAAGAGCCAACGCAUGGAAAAUAGACAAACCAUUGGUUCACUGAACCUGCUUCACUGAAGCCUGACUCACGCGUGAUCAGCCGGUCUAAAUAAUUCAGGCUAUUGCAAAAGCCUUCUUGGGGUAACACUAGAGUUUUGCAAACUCGUCUUGUCGUGUCGUGACUCAUCGAGCCGACAAAUUUUAUGAUUAUCUUUGUGGCACUGCCAUAAAGUUUUUAUAAAAAGUUUUAUAACUCGCCGAGACUCACUGAGUCGGCCGCCGUGACUCACUGAGCCGGCUUAACCUCUUUUGGGUACCACUAGAGCCUUGAGAGCUCGUCUUACCCGCCGAGACUUACUAAGCGGGCUAUGGUGUAACCAACACUAUUCUGUCAUAUGCAUGCAUCAUAUUGCAUUGCAUCAUGCAUCAUACAUACAUAUCAUGCCGGUCUUCAAACCGGGUCAAAGCAUAAUUUUUUGCAGGAGCAAAUAUAUCUUUGAAUAGCCAAUUGGCUGGAUUUUCAUCAUGGUUUAUCAUAACCAGUGUUAAAUGAUUGAGGUUUUUAAGGCCAUCUCGGAAGAAUUGACUAUUGUCAAAGAGCCGCCCUAUCACAUAUAAUGCCGAGUCAUCUAAUUGACUGACCCUUGGAUUUCUUCAACUCGUGCUCUGUAGUAAACUGCAACACUUAUGGAUUUCUCCGACAUAUGGAUUUCUCAAGGAUAUAUUUGCCGGGUUACAUUGCAACCAUGGUCAAGGAUUUCUUUUAUCACAAAGGCAUCAUCAGCUCACAGAGUGGAUAUGAUUUUAUUCUACAAUGGAAGGAAUAGUCCCAAGUUGUUGCAGGCACACAACCCGGCACUUGAGGGCUACAUUAUUCAGAUCAAGAUUACAUCAAAAUAUGAAAGUCCCAUGUCGCUGCAAGCAUGCGCCAUGACACUUGGGGGCUAAUGCAAUCCGCUUUUCAAAUCAUCACAUCAUCAACAGACCCGGCUACAGGUCGCUUUUUAUUCAAGUAUGGAUUCAAGGAAGAACCGGCUCAUCAUUUUUAUAAUGACCCGGUCCUUGGGAGCUACACAUUGCUGCUCAAGGUUCCAUCAUCAGAUUUACAAAGUCAUUGCUCAUUAUUUCAUAAUGACCCGACCCUUGGGGGCUACACCAUAUGAUGUUUAAUUUUCAAAGGAGAAGCACGUGGAAGUCCCGAGUCACCACAAACAAUCGACCCGUCACUUGGGGGCUACACUAUUCAGAUCAUAAUUUCUAAAGUCCCAGGUUGCCGCAGGCAAGACAACCCGACACUUGGGGGCUACAUCACUAAGUUGUUUCACAGAUCAUGAGGUUCAAAUUGAAGACCCGGCCCAUCACACACUCAUGACCUGGCUGUUGGGGGCUACAUGUAAUAUGGAUAUAUCAAAAAAUUGAAGAGCACAUUUUAUUUCGUCAUGGAGGUGAAGUAUUGGGAGACCGGUUCAACAUCACAUGGAUUUCUUUAUCCCCAAUAAUUCGAUAUAGUCUUGAGUUCAGUUGUUUGACGAGGCAUUACAAAUAAUAAUGACCCGCCAUUAGCAAUCAUGACCCGCCAUUGUCAAACAUAACCCGCCGAAGCAAGAGAAGCUGGUUCAACAUUGUGUAGAUUUCUUAUUCCCCAAAUUUUCAUCAAGCCAAAGCAUUGGAGGCCGACUCAAUUGCAUUUGUAUUUAUUUUGCAAAGGACAUGGACCUGCAAGAUGAUUGUAAAAAUGACUCAUUCAUAUGGAGAAGAGACCGGAUUUCUGAGGAGCCACUUCAUAAACCAGCCAAGGGAGCGAGCCUGUCACUUAGCAUAUUUGCUAUUCUUAUUUCAGGAGCUUACCAUGAAUAAAUUCAAGCUAACCUGGGGGCUAAUGUCGGGGAUAUACCCCGCGGUAUGACCCGGCACACGGUUAUGACUGGGCAGACAGUUAUGACCGGCAGACAAUUAUAACCCGCCAGACAGUCAAGUUCCGGAGAUGAUUCCCUGAAGAUGAAUCUUAAAGAGCAGCCCGGUUGUAAGCUGCCCGGUCAUAAGUCGCCCGGGACUCAGCAUUCCGUUUGUAAGGAGCCCGGUUGUAAGGAGCCCGGUAGUAAGCAGCCCGGUCGUAAGCCUCCUGGGACUCAGCAAUCUGUUUGUAAGCAACCCGGUCGUAAGCAGCCUGGUUGUAAGUCGCUCGGGACUCAGCAAUCCGUUCGUAAGUCGCCCGGACUCAGAAGCCCACGAAGAGAAGCUCGUAAUGGAGAGUCAUAAUAUGCUAAGCCUAAAUCCGGCUUGGACUCUAUAUGUAACUCGCCCCUUCAGCUUAUAUAAGGAGGGGCGAGACACCCCAAGAGGGUUAGGGUUUUUUAGAGGUCUCAAGAGACAGAUUCACAACUUAGGUGUAGACAAGACAGAUCAUGAGAUAGACAGAUUAGACACCCACGAGAUUAGAGGUGCAGAGUCUGCACCCUUGUAAUCGAGAUCAUCAUCUUCAUCAAUGAAACACAAGCAGGACGUAGGCUUUUUCCUCCAUCGAAGGGGCCAAACCUGGGUAAACUCGCGUCUCUCGAUUCCGACCAACCCCUUCAAGCCGCCACAUGGUUGCGAUGGCCUCACACCUAAGUCCUUGUACGAGGAGAUCUGCCGUGACAAAACCACGACACCGUGCUAGGCCAGAAGGAAGCAUCUCCAAGGGCCAUGAAAGAGAGGAGGCCAUUGAGUUUUCUGUUGACUUUAUUCCUGAUAUUAAGACGAUUGUUGUUCCUCAGUCGCGGCAUGAGGGGAGACUGAGUGGAAAAGGCAUGCUAGGACCAAAAUCAAUAAUAUGUAGGUAUGGGCAUUCUUGGAUGCAAACACACUACAUAAUUUUACAAAAUUCUACCUUGGUGGCCCCGUAUAUCAAUGAACACAAGAAUAUUCUAUGCUCCAAAUACCAGGAGCAGUCUGGUGACUCGAUUACACAUGAACAAAUGGGGACUUUCGACGGUUGGCUGCAAACACGUCUCAGGAGUAACAAAUUGUUGGAGAUGACUUGUAGUUGUUGUCCAGGACACCAUCUUCGGCCGUAUUGACUUUCCAAGGGUACGAGAUAAAUGGGAAUACAUUUUACAAAAUCGCCCAAGAUAAAAAGAGAACCAACCAAAACAGUGGUUUCCGCUUUGAUGCAGGAAACACCAAUAGGGCAAAGGACAAAUAUUAUGGUUACAUAGAGGAGAUAUGGGAACUUGACUAUGGGCGUGAUGAUUUUAAGGUCCCUUUAUUUCGGUGCAAAUGGGUAAAUCUGAUAGGAUGCGGGGUACAGGUAGACCCGCAGUAUGAAAUGACAACAGUGGAUCUCAACAAUCUUGGGUACACAGAUUAACCAUUCAUCAUAGCCAAUGAUGUGGCGCGGGUUUUCUAUGUGAAGGUCAUGUCUACCAAACCAAGAAAAAGGAAAAAAUAAGGAAGUGAAUACAUCAUACGAUGAGACAAAGAGCCACAUAGUUCUUUCAGGGAAAAGAAAGAUCCUGGGAGUGGAGGACAAGGCAGACAUGUCAGUAGAUUAUGAAAAGUUUCAUGAAAUUACUCCCUUCAUAGUGAAGAUUUACCUAAGCAUCCUCUUAAAUGAUGAAGAUUAUUCAUGGUUACGACGCAAUAAGAAAAGGGACAAACUGGAGAGAAUCUUAGCUAGUGCAUUUUGGCAUUUGAAACAUGAUUUUAGAAUAAUUAUUUAUUAAAUUAUGAAUUUUCAAUUAUUCCUGUCCUUUUAUUAUUCAAGAUAAGCCGCUUGAGGUACGAAGGAGAUUGUACAGUUUGUACACGAAGUGCAUCCAUUUUUGUUGUAACCCUCUCAACUUUCUAGACGAUGCUAUGUGGGUGAAAUGAUGAUACCAUGCCAAAUUUCAACCUUUUCCGAGUUCAUUUGUAGUGCUUUUCAAUUUCAGGGUCAUUUGACUCAAAAAACCAUUGAAUGCAUGAAAAAUAGCAAAUGAAGUCAGAAAGGGUUGAAAAUUGCUGAUGUGGCUUUGAAUGGUGCAUAUUGAAUGCGCAAAAAGUUUGGAGUAGAAAUAAGCUUAAAAAUGAAAUGCCUUUGUAACAAAUGAGUUUUUGUCCGAAACCAUCAUACUUUGAAAGAGAUUGUCCAGUUCGUACACGACGUUCAUCCAGUUUUUGCCGUAACUCUCUCAACUUUUUAUCACAUGCUAUGUGGGUGAAAUGAUGAUAGCAUGCCAAAUUUCAACCUUUUCAGAGUUCAUUUGUAGUGCUUUUCAAAGUAAUAUGUGGGUGAAAUGAUGAUCCGGAAGAAACAUUUUGACAGCAUUAAUCGCCCCGUGUCAUAUUUUCAAAAACAUAUUGAUAAACCACCACCCAAUGCUAGCCCUUGAAUGCGAAAUGUUGCGGGAAUGGUACCUAUGAAAAAUAUCUCUAUAGAGCUAUUAGUCACUCUUUGAUGAAAACCUAUAUAAUCAAUCAUUGCAUUCAUACAAUCAUUCACUCUAGCAAGCAUUCCAGUAAUCAAAAUACAAUCAAUGAAUAAAGCAAUAAAUAAAACAAUAAGGUUAUUAGGUUAAAAAAAGUAUUUUAUAAUAUUCUUCAAUAGCAAAAAGAAUCAACUAGAAAGCUUUUAUAAAACUCUUGUUAUGAUCAAAAUAUUAUUAACUUAACAUUAUAUAAAAUUUAACCAACUAAAAUUUUCAUGAAGUAUUUUUUCUUAAAAACUUUAAUAGUAAACAUAAUUAAAUGAAAACUAGGCAUGUAUGCAUCUGUUUAAAAGAAAACUAGGCAUGUAUUUUUUUCUCCAACGUAUCGAUAAUUUUUUAUUGUUCCAUGCUAUUAUAUUAUAUGUUUUGGAUGUUUUAUAUGCAUUUAUAUGUUGUUUUAUAUUAUUUUUGGGACUAACCUAUUAAUCUAGAGUCUAGUGCGAGUUUCUGUUUUUCCACAUUUUUGAAUAUUGUAGAUAAAGAAUAUUAAAUGGAGUCCAAAUGGAAUAAAAUCUGCGAAAAGAUUUUUUUCUCGACGAGAAGACACGUAACAUACUUAGGGUAGGGGGCAAGGCAGUUGUCGGGAGGCCACAAGCCUGCAGGGAGCAACGAGAACACUUUUACGCCGCCGGGAAACCCCUGCACGUCUUCUAACCCUAACUCUUGGCCUAUAAAUUCCCAAAUAUUCCAGAAACACUAGAGGGAGCAACGAGAAUGCUUUUACGCCGCCGGGAGCCUCUGUUCCCAAGAGAUCCAAUCUGGAAGCCUUGUCCGGCAAUCUGCUGGAGAGGGAAUUGAUCACGGAGGGCAUCUACAUCAACUCCAUUGCCCCUCUGAUGAUGUGUGAGUAGUUCACCACAGACCUAUGGGUACAUAGCUAGUAGCUAGAUGGCUUCUUCUCUCUCUUUGAUCUUCAAUACGAUGUUCUUCAUGAUCUUCAUGGAGAUCUAUCCGAUGUAAUACUCUUUUGCGGUGUGUUAGUCGAGAUCCGAUGAAUUGUGAGUUUAUGUUCAGAUUAUCCAUGAAUAUUAUUUGAAUCUCUUUUGAAUUCUUAUAUGCAUUAUUUCAUAUCCUUGCAAUUCUCUUUGAAUUAUUUGUUUUGUUUAGCCAACUAGAUUGAUAAUUCUUGCAAUGAGAGAAGUGCUUAGUUUUGGGUUUAAUCUUGCGGUGUCCUCACCCAGUGACAGUAAGGGGUAGCAAGGCACGUAUUGUAUUGUUGCCAUCAAGGGUAAAAAGAUGGGGUUUUCAUCAUAUUGCUUGAGUUUAUCCCUCUACAUCAUAGCAUCUUACUUAAUGUGUUACUCUGUUCUUCAUGAACUUAAUACUCUAGAUGCAGGCAUGAGUCGGUCGAUGUGUGGAGUAAUAGUAGUAGAUGCAGAAUCGUUUCGGUCUACUUGAUACGGACGUGAUGCCUAUAUGCAUAAUCAUUCCCUUGGAUAUCUUCAUAAUUAUUUGCUUUUCUAUCCAUUGCUCAACAGUAAUUUGUUCACCCAUCGUAUUAUUUUCCUUUAUGAGAGAAGCCUCUAGUGAAACCUAUGGCCCCAGGGUCUAUUUUUCAUAUCAUAUUUUCAGAUCUAUAAACCAAAAAUACCAAAAAUACUUUGCUACAAUUUAUUUACUUUAGUUUUACUUUCAGAUCUAUCAAUAUUUAAUACCUAUCUCUAUCAGAUCUCACCCUUGCAAAUAACUCUCAAGGGAUUGACAACCCCUUUAAAGCUUUGGGUGCAAGUUUUUGAUUAUUUGUGUAGGUACUACUAUUGGAGUCUUGUUUGUUACUCCUACUGGAUUGAUACCUUGAUUGUCAACAAACUGAGAGAAAUACUUAUCUACUUGGUUGCAUCACCCUUUCCUCUUCAAGGGAAAAUCAACGCAAGCUCAAGAGGUAGCAAGCGCCGCCCCAAUCCCCUACACUUCAUUAACCCUGAUGCCCUCGGCGCCGUCGCCUCCCACACCGUUGCCGACGCGCCCCCCACGCUAUCCCCGAGCCCUUCCUCGUCGCCGACGCCUCUUCGCUAUGAGUGCCCCCCGAUCCCCUCCUCCCGUCGAGGGAGUUGAAAAUGUUUUGGCAAAACGUGGGUUCAUUUAUGUAUCAUCGAAUUUCUGGCAUUCAGUAUGUCCAUUUUUUACCAAUGGUCUUGUCAAUUUUUCCAUUGAUUUUUUAUUCUAUGCAUGCAACACAAAAUGGAAGAAUGCCCGUAUAGUUUUGACGCAGCUGUAUGUGCGACGAUCCUCACCUUGACUAUAGUAAAUGUUAUUCCAUCACUCUACAAUGUGACUACAACUAUUAUAAUUUUAAGUUUGCUAGCAAAUACAAUUUUCUGUUUUCCUUCAAACUGUAAUUUAUGUUUUAUAUUUGUCAACUAGUGUGUCCCUUGCUAUGCAAGACCUUUUCUCCUAGACAAAUUUUUUGUUAGUGACAUGGAAGAAGUGACUCAGAUGACUACUUACCUCAAGAUGAAAGGUGGUUUCAAUUUCAAAUGUACGAUCUAUAAUUAGGUAGAUCAUACAUAUUCUAGUUGUGCUAAUAGAAAGGAUUGACCAAAGCAUACGGUUUUGAGCCUGUUAUGAAAAUAACAUUUGAUAUUGGCACAUAUUCUGUAAGUGAUGACGACACAUGGGUGAAUUUAGACAUGAUGCCCACCUCCGUGUAAGUUUCUUAGAUAGGCUUGUUAAAUAACACUUAGAUUAUACACCAAAAUAGAUGUUAUUCAACUAGAACUUAUCUUCUUUAUUUAGAAUUGAUAGCUUAUUUUCUAUCUCCAAGAAAUAUAAGGGACAUAGUAGACGACACCUAUUACACUAUCUGCAGUAUGCUUACUUGGCAGGAAAAAUGUUACCUUAUGUUCUUUCUUGCUAACAUUGAGUCCCUUAAGGGCAUUUAUGGGGCUUGUCCGAAUGAUGCACGACACCUGCCACUAGUCCAUACCUUGAACAAAGGCAACAUUUGUGGAAAAUGCAUGGUAAGAGUUUCGACUAUAGCAUGUCUUUCACAUAUUUGCUUUCUUCUUACAGAAGUCAAGUGUCGGUUACUAAAUGUUGCUUAGUAUGUUACUAUUUCGUUCAAGGACAGAAGCUCUCAAGAUGGGUUGUGCCUCCGAUGAUGGAUGACCACGAGGAUGUUAUGGCAAUUAUUUUUGCCCACAAGAUCUAUUUCAGAGGUACAUACUUGAUUACACUAGAUGGGCAUCUUAAAAUAAAUGAAUGGAAGCAACUAGUGAGUGACUGCAACUUGAAGAUUGGGGAUUGGUGGCUCUGCGUACUCCACCAUGGAGAUGCAGGGUUUUUUCUAUACUUCAAGAUUGUUCCUACAGGAGAGGAGUACCGUAUUAGUAGUUACGAUGGUUAAUGUUUGUAUAUAUAUAUAAAUGAUGUGUACCAUAAUAUUAAUUAUAUUUUACGUGUUGUAAUAUCUCAUCGGCAUCAAUUUGGGAUGCAAAUGUGGUUCUCUAUAUAAUGAUACAAAAUUGCGUUGUCGUGGAGGCAUUUUUCGCUGCCAUGGCAGCAUUUUUGCUGCGUUUUGUCAAUUAGUAAUGACGUGUGGAAAAAUGUACGACGUCCGUAAUGAUCUCCCUAGUUUCUAACAUUUGGAAAGAUUGCACGCUAUAUAUAUGUAUGAUAUUGUUGUCAUGGAGAUAUGACCAACGCCAUAGCUACCUGAAAUACUGUUGGCGCUGGCUCCAACGUCACCACAAUUUUUAAUUGAUGCGCCAUAUUGGUAGUAUCGGGUGUCCAUGCCAGUAAGGCCGUUUUUACCACUCCAUAGAGAAGCUUUUCUACACUAGUGUUAAUUUCAAUCCAGUUGAAAGUCACCCUUUACUCGCAAGUAGUCUCGUACUUUGUUCUUCUCCUUGUUGCAAAUCCCUUCUCGAGUCGCAAUUGGGCCUGUAGUAGGUGUUUUUGCACUUGCAAGUUCAUCCCUCGACUCGCAACUGGGCCCAUACGUGUUGUCGACUUACCGUUUUGAAGCCCAUGCCUGGGCUCGCAACAAGGCCCAUAUGUGUUGUAGUCUUCCUCUUUGCAAGCCCACCCCCUCGACUCGCAUCCCUCCCUAUAGUUUUUUCUAACCCAGUUUCAAGUCCAUCCUUCACUCACAAACCGGGCCCGUACUUUUUGCUCUUUCCAAGUUAUAAGUCCCCCUCGAGUCGCAACUAGGGCCCAUAGGGUGUAGUUGUUGUCCCACUUGCAAACCCAUCACUCGACUCGCAAUUCGGGCCCAUGGGUGUUUCCAACUAGGUUCUAAGUUCAUCCUCCUCUCGCAAUUGGGACGUAUCUUUUGUUUUUGUCCCAGUUACCAGUCCUGCUCGAAUAGCAACUCGUCUCAUAGGUAUUCUUUUCUUCCCAAUUUCAAGCCAAUCCCUUGGACUCGCAACUUGGCUCCUAGUUAUUUUCAACCGAGUUGCAAGUCCAUUUUUGACUUGCAAAUGGGCCCAUAUUUUUUAUUCUUGCACCCAUUUCAAGUCCCCCCUUGACUUGUAACUCGACCUGUACUUGCCCUUGUCCUAGUUGCAAGUCCCCCAUCGAUUCGAAAUGGGCCCGUCGUAAGUGUGGUCCGACUUGCAAUGCAUUCCUCGACUCACAACUGGCCCCAUAUGUGUUGGUCUUCCCUGUAGCAAGCCUACCUCUCGAUUUGCAACUUGCCAUGUACUUAUUUCCAAUCCCGUUGCAUGACCAUCGACUAGCAAGUCCACCGAUGUUGGUGUCGUCCUGGUUCCAAGCCCGCCCCUCAAAUCUCCUUUACGCCAUUCACUGCGGCACAAUGUCAUUGUAUCACACAACGGUAGAAGCGAGCAAAUUGCAGAUGGAUCGGCCCAAGUCGCUAUGAUCCAUUUUGCUUGUCUUGUUUUUCUUCAUGGUUUGUCCUUGUUUAUCAGCCUGGGCAUUUGGGUACCCUAACCCGCUACCCGAGCCCGAACUGAACCGAAUUACUUGACAAUUCGGGUAAUUCGGGUAUCGGGUUAGGGUUCGGUUCUCAUUUCCUGGCUAUUCGGUUUUCGGGUUGGGGUUCGGGUUCUAGUCUGAAAAACCCGAAAUACCCAUACUACUCGAAUUAUUCAUACUAGCCAAAUUAUUCAUGCUAUUAUUACACUCACAUGUUACCCAUACUAACUAAAAUAGCGAGACUAUCCAAAAUACCCACACUACCCAAAUUAUUUAUACCAAAAUUUGAUGUGUGCUCCAAAUAUUUUGGGAUCUUUGGGUACCCAAAUUAUCCGAACCAAAAUUUUGGGUAAUUUGAGUUUGGGUACUUUUUUGGCAGAAAAAUUCGGGUUCCCAUUUUGAGUACACAAAUUACCCAUAAACCGAACUAUCCGAACCGAAAUAACCAAAGUACCCGAACGCCCACGUUGACUUGUUUAUCCCUUUUUUCCUUUUUUUUCUUCGCUAGCUUUUCUUUCCUUUUUAAUUUUUUUGUUUUUUAAAAAUAUUAUUUUUUAUUUUCAUUUUAUUAUUAAUCAUUGUUUAGAAAGUGUAUAAUUUGAAAAAAAAAAUCUUUUUCAAAAAGUGCUUGGAUUUUUCAAAAGCAAAUUAAGUUCUUGUUAUUCAAAAAAUAAUUGCAGGUUUAAAAAAUGAUUGUGUUUUAAAAAAAAUACUCAAAUGCUGAAAUAUUUAUUCCAUUUUAAAAAAAUGUUCACAAAUGAUGUCCGUCUGUCAGUAACUCUUAAGCUUUACAUAUACUGGACCAAGGGUGACACCAUGUUAGAUGACCCCUAGUCACAAAAAACAAUUCAAAAACUUAAAAAUUGUUUGUAUUCUCAUAAAUAUCCCUCAUAUUUCAAAAUUCUUCAUAAUUUGCAGAAAAAUUAACUUCUUUUCAAAAAUGUCUACAAAUCUUCACGCUUUACUUUGUUCUUAAGUGUUUCCCGCUUCUAAAACAUCACAAACAUUGAUGUGUUGUAAUGGUAAGAGUUGGUGCUCAGCAGUAUGAGGUCCUAUGUUUGAUUCUUUAGGAGCGCAAUAUGUAUCUCUUUUUGUUGCACUUAAAAAGAAUCCAAAAAACAAAUAUUCCCUCGGUGCCUAAAUAUAAGUCUUUUAGGAGGUUUCAGUAAGGGGACUACAUGCGGAUGUAUAUAAACAUAUUUUAGAGUAUAGAUUCACUUAUUUUGCUUCGUAGGUAAUCUCUAGUAAAAUCUUUAAAAAGACUUAUAUUUAAAAAUGAAGGGAGUAAUAAAAGUUAGAUGUGAGGUAUUAUGUCACGUCUAGAUGAGAUGUGACAUAGUUGGAUCCUUUCCUUUUGGUGGAGUAUUUUGCCCACGGCCUGGAUGCAGGAGGCCCAACCGUGGCUUGAGAGCAGAAAUAAUAAAUCACGGCAUAAUGAGCAUUGUAGUUAGCAAGUCCUUGCCGGUGGUGGUCGUCGGCCCUUGCGCCGGCAUCGUCCAUCUCUCCUCUUUCGACAGGUGCAUGCCUCCCUUCCCAGUCACUCUGCUUCUUGUCUUCAACCAGCCAAUCGAAGACCCCGUCGAGACCAUCAAGAAGGCGCUGUCGCAGGCGCUGAUGCACUAUCCCCCGAUGGCCGGCCGCACCGGCGACGACGGGGAGGGGGAGCUCCACAUCGCUUGCACCGGCGAGGGUGUCUCUUUCGUGGGUGCGUCGGCUAGCUGUGCCCUCGACGACGAGGCCACGAGAUCGGCGCUGCUCCUCAGCGACCUCGCCGUUGGCUACCCCGCCGAAUACUGCCGCCUCAGCGACCCCUUCCUGCUUAUGCAGGUGACCGAGUUCUCCCGCGGCGGGUUCAUCGUCGGCGUGACGUGGAACCACGUCAUGGCCGACGCGGCGGGGAUGGCGCAGUUCCUGCGGGCCGUUGGCGAGCUCGCCCGGGGGAUGCCGGCGCCGGCCGUCGCUCCGGUCAGGUCUGAAAUCGACGGCUCGGUGCCACGACUCCCGCCGCUGAUGGUCGCCGCUGUGAGGUCCCAGAUGCGCAUGGAAACGGAGGAACUCGCGAGCCUCGACGUCACCAUCCCCUCGAGCUUGAUCGGCCGCAUCAAAGAAGAGUGCGCCGGCGACUGCACGGUGUUCGAAGCCGUCGCAGCCGUGCUCUGGCGGUGCCGCACCCGCACGGUCAUCUCCGAUGCUGACACCGACGACCCUGUGGCCUUCGCCUUCCCGAGCAACGUGCGCGGCCUCGUCGGCGCCAAGGAAGGCUACUACGGCAAUUGCGUCGCCAUGCUGCAGGUCCAAGCCAGUAGCGCCGCGGUGGCGAGCGGCGACAUGAAGGACCUGGUGAAGCUCAUCAAGCUUGCAAAGGAGAAGGUAUCAGACAUAUUCGUGAAUGCCGGCGACGAGACCAGCGACGGUGCCAGUAGAGAUGAGCAGCAGCGGGCACACCCGCGCUCAAGGUACAACACGCUGAGUGUCACGAGCUGGAGGAACCUUGGGUUCGAAGCCGUGGAUUUCGGGCCUGGGAGGCCGGCGCGCGUGAUGUGGAAGCCACACCGGACGAUUGGGUUCGUCUGCGUUGUGUGCCCGCCGUGCAAUGCAAGGGGGGAGGACGGCGUCAACGUCGCGUCCUUUUGCGUCAAGCCGGAGCACGCCGGCGCGUUUGUAGCGGAGUUGGCGGCCCUCAACAUAUAAAUGCGAAUUCGUAGUAUCAUGUACUAGUAUCAUAUAAUCCCUCCGUUCCUAAAUAUAAGUCUUUUAAUCAAUUUCACUAAGAGACUACAUACAGAGCAAAAUGAAUAAAUCUACAAUCUAAAGUAUGUCUAUAUACAUCCGUAUAUAGUCCUUUAGUGGAAUAUCUAAAAAGACUUAUAUUAUGGAACGGAGGGAGUAUAUGAUAGUAGUGUAUGAUACCACAUCCGUAAUGCAUAGUAUCAUACGUUACUAUCAUAGAAUAGUUCAUUUAUUGUAAUGCAAGACACAUACAGUAGACCAAGCAGCUAGCUUGGUAAGCUACCAGCAAAAACUUGCAAUCAAUCAAAAAAAAAGACACAUACAGUAGUAGCACAUCAUUUAAUAUGAUACGAUAUCAUGGUAUGGUACUCAACCCUUUCUUUUUUCAUUUAAUUCUAUGUCACCUCAUCGAAAUUGCCUAGUUGGCAUGCAUGUACUACCUAUGAUACUACCAUUACGGGCAGCUUAAUACUUCAUUUUCAAUCAGAGUGUAAACCUAAAAUGGACGAAUUAAUUAGUCUCGCACUUUUUUUCAUACUACUCCAUCUGUCCCGGUGUAUAAGUCAUCUUACGAAACCAAAUAAUUUCAAAAUACUUAACCGCGGUAUUUUUUUUUAAUUUUUUGACAUGAAUAAAGGAAUCACCAAUAAAAGGCGGGAGACAUGUAUGUUUUUAAUGAUGUGAGACUAACUAGCACGACAUGCGGUGAUCAAUUCAUUGCAUGUAAUUGUAUUAAUUAGAAAACUAGCAUUGAUUUUUCUCGUUUUCCUUUUCGUCUUUGUCACGGUACAUAACCUAAGAUGACUUAUACACCGAAACGACGGGAGGAACAAACAUGCAUGCCCACACCACGUCUCUCUUCUCGUACUUGUAUGCCGUGCCCUUUUGCAUAAAGUCCGAGCAAUUCGACGCUUUGUUAGUGGAGUUGACUGCCCCCAAAAUAUAAUGCCAACUACAUCUUUGAUGGUGCAUGUUGCAAGAACCGCCUAUUUUUAUGAAAUAAUAAAUAGUUUUUAUUUAUAUAUUUGUCCAUAAAUAAAGUUUUAAAAGAUGGAUAUAAAUUUAUUCUUAAAGUUUAGAUGAUGCAAAUAGUUGAAAAGUAUUUGCCCUACUCAUACUAAGUAACAUAAUACAAAUAACAUUAGGAAUCAGUUCUUUGAGCUUGUGUUGGACCCUGAAUUUUAUGAAACAUACUUACAUUAAUAAAAUGGUUGCAUGCAUCGUCAUGAUACAGAGACCGGGGACGAUCCUUGUUUUAUUUUUGAAAAGGCUUGCAUGGCAAGUACAAUAAAGCCCAAUCAACCACAUGUCUUCAAAACUGCCACAAGAAUAGUGGCCCAAUAGGACAAACAUGCCAGAUCACGGUAAACUGAAGCUGGAACAGAGAUCUAAAGGCUAGAAAUGAUCUAAACGUGAAAUACAACGACCGAAAUUUGUUGGGCGCUCAGUUUAGAUGCACUUUUAUUGUCCUCAAUUCAUAGUGCAUUUACAAUUCCCAAAAUAAUUUCUUCAAAUUUUGGGGUGAACCUAAAAUGGACCAAUCAAACGAUCCCAAACGGUUUUCUCAUAUAUGGUUACCUUUGCUUAUUGAUUUUUUUAGUACGGUUCAUAAGUUUUUCUUGAAUGAUUUUAAGAUUGAUACGCCUCUGCGACGAGGACCCCGACGCCUCUGCGCCCCUCGCGUUCACGAGCAACGUGUGUGGUCUCAUCGGCGCCAAGGAAGGCUACUACGGCAACUGUGUCAUCGUCCAGGUGAUACAAACAACAAGCGGUACAGUGGCGAGCGGAAAAAUCAAAGACCUCGUGGAGCUCAUCGGGCUUGCCAAGGAGAAGGUAUCAAACAUAUUCGUGAAUGGUGGCGAUGAGACCGGUGCCGGUGGUGGAGAUCAACAUCAGCUGGCAGCCGCGAGGUACAACACUCUUUGUAUCUCGAGCUGGAGGAACGUUGGGUUUGAAGCUGCGGAUUUCGAGGGUCGGCUGCGCCUCUAGCCACACAAUAUACAGCUCUUUUUAAUAUUGUACAAAGUAAGGAUUCUUAUGUUGCUACAAUUAUGCAACCAGUUCCUCUCAAUAUUCAGUUUAGGAGAUCUCUAGUAGGGGAAUGAUGCAAUGCAUGGCUCCAUCUAGUUCGCAGAUUGAUGGAAAUUCACUUGUCGGAAGAACCUGACACGAUUCAUUGAAGAUUAACUAUAAGCGGUAGUUUUUCAGUGAAAUCAAUGUAUCUGGAUAUUAUCAAUGCCGUAAUAAUACCCACUUGUCCACACAUUUUGAAAAUUAAAGUAUCUCUGAAGAUUAAGAUUUUCACGUGGUUUGUUCAUAAAGGACUUAUACUUACAAAAGAUAAUUUGGUUAAACGAAAAUUGGUAGAGGUAAUUCUAGAUGCUGCUUUUGUGAUCACAACGAGACUACUAAACACCUCUUUCUCGAGUGCCCUUUGACAAGACUUUUUAUGGUGUAGAUACGUCUCCAGCGUAGCUAUAAUUUAUAAAGUAAUCAUGCCAUGUUUAUCAUAAUUCUAUAUGAUUUUGGUAUGGUUUGAUUAGAACUAACCCGGACUGACGUUGUUUUCAGCAGAACUAUUGUGGUGUUGUUUUUUGUGCAGAAAUAAAAGUUCUUCAAAUGCAACAAAACUUUUAGACAAUUUUUUAUAUAAGGAAAUAGCCCGAGGAAGCUUCGAGGAAGAACCAGAAGAUGCUCAGGGUGCCCACACAACACCAUCGCACGCCCCCUGGGCGCGCCCUGAUGUUGUGUGGCCCCCCUGAGGCCCAUCUCCGCGUGAUUCCGACACUGAAAAAUCAUAUAUAUCAAGAAACCUCCGAAAGUUAACUAAGAACUUGGACUCCGCCGCCGCACGCCACUGUAUCCUCCAAAAAGCAAUCUGGACCCUCUUCCGGCACCCUGUCGGAGGGGGAAAUCAUCACCGGAGGCCAUCUUCAUCAUCCCGACAGCCACCAUGACAUGGAGGGAGUAGUCCACCCUCGAGGGUAGGGGUAUGUACUAGUAGCUAUGUUUUUGAUAUCUCUCUCCUGUGAUAAUGAGAUGUCACGAUCUUGAUGUAUCAUGGGCAUUGUUGAUAUAGAUGGAUCAUAUGAUGUUUCUCUCCUCUCCAUCCUUGGUGUGAUGAAUUGAAUCUUUUCCCUUUGAAGUUUUGUUAUUGUCAGAUUGAAUAUUCAGAUUUGGGAACACAUGAUGUAUGUCUUGCAUAAUCAAUAUUCGAGGUGACAAUGGGGUAUCAUAUUGAUUCACUUGAUGUAUGUUGUGGCACUCAACUUGCUGAUUCCUGUACUGACAUUGGGGUAAUCUAUGCAUAUGGGUUGAUGCACGUUUUCAUUAUCUUUUCUCUGAUAGAAACUUUGGGGAGUCCUUGUAGUUCUUUGUGUGGAUUGAAUAUUAUGAUUAUGAAGUUGUUUGAUGCAUAACGUAGAAUCAACUCACGAAUACUUGUGGUGACAUUGGAGUAUCUAGGUGACAUUAGAGUUGGUUGAUGUUGGGGAUAUAACCCCACGGUAUAAACCGUCCUAUUGGUCUGGGUUACUGAAGAUGGUGACUCAACGUUCAUAGUCAGGGCGGCCCCUGAUGUGCAAGAUUGGAGGCGCAAGGCGGGUCACCAAGAUGAGACCGUUGGCGGCCCAGGACACGAAGAUGGCGAUUUAAGGCCCAAAAGGAAGAAGGUCGCCAGGAGUUUCCUUGCUUAGGAGCAAGGCGAGUUAGAGACAUAUCGGGUCACAAAUCAUAACGUGACCCGGGUUCUUGUAAGCUUAGGGUCUCGACCUGUAUAUAAAGGCGAGUCCCCAAGGACAAUAGACUUAAGUUACAAUCCAUCGAGAGCCAAAUCAAGCGAAUUCGCACCCUUGUAAUCAAUUUCAUCAUCAAUAUACACAAAGCAGGACGUAGGACUUUACCUCCAUCGGAGGGGCCGAACCUGGGUAAACUCGUCUCUCGUUCCCGAUCAACCCCUUUGAGUCGCCGCAUAGUUGCGAUGGCCUCAUCACUAAGUCCUUUCACGAGAAAAUAUGUCGUGACAAAACCAUGACAGUUGGCGCCCACCAUGGGGAAGUCGCACGAUGGAGUUGAGUUCUCAAAGGGAGCCCUUCUAGGGUUCUGGAGCUACGCAGUUGGUCUUGUUGGAAAUAUUCCGUAGAGGCAAUAAUGAAAUAGUUAUUAUUAUAUUUCCUAUUUCAAGAUAAUCGUUUAUUAUCCAUGCUAUAAUUGUAUUGAAUGGAAACACAAGUGCGUGUGUGGAUACAUAGACAAAACAAUGUCCCUAGUGAGUCUCUAGUUGACUAGCUCGUUGAUCAAACAUGGUUAAGGUUUCCUAGCCAUGGACAAGUAUUGCCAGUUGAUGACGGGAUCACAUCAUUAGGAGAAUUAUAUGAUGUACAAGACCCAAACUAUAACCGUAGCAUGUGAUCGUGUCAUUUUGUUGCUAUUGUUUUUCUGCAUGUCAAGUAUAUGUUCCUAUGACCAUGAGAUCAUCUAACCCACUGACACCGGAGGAAUUCCUUGUAUGUAUCAAACAUCGCAACGUAACUGGGUGAUUAUACAGGUGUUCUACAGGUAUCUCCGAUCGUGUCCGUUGAGUUAGUAUGGAUCGAGACUGGGAUUUGUCACUCCGUAUGACGGAUAGGUAUCUCGGGGCCCACUGGGUAAUAGAACAUCACAAACAUGCCUUGCAAGCAAUGUGACUAAAGAGUUAUCCACGGGAUCUUGUAUUACAUAACGAGUAAAGAGGCUUACCGGUAACGAGAUUGAAAUAGGUAUGGAGAUACCGACGAUCGAAUCUCGGGCAAGUAACAUACCGAAGGACAAAGGGAAUGAUACACGCGAUUAACUGGAUCCUUGACAUAGAGGUUCAACCGAUAAGAUCUUCAUAGAAUAUGUAGUAUCCAAUAUGGGCAUCCAGGUCCCGCUAUGGUAUAUUGAACAGAGAGUGUCUCGGUCAUGUCUACAUAGUUCUCGAACCCGCAGGGUCUGCACACUUAAGGUCCGGUGACGUUUUGGUAUAGUUGAAUUAUUGAUAUUGGUAACCGAAUGUUGUUCGGAGUCCCAGAUGAGAUCCCGGACGUCGCGAAGGUUUUCCGAAUGGUCCGGAGAGGAAGAUUAAUAUAUAGAAAGUAUCCAUUUGGCUUCCGGAAGGUUUCCGGGCAUUACCGGUAAAGUACCGGGAGAGACGAAUAGGUUCCGUAGUUCCACCGGGAGGGGCCACUCACCCGGGAGAGAACCAAAGAGGCCCAGGGUGGCACACCAUCCCCUGGUGGGCUGGUGGCCAGCCCAAGUGGGCCUGGUUCAGACGAAGGAGGAGAAAGGAAAGGAGAGGUGGGGCAAACCGAAAUAGGAAGGGACUCCUCCUCCCAAUCGGAUUGGAGGGUGACUCCUCUUCCUUCCAUGGCGCGCCAGCCAACCCUAGGGAUUUUUCCCUAGGGCGCCACCCCUCCCUCUCUCCUAUAUAUAGUGGAGGUGAGAGAAGCUUUUGGCACCCAAGCCAUAGUACAACCCUCUCUCCCUCCACCACUUCGUGACACCCCGUAGCUAGUUCGGUACGGCACGGCGAAGCCCUGCCAGAGUAACUCCACCACCAUCACCGCCACGUCGUUGUGCUGCUGGAGAGUUCAGCUACCUCUUUGCCUCUCUUGCUGGAUCCACAAGGCAGAGAUCGUCAUCGAGAUGUACGUGUGCUGAAUACAGAGGUGUCGUCCGUUCGGUACUAGAUCGGGACGGACUUCGUGGGACGCUUGCGAUUCGGAUUGCGAAGACGUUCGACUACAUCAACCGCAUUUAUUAACGCUUCCCGCUUAGCGAUCUACAAGGGUAUGUGGAUCCGAUCUCCCCUCUCGUAGAUUAUCAUCACCAUGAUAGGUUUUGCGUGUGCAUACGAAAUUUUUUGUUUCCCAUGCGACGUUCCCCAUCAGUGGUAUAAAAGCUAGGUUCAUGCGUAGAUGAUAUCUUGAGUAGAACACAAAAGAGUUUGUGGGUGUUAAUGUUCAAUUUUCUGCCCUCCUUAGUCUUUUCUUGAUUUAGCGGUAUUGUUGGAUUGAAGCGGCCCGGACCAACAUUCCUCAUGCGCGUACGAGAGACCGGUUUCAUCGACUAACAUUCAACUUGUUGCAUAAAAAUGACUGGCGGGUGUUUGUUUCUUCAACUUUAGUUGAAUCGGAUUUGACCGAGGUGGUCCUUGGAGAAGGUUAAAUAGCAAUUUGCACACCAUCGUUGUGGCUUUGCAUAAGUAAGAUGCGAUCAUACUAGAUACCCAUAGCAGUCAUGUAAAUUUUGCAACAACAAAUUAGAGGACGUCUAACUUAUUUUUGCAGGGUAUGCAUGUGAUGUGAUAUGUCCAAUGACAUGACAUGAUAUAUUGGAUGUAUGAGAUGAUCAUGUUGUAAUAAUUAAAUAUCGACUUGCACAUCGAUGCUACGGCAACCGACACGAGCCAUAGGGUUGUAUUUAAUUAUUUUGUGCUUGGUGAUGCUUUUCUUUAUCGCUAGUAGUAGCUUUAGUAGUAACAUCAUAGUUAGCGCGACAACCUCGAUGGAAGCAUGAUUAUGGAGAUGAUGGUGUGGCGACGGUGACGAUGGAGGUCAUGCCGGUGCUUUGGUGAUGGAGAUCAAGAAGCACAAGUUCAUGGCCAUAUCAUGUCACUUAUGAUUUGCAUGUGAUGUUAAUCCUUCUAUGCACCUUAUUUUGCUUAGGACGACGGUAGCAUUAUAAGGUGAUCCUUCACUAAAAUUUCAAGAUAAAAUUGUUUUCUCCCCGACUGUGCACCGUUGCGAUAGUUCGUCGUUUCGAGACACAAAGUGAUGAUCGGGUGUGAUAGACUCUACGUUCACAUACAACGGGUGCAAAACAGUUGUACCACGCGGAACACUCGGGAUAAACUUGAGGAGCCUAGCAUGUACAGACAUGGCCUCGGAACACAAGAGACCGAAAGGCCGAACAUGAAUCAUAUAGUUGAUAUGAUCAACAUGGAGAUGUUCACCAUUGAAACUAAACUCAACUCACGUGAUGAUCGGACUUGAGUUAGUGAAUUUGGAUAAUGCGACACUCGAAUGACUAGAGGGAUGUCAAUUUGAGUGGGAGUUUAUUAGUAAUAUGAUUAGCUAAACUCAAUUAUCUUAAACAUAGUCUAAGUAAUCUUUGCAAAAAUUUAUGUUGUAGAUCAAUGGCUCGCGCAGUAGAAACCCUUAAUUUUAAUGCGUUCCUAGAGGAAGCUAAGCUGAAAGAUGAUGGAAGAAACACUGUUGACUAUGCCCGUAAUCUGAGGCUUAUCCUCACGGCUGCCCAAAAGCAAUAUGUCAUUGAUGCAGCACUAGGUGAUGCUCAAAGAGAGAUAAAUUGCCAUCCAGGUACUGGCUAUGGACCCGUAGGUCUGUGGUGAUCCACUUACAUAUCAUCAUGAGGGCAUCAAGGUUGAUGAAGAAGCCCUCGGUGAUCGAUCCGACCUCUGGCAGAGUGCCGAGACAGAGCUCUAGAUGGACCCCCGUCAGAACAGAGACUUGUGGCAGCGUAAAAAGUGUUUCCGGACCUCCGUCGAUGUUUUAGGAUAGAUGAGAAUUUAUAGACUAGAGAACAGAGUCGGGAGAGCCGCGAGGGGGCCACAAGCCAUUAGGGCGCCCCCUGACCGCGCCCUGUUGGCUUGUGGGGCCCUCGUGCACCCUCGUGCCUCCUUUCGAUGCUCCACGGUCUUGUUUUAGUCCAGAAAAAAAUCACAAAAAGUUUUAGGUCAAUUGCACUUCACUUGGUACUAAACCGUAAAAAGUGGAAAACACGCAGAAAACAACAACUAGCACUUGGCACUGGGUCAAUAGGUUAGUGCUCAAAGAUAAUAUAAAUUGGUAGAUAAUUAGUUCAUAAAAAAUGUUCUAAAAUGAUAACAUAAUAGCAUGGAACAAUCAAACAUUAUAGAUACGCUGGAGACAUAUCAUUGUACCGCUCGCUAGGGUUUUCUGCAUGGUACUUGUGUGCACUGAUUGUACCGGUGCACGAAGAGGUUGUACUGCUGUAGUGUAAAAACCGUUGUAACAGUUGAAUUUGGGGGCACUAUAAAAGGGGAUGGUUCUUCCACCGACCUUCUUACCUCUUACCUCUCUCUUUCUCUCUCUUUCCUUCAUUAAUGCCCUCCAAGCUUUCUUGCUCGAUCUCUCUUCCACUCAUUAAUGCUAGCAUCAUCGUACAUUUGGAGUCGACACACUUUGCUAGAGGCCGCUACCGGCUAGCCGAGCUGGAUGUGAUCUGACUUGCAACCAAGUGAACGAGAACCUAAGGGGUCGUGCUCUUAAGAGAAGGAUUCUACGAGGUCAUAUACGAGGACACUGGUCGGAUGUGAUCUGAGCUGGACUUAGAUCAUGACCAAGUAGACUUUAGGCUUUAGGAUCCAUGUGAGGCCCAAAAUUGAGACCGCGACGGAUGCCUAUAUAUAAUGGGGGUACCACACACAUAUUCGGUCGAUUGCUUCAGCAUCGUCAUUAGGGCGUUGCAUGUGUUAGAACCACCCACCUCCACUCGCCGCCGGUUGUGUGAUCGGACCUAGCAGUCCGCCACAUGACGUUCCUCCUGCACGUGCGAAUACCGUUAGAGGUGGUGCAGUUGCGCAGCUCCAACGAAGUUGUCCACGGGAUUCAGCGGACGACUGUUUGAGAGACCGGACGAGGAGGGGGCAACUCCUGGGACGCGCUAGCACCACUAUUCGUCCACUACAUUGCGCUCUAGUGGUAACAAUCUGUGAUUCCUCUCCUUAGCAUGUUCCCGGUUAUACAGUGCAUAGGAAUUUUUUUUAUAUUCCAGCCGAUGCACCUAGCGUAGCCCAACACUAUCCCUCCGUCCCUCCCUUCCUUCCUCUCUCUCUCUCUCUCCCUCUCUCUCUCUCAAACACUUAAUACAUGCAUACUUACAUUAGUUUGAUCAUGUUCAUGUGAUUUAAGGUUAAUUGAAUUUGUGGCACUAUCAUAUGAACAAUGAUGGUGCCAAAUCCAUGGCCUAAAUAAGUUGCAUCCAAAUGUACACGGAAAAUAGUUAGAUAAAAAGUAUGAACACAUCGUAGAACAUAUUACAUCGAGAAUCGAUUAUGGUUCUAUACAUAAAAGAACAAAAAUCUCGUGGUGCAAACUAAACAUACGUUUAUAUUAAUUAAAUGUAUGCACAUUUCGUUCCUGCAAAAGAAAUUUGUCCUAUUCGGAAGAAAAGAAAACAAGUUUUGAAAAAUCAUGUAGCAAUUACUAGAAAGAUUACCAGAGUUGAGAUACACAACUAUGGACGUAGCCAUUUGAGAUUAUCCUGUCACUGUCCACGGACCCGCCCGCAGAUGUAUAUAUGUAGUGCUCCAUUUGGCAAUUGGAGUUGCAGAUGCUCUAACUUCCUUCUUUUUUGUGAACCAUGUGAUGAACAAGCUCUCUCGAAACAGGCUUUCGCCCCGCUUUAUAGAUAAAGCACAACGGCCAGAAUCCAACCCACAUGUUCGAACACAAAAAAUAAAAAAGAGAGUCAGGUGGGGCAACAACACAGUCCAGCCCAAAAUAAAGAGAAGAAACAAAAAAUUCCCACACAGGGGCAAGCUAGGCAGCAAGCAAGGGAGAGGAGAGCCGUCGGGCGGCCGCCAUCAACGCGUCCAGGUAGAGCUGAAGUCGGCCUCGAUCCCGGGUCCUAACGAGCGGAUGCCAAUGCUGCAAGAAGGCAAGGAAUUUGAAGAACGAGUCAGAAGCACGCCGCGGAAACACCUUCUCAAUCAUCAUUUUAUUGUGAGUAGUCUAGAGGGUCCACAUCAUAGCCGCGAAGACCAACCAAAACAGUCGGCGUUUAUGACCGACCUGGGUGGCCCGCACCUGUAGAAAAUCUGCAAGGUCAGAGGCCUCCCACUCUGGUCCCAGAGCCUCGCGUACAAAGCAUCAUAGUGCAUGUGCCGCAACGCAUGAGAACAGAAUGUGAGAGCCAUUCUCCGGGACAUGGCACAGGGGACAUAUGCCGUUACCCGGACCAUGGCGUUUCAGCACCUCGGUCCCUGAAGGUAAACGGUCUCGGAGAAGCUGCCAAACAAAAAUCUUGAUCUUCAAGGGCAGCGGGGCCUUCUAGAGUGGGGAUAACCACGGGAGGACCAGCAUUCUGCACAGGGCCAGGUAUGCCGAACUAACAGAGAAUUCUCCCGAGGGAGAGAGGCUCCAAGAGAUACUAUCACUGACCGCCGAGGUCGAGAGGGGAAUCACUGCCAAGAGUAACUCCCAGUCCAGGACCUCAACAGGGCCAAGGGGUCGGCAGAAUGCAACAUGCCAUCCGUCUUCCAGAGCAGCAGCAGAAACCAGGACAGCAGGGUCGGCGCAGAUAGCAAAGAGCCUCGGGAAACGGAAUCGUAAAAGCUCUCCUUCCAACCAGGGAUCUAACCAAAACUGGGUCCCAGAUCCAUCGCCCACCGAGAUCCCCAAACUCAACCUAAUCUCGUGCUUAAUGCUCUGGAUAGACUUCCAGAACUGCGAACCAUUCGCGAGAGAGCAUGCCAAGAGUGGUCUGCCUCGAAGGUAUUUGGCCUUAAUCAAUUGAAGCCACAGACCCCCAUCUCCGUGCAGAAUCCGCCAAACCCAACGGAGCAUCAGGGCCACGUUCAUGAGGCGGGACGCAGGAAUGCCUAGGCCCCCUCAGUCUUUUGGCAAGCAGAUGUCUGCCCAUUUCACCAUGUGAUACUUGGGCCUACCAUUCCCUGCCUGCCAAAAGAAUCUAGCCAGUUCCUUGUCAAAGGCGUUGUGCACACCUUCGGGCAGGAUAUACAACCCCAUCAUAUACAUGGGGAGGCUAGCGAGGUUAGAGCUAAUGAGGAUGGAUUUGCUGCCUUUAGAAGUGAACCUGCCGCACCAGGGUUCCACACGGGAUGCUACUCAUCCCACAAGCGGAUCGAACCCGCUAACCAGAAUCCUGGACUCCGCCAGGGGCAUUCCCAAGUACGAGAUAGGGAAAGAAGCCAGCUUGAAGUUAAGGUUGUCUGAAUCCUGUGAUGCUCAGCCUCAGAGUAGCCGAGGACCACCACCUCACUCUUAUCAAAGUUAAUCUUAAGUCCAGACAUUUCCUCGAAGCAGAGCAAAAGGAACUUAAGAUUGGCAAUGUCCGAGUCCGAGCCUGAGACCAUGAUCAUGGUGUCGUCUGCAUAUUGGAGGUGUGACACCCCACCCCCCGGGAUGAGGUGACCAACCACCCCCUGGAUAUGCCCGGCUAAUCUCGCCUUAUCCAGGAUGCCGGCAAGGGUGUCCACGGCGAGAUUAAACAGCAGGGGGGAGAUAGGGUCCCCUUGCUUUACCCCCCUGGAAGCCCAAAAAAAGGGGCCUAGUUCACCAUUGAUAUUGAUGGCGGUGCUACCAGAUCGAACCAGCUGCAUAAUCCAGGUGCACCACCUCUCGUCAAAUCCGCGCCGCUGCAACACUAACCUCAAGAAGGACCAACCAAGACGGUCAUACGCCUUAUGGAAGUCCAAUUUGAGAAUGACCCCCUUCAAUCCCUUGGACGCCACCUCAUGGACAAUCUCGUGAAGGGCAAGAAUUCCGUCAUGAAUCUUCCUACCCUUCAGGAAUGCGGACUGAAGGGGGUGCGCAAUCCGUUCGGCCACAGGGGACAGACGAGUGGCGCAGACUUUAGCAAAAAUACGCGCCACCAUGUUAAUCACCGUAAUAGGCCUAAAUUGCCGAAUCUCUGCAGCCCCAAGUAGUUUGGGGAUGAGGGCAAUGACUCCAUAGUUAAUCCUGCCCAUGUCCAGAGUGCCUAUAUAGAAUUCAUGGAACAUGGGCAUGAUAACUGGGUGCACGGUCUCCCAGAAUUGCUGGAAAAAACCACCGGGAGGCCGUCUGGCCCCGGGGUCGAGCACACCUUCAUAGAAGCGAUUGUCUGGCCAACUUCCUCCGAGGAAAAUGGGAGAGUGAGUUCCGCAUUCUCCACGUCGGACACCUGAUCAGCUAGCGGCCAGAAGUCCUCACAGAGAGAGGAGCCUCCCCGCAGAUCGGCCGAGAAUAACUCCUUAUAGAAGGAGUAAAUAUGGGAUGAGAUGUCUUCCGGCUUUCCAGAACAGCAUCCCCAUCCCGGAGGAAAGGGAUGACACAUUUCCGCCUUCGGCCGUUGGCGAUGGCCUGAAAGUACGCGGUGUUUGCGUCCCCCUUGAGGAGCCAGUUCUGGCCACCUCGACGUUGCCAGAACAGUUCCUCGGAGCUGAAGAUGCCCAUGAGCUCAGCGUCGAGGGAUUAUGUCUGGAUCCAGUCAUCCGGGGACAGACCUGUACCGUCCGCCAAGUCAUCUAGGGUCUUAAUCUGGCCUAGCAAGGCCCCUUUACGGGCCCGGAGAUCAGCGCCCAAGUUAGCACCCCAGCCCUUCAUGGCCUGGCGCGCCAUCUUGGCACAGUGAUGCCAAAUGUCCACCGCACAAUAGACACGCGGCGGGGAGGCGGCAGCCCAAUGCCACUGGUCGCGGACCAACUCGCGGAAACCAGGCUGAUCCAACCAAAAAGUCUCAAAGCGAAAGCGCCGUGAUCUAGGGGGGAGCCUUCCCCCGACGAGAAGAGCAGGGGCGUAUGGUCUGAGCCAAUCUGCGUGAUGGCCCUAAGCCCGCACAGGAGGAACAUCACUUCCCACUGAGGCGACACAAAGACCCGGUCUAGAACACUCCGGACGGGGUCCGCCUGCUUGUUCCACCACGUGAACCUGGCCCCUACGCGAGCUAUCUCACGUAGCGCCAAGUCUGCAAUGCAGUCAUUAAAAAGACGCAUCUGGGGUCGAUCUACAUUCUGAGAGCUUUUAUCAGAAGCCCACCUAAUAAAUUAAAAAUCACCAGCCACCACUACAGGGGUGGUGCACCUAUCCACCUUAUUCUUUAGCUCGGCGAGGAAUUCUGCGGAGCGGGCAUGGUCUGCCGGACCAUAGACAAUAAUCACCUCCCAGCUGAGGUGGGUACGUCGGUCGGUGAUGGCCAUGCUCACAAUGAACUCCCCCCGGUCCAUGUCCUCCACCGAGAACGCCUCCUCCCGAACACCAAGCAGGAUUCCCCCAGAGUGGCCCGAUGCAGGGAGCCACUGCCAGGAGAACUGGUGGCGGGAGAGCCUCUGAAGCUCGAGCAUGCUAAAGUCCUACCGAAUCGUUUCUUGCAGCCCUACUAUGUCAAUCUCUUCUUGACGCAAAUACUCAACAAGUUGCCGCCGCCGGCCAGGGAGGCCGAAGCCCCUAAUGUUCCAACAUAGGAGCUUCAUUUAACAAUCUCGCCUGGAUUUCUAGGCCCCGCAAGCGGGGCCGAACUAGCCCGCCCGUCAACCUCGAGGCGGGGGAGCGCCUUAGAUGGACGACCCCGGUGUCCCCGAGAAGAGGGGACAUCGGAGGUCGCCGGGCCAGAGGAGGGAGCUCCGGGGCCUGACACUCGCUCCUCUCCACGUGUCUCAGUGGGGUUGAGACGGGUAGGCGGCCGCCCCCUGGGCUUCCGGACAGAGGGAAGCCCACCUAUGGGCGGCACAGGACCAACUGCAACCGCUGCCGGAGGUGCGCCACCAGCCCUGGUCUCUCUAUGACCAGGACCGGCGUGCACCGGGGGAGAGGGGGAGUUGGAGCGCGCGGCGAGACAGCGCGCUUCCGCUAACACCCCCUCAAGCCUCUCUUUCGCACAGAGGGCGGAGAUAUGCUCAAGAGGGGGACCUUUCUCCCCCCGAAACACAAUACUACUGUUCGCAGCCACAACAGCCAAAAGGGGCACCAAAUCGCUAGAGAGAACAGAAAACCAAGAACCAGAGCCAGAAGGGGGAGGAGAGGAGGCGUACCUGGGAACAGAUCGCGGGCCGCAGCACGCCGGGCCGCCAGCUCAGGCAUCGUCGGGACGCGGCCGUCCUGAAGGGUCCGGGACUGGCUGAUCCGAGCGCUCUGACGUGCCGACACGAUGGGGGAAGUGCCCUCCCGAGGCCGAGAGCGGGGCACAGGAGGGUACUCGGGCGCCCAACCAGGGUUGACGACCACCGGAGGGCGCGAAUCCGGGGACCCCAAGGUUGGGGAAGGGGGGAACUCGGAGAGCACGAGUAGCAAACCACCCCUGGCGAGCGCGGGGACGAAGCAGGGCAGACCUCCAUACCCACACUCACCUCCUCCUCAGCAGCGACCACCGGGAUAGGGGAAGCAGGGAGAGUGAUCUCCAUGCCUACCACCACCACCGGCGCCAAAGUACCCACCGUGGAGCCUCCUGCGAGCCCCGACUGGCCAACACCCGAGGGGGCGGGGGUGCGCCGACCGCCAGAUGGCUCGGGCGGAGCCCCGACCGUAUCAUCGUCCCCCUCAGAAGAAGGCCCCUCCUCCGACGAGCCCCCCUCCUUGUCAAGACCCCCGUCGGCAGGCUCCAGCCCAGGCGGGACCGGAUCUAGCUGAGCCGCUGAAGCCGGGGACUCGAGCUCGAAGGUCAGACGCCUGCCCUUGGACCCAAAGUAGAAGACCAAAGACAACCCGUCAAUCUCAGCAGGAGCCGGGCAGAGAAUCUCAAUGCGGGCAGGGCCAUCAUCCUCGAAAGAUGCCAGGUCGGCGGUGAUCAGUUUGCCCAUGGGUUUAGAGAUGGCUUUCAGAAUAUGACUGAGCUUGCCACCCCGCGGAGCCGCACUGCCCCCCCUUGGGAGGCCAUAGACGAGGACCCAAACCUUCUCCAAGGGAGGGACGGGGUCAGGCUCUGACAUGGCCGCCUGGACGCUGAUCGGGAGCUGGUUGAGGGGACACCGGAUAGGACCAUGCGAGCAGACCCGGAGUAGCUCGGCCGAGGGGAAGGGGACCGAGAAGACCAGGGGAGCCGUCUCAGUCACCUCCCAUGCGAACUCAGAGCCGCGAAAGUCGCCAAUGUAGGCCGCAAGCUCAUCCUGGAUGAGGUCAGACGAGAUCACCAGGCCAUCCGGGAUAGGCUGCUCGGGCUCCAAGGUGACCGUCGCUAGGUGAGGACGAGCAGCUACCUCCUCAAUCUCCGCAUCCACGAAGUAGAAGCUUCCCCGCUCAGUGCCAUACCCAAGAUAGGCAAGAAUCGUGGGGCACCGUGGGGGAGCCUCACACUCCGAGCGGUAGUGCCCGGUGCACCCGCAGUUGAUGCACAUCGUGUCCUCGCGGGAGCGCUGGCGGGUAGCACGAGCAGGGGGUCUAGAGCCUCAUGCUCAGGAGCCCCCUGAGCUCCUGGCGACGUCAGGCCGCCAGCACCGCCAACAGCCUUCUUCUUCUUCGACUUCAUCUUCUUCUUAACCGGGGUCGGGCGGGAAGCGGAGCAGCAGGCAGGGCAUCUGGGGACACGUGCCUAGAAGGCCCGUCGUCCCGGCACCAGUCCGCACCCGUCGCCCGAGAGGAGCGCCAGUCAGCCCGACGUCCAUCAUCACCGCGCCGCAUUGGCGGCCCGCCCCACCGCUCCCCCGGGCGGUGGUCCUGGCGAUCACGGGGCGGCCCGCCCCACCGCUCCCCAGGAAGGCGCCGCGGGGCGGUGAGCGAGGUCCCGAGCCGGGGGGUAGCGGGGCGCUGGCUCCUCACACGGCUGAGAUGCCGGAGUGGGGCGAGCAACCAACUCUGCACACAGAGUCGCUUCCCGGUCCAGGUCGGCCGCGCGGGCGGCCUCCAGGCGGCGACGGUCCCCCGGCGAACCCGGCAACGGCAGGCGGGGAUCCCUCUCCGGAUCACGAGGGGGAGGCGGACGGCGAAGGGAGGUCCCGGAGUAGUACUCCGGGGACUUCCCCGGCCGGGCAGACCCACCGCGCCCGGAACGGGACGAGGCAGCACCCCCUUCCAUGGCACGGUCACGGGCGGCGGGCAGCGCCUUCAACACCGCGCGAGCCUGGUCACGAGAGGUUGGCGUAGGGAGGAGCCCCUGCCCAGCCGGGAGAGGCCGCUUCGGUCGGGCCUGGCCGUUCCCGGCGUGGCGUGUCAUGAGCACGUCCCGGUAGGAGCGCCGUGGGGAGGGGAUGGGGAGCAGGUCCGGGCGCCGGGCAGCAGACGAGGGCGCGUCGCCGGCAGUGCAGGCGAGGACGGACGAGGUGGAGGGAGCUCUAUGGCUGACGGGACGGGGCGAGCGGGGCCUGGGGAACGGCCGGCGGGACGGGGCGAGCAGGGCCUGGGGAACGGCGGGGACGUCCGCGCCCGACGGGAGAGAGCGAGAGGAAAGGGAGCGGGAGCCCGACCGGAGAGAGCGAGAGAAACGGGAGCGGGACGGGGCGAGGCUGCGAGGUGGCGGUGGCGCACGCUCGGCAGGGUAAACCCUAUCCCCGAGCCGGUCCUCCCGACGCAGGCCUGGGCCGGGACGCGAGCAUGGGGGAGGCCCAGGUGGGCAUCGGCCCACUGCCGGUUAACCUUCUCCAGGACUCGGGAGACGCGGCGGGAGGCCCAGGCCAUCUCGCUAGCUGAGAUGGGCCCAGGCCCCGUUCGCAGCGGCCCAUGGGGAGAGCCGGCCCAUCCGUCCGCCAGCCGGCCAGGGGAGUUAGGGCAUGGGGGAGGGGACUGACGAGGCACUCGGGCACCUCCCGCUGCCGCCGGCACCGCCGCCGCCGCCACAGGAGGCAGGGCACCAGCGCCUGGUCGGGGCUCGCGGGGGCCCUCUCCGGCGACCGCCAUGGGGGACAACCCAGGCAGCAAACCGGCUCGGGCCAAGGAGGGGAGAGGGGGAACCACAGGGGGACAGUGCACCGGCGACCGCCGCCCGACCUCCUUCCCCGGCCGCCGGCGGGCAGGGCGCGCCGCAGCCAGGAACGAGCCGAGCAGCGGCGGUGCCAGGGACACCGGCAGCUCCAACCGGUCAUCACCAUCCGAAGAGGCCUCCAUGUCAUCGGGGUCGGGAUCGUCCGUCCAGUCCGCCCAACGUCGCGGCGACCGUUGGAAGCAGAGGGAGGGCGCCCCCGGCGGGGGAAGCGGGGGCAUCGCGCUCACGCAGCACGCCGGCCGACCGCCGUCAGCGGGCACCGCGCAGCUUCAGGUCUCGGCCCGCCGGAGAGGAGCCGCCCAUCGCUUCUUCUCUUCAGGAAUCUAGUCGCCGGCCCACAAGUGGGGUGAUGAACAAGCUAAUGCGAUUUAAAGUAAUCAUACCUCGUCCUAAGAAAUUAAAAGUGAAUUCAUACUGUGCAGCUAGAAAAAGAAUCAUAAAAGUAUACAAGCGCAUGUGAAAAGAAAAAGAUGAACAACUUGCCACUUCAUAUAGGUGAUCUAAUUAACUAAUUUAGGGUUCGAAUAACUUUGUUUCCCCACAAUCAUGACAAAGUGAACCUUUUGUUGAAAGCCGGAAUUCUGCAAUAAAGCUGCAAUGGUAGAUCUAUUUUUAUCAGGGAAUCUACCAUGCUGAGCUGCUGCACACAAGGCGUUCUCACUCACGAGUCGCAAAAAAGAGUUGGUGAGUUAUUAAAAAAGAAGACAAAGAGGACGAGUGAGUUGCACCAAAAUUAAAUACUUCCUUCAUUUCAAAAUAAAUGUCUCAAUUUUAUACUACCUCUAGUAUAAGAGCAUGGUUAAUAGUAUAGUCAACUGCUGGCUAUAAGCUAUCUUAUAGCCUAUCUUAUAGCUAGCUUGUACAAUAGUUAGCUAUAAAAGAGUACUACUUUUAUUCUAUAUGGCCCACCUUUCAUUUUCACAAAGCACCUACGAGCACGUGCUAGAGCUGGCUCUUUACGAAGAGCCCGCUUCCCUUCUCACUCCUAUUCUCUCUCAUCCAACUCAGCAAAAAUACAGUAUUUUAAUCCUUACAGCCUGCUGACUGUACCUUAUUGUACUUGCUCUAAAGUUGUACUCCCUCCGUUCCAAAAUAUAAGACCUUUUAGAGAUUUAUUAGAAGACUACAUACGAAGCAAAAUGAGUGAAUCUAUACUCUAAAAUAUGUCUAUGUACAUCCGUAUGUAGUUCAUAGUGCAAUCUUUAAAAUGUCUUAUAUUUAGGAACGGAGGGAGUAUUAAGUUUGAGGCGGUUAUAUUGAGACGGAGAGAGUACUAGAUAUACGUAAUCUGAAAUAGUGGAGUACCAAAAUUAUAGGCCUCUAUGAUUAGGAGGAUUUUCAUAAAACAUUUGGAAAGUUGUGAUACUUGAGAAUUUUUCCUUUAUCGCUUAUCUGAUUCGUAGAUUGACUCCUAUAGGAUUUUCUCCUAUGGAUUCCCUUUGACUGCACAUUUCAUGAAAAAAAACAUUAGUUUGCCAUGAUAAUUUUUCACCAGGAUGCACAAAAAAUGAACUAGUUCUGAAAGGUUUAUUGGCUUCAUUUGGAUUUACUUAGAAUCAGCUCAUAUUAGCAAUAAUUAAAGAUGGCCGAACGAUGGCGCCGUCUCCCUCCCGACCCGGGGCCGCAUGCAGCCCCUCUCCCUCUGCCCCCCUCCUCCUGUCGGUGCCCUCGGAUCUGGUCCGGGUGGUGUUGGCGGUGGCGGGAUCUCCAUUACCUGUGCGCGGACGUCCUUCCCGAGGCAGGGGAUCGACGGUGGUGCGGCUCGGCCUGCUGUGGUCCGACGACCUAGAGGUGGUGGCCGGCAGCCGACGUGGUGGUGGCGCUGCUCCUUGGCGGCGGGGUGGCCUAGCGGCACGGGGUGGCCGGCUGCACGACCCCGGGCCAGAUCAGGGCCCAUAAGGCCUCAUCUAGGUCCUAGGGGACUGGCUCUGGCAUGGACUUGCUGCCUCCUGUACAGGGAUGAGGAGGGGCGGGUUGAAAGGGGGGCCGCGAUGCCGACGGUGUGCUUUCUGCAGCGCGAUGGCAGGAGCUUUAUGGGUAUUUGUGGGGCCAUGAGCCUGGUUUGCUCCUGCCGAUGUGUCCGGUCGGUUACUGUCGUUGACGAUGGAAGUCGGACCCUCCCGCAGGCCGCCGGUGUUGCUUCCCCUAGUCCCGACUCUUCUUCUUCGAUGUGCAGGCCUCACUUCUCGGUGUCCUGGUGAGACAGUGUGGGUCGCUUCAAGAUUGUGCUUGCGCAGGGCGGUGGGUGGUAUGGUGGAGUCCUCCGGAACGCCCGUGGUGAUGCGUGGGGAUCGGGACGUACAAAUCCUUGUCGGCCUGUUCGACACCGACACGGUGACGCCUGAGGGUGUCGACGGACCUUCCUGGAGGGUGUCGGGUGCUACCCUUUCUUUGUCCUCGUUGUGUAUCGGGGGAAACCCUUGGCAGCAGCGCAGUCAUCGUCGUGUCCCUUCUUGGAGGUGUUGAUUGGUAUCGGCGCUUCGAAGGCUAGGAUCUUGGUGGAAGAUCUUCGAUGGGCGCAACGAUCGCGGGGCCUCUUCAUUUUUGUCGAUCCAUCAUUGUUGGCAUCUAUUCCUUUUGCAUUUUCUUUUUCCCUUCCUUUUGGACGUGAUUGUGAUGUCUCCGUCCCAGCACUUAUUGAUGGAUAUAUCGGGCAUUUGCUAUAUUAAUAUAGCGAGGCGAACGCGUGCUUCGAAGAAAGAUGGACGAACUUACCAACCAUAUUACUUGUGCUUAUUUAUUUUCUUCUGUUACAACGCACAAACAUAUUUGCUAUUUGAACUAAAUCACAUUGCCAAUUGCUCGUCUAUCAUGUCAAAUCAGAACCACGCAUCUAACCCUCCCAAGAUGUAGAUCGAUCGGUUUUACUCGGCAUUCAUUAUGGAUCGGAGGGAGUACUCCUAGAUCAUAUUCAAAAUUGCUCCACGCCACAAAUAAAACUGCACGGUACAUAUGGUAAAUCUGGGAAAGUGAUUUGCGUGGUAUGUGUGCCAUAAUCAACUGAAUUAUUGGACUAACCGCAUCAAGAUCGGAUCACAUCGAUCCUAUCCCCGUCGACGAGACUGUCCUCGAAUCAAAAUAUUUCUCCAAUGGACGCUCGUGUCCCACGCUCUGAAAGCGACGCCUUUUGUUUUGUCAGUUAAUUUUCACGUCAAGCUCACACCCACGCACGCACCGUGUAGGAUCCACGGCUCGACGCACCUCCCCUUCCCUCCCCUUCUCCCUAUUUAACGAGCUAGCCACCCCCACGCUUUUUGCACCUCAGCAAGCACCAACACACACACACACACAAGAAAUGGCGAUGGCUAGGACGACGACGCUCCUCCUCGUCGCCGCAGCUCUCCUCGCGGCCUCAUGCAGCGCAUGGGAGGUCAACAUCCGCAUGCCGACGUCGGCGGCGGACGUGGACGAGGCGGUGGUGGCGCCGCUGAUCCACGCGCUGCGGCCGCUGCUGGGCUCCGGCAAGCACGCCGGAGUGGCGUGCGACAGCUGGGUGCUGGGGGUGGAGGCGCACAACGUGCGGGACUGGAAGACGGUGCCCGCGAGCUGCGAGGGCUACGUCGGGCACUACAUGCUCGGCAGCCAUUUCCGCCGCGACUCCAAGGUCGUCAUCGACCAGGCCCUCGCCUACGUCGACUCCCUCAAGCUCGCCGGCAACGGCAAGGAGGUCUGGGUCUUCGACAUCGACGAGACCACCCUCUCCAACCUCCCCUACUACGCCAAGCACGGCUUCGGGUACGUACUUACACUCUUGUAUACAUUACAUAGACACUACUGAUUCUACGUGUAGUGCAUGCAUUAGACUUGCUAUUUACUGCAGGUACAUCCGACCGAGCAGGGACUUGCACUCAUCUUUUCACUAAGAUGAAGUGUAAAUAAUCUGACUAGAUAUAUAUUGUAAAAAAUCAACUCACUAGCUAGCUAAAAAAUACCAGCGAGAUCUGUAAUGAAUGAAAAUUGGAAAGCACAUAAGGAUAGAAAUAUUGGAAAUAAAAAGGAAUAUAAUCACUAAGUAGAAAAGUACUUUAAUCACAAGUGUUGGACACUUGGACAUCAUCAUUGCCAGUAGGACUCGGGCCAUAUGUCCCUAGUAUGAAUGGCCAACAAAACAAGAAGGAAACAUACUAUAUUUUGAGAUAGAGAUGUGAUGUUGAUGGGCAUGCGAAUGUGGUGGCCGGGUAGGACCGUAUAUGUUGUCCACUUGGCUACUUUAUGGAAAUGUUCUAAUUAUGUUAUGCUAGUCAACUCAUACUUUCUAAUUAUGUCAUACUUUUGUACACAUACACACUAUUGUAGUGCAUUAUACUCCCUCUCUAUCUAAAUACUUAGAGUUCGAAAGAACUAGGUGCAUUUCAGCAGGGGCUUGCACUGAUCUAUUCGUUCAGAUAAAAUAAAUAUCUUACUAGACCUCGUUCAAAUGAACUCACUAGCUAGAAAGCACUAGUAUCAUAAGAUUUCUAAUGAAUGAAAGUGGGAAAACAAAUGAGACUAGAAGUGGAAACAAGGAAUAUACUCACUAGCUAGAAAAGUAUUAAUUGGACGUGUUGGACACACUUAGGCAGCAUCAUUGCUGGUUACCUCAAAUCAGUCACAGAGACGGCCAUCAGGACCAUAAAUAUGUCCCGCCUAUGAAUGGUCAACAAAACAAGAAGGAAACAUAGUACUAUAGUUUGAGAAUAUGGUGGCCGGGGUAGGACCGUAUAUGUUCUCCACUUGGCUACUUUAUGGAAACGUUUAUUUCCAGCUGUCCUUAUCAGCCGAUACGUUCUAAUUAUGUUAUGCUAAUCGAUUGAUAUUUUCUGAUUAUGUUAUGCUAAACUUAGUUCAGAUGGAUAGUACUCCGAUACGUUUUCAUUAUUUUAUGCUAAUCUGAGUUUAGAUGGAUAUAAUUACUUAUUUUAGAAGAUGUGAGAGGUCAGAACAUCUUGUGCAUAGUUAGUAGUUACAUGCUACUCCCUCCGUUCCUAAAUACAAAUCUUUUAAAAGAUUUCACUAGUGGUCUACAUAUGAAGCAAAAUGAAUGAAUUUAUACUAUAAAAUAUGUUUAUAUACAUUCAUAUGUAUUACUCUAACCUCUAAAAAGAUUUAUAUUUAAGAAUGGAUGGAGUACAACUCUAUUCCUCUUUUCUCAAAUAGUUGAACACUAUUCCUCUUAGUUAAGAAGAUUCUCUUGAACCAAGAUGGAAACUAACUUGAAAUGUAGUAGAAGUCUAGGUGAUAUCUAGCCAACAUGAUGAUACCAGUUUAGUUCAAAACAUGAUUAACUAGCUCCGGAUAGCUUGCUUGUGUAUAUUUUGAAUGUGAUGAGGGAGCUAGUUCGUUGUGAUUUAAAAUAAACUGUACCUUGCCGUAAGAACUUUAAAGUGGAUCUACACUGGGCGGCUGGAAAAAGAUACAUAAAAGUAUAUAUAUGCGCAUCAAGGAAAAAAGAAAGAUCAAAAGCUUAUAACAGCAUGUCUAACUAAUCGAGCGGUUCAAAUAACUUUGUUUCAUCACAAUCAUGACAAAAUUAACCUUUUUUGUUGAAAGUCGGAACUCUGCAAUAAGGUUGCAAUGGUAGACCUAUUUUACCAAAGGAAUCAACAAAGCUGAGCUGCUGCGUACAAAGCUGUGCACGAUGAGAUUAAAUACUACAACUGCGUUUUCGGUCCAACAAAACAGUAGCGUGAUGAUGCCGGAGUGAACCUCGCUAUGUCACAUUCAUUGAUUUACUCCACUUGACCAACUUAAUUUACGACGUCCACAACUACGUACUGCUCAUGCACGUGCGUUACGUACAGAUACAGAGCAUCAUUGCGUUUACGUAUUGCCCAUCCCCUUGGCCAUUUGGCCACUUGGGCCAUAAUCUAGGUUGCCUAUGUUCCUUGGAUAUGCAUAAUUACUACUACUUCUUAGUAGCUGAUAUGAUUGAAUCUGCCAUUAAUCUAUCCUCGUAUACAUGUGCGUGCAGGGCUACACCGUUCAACGCGACCAGCUUCAACGCAUACGUGCUACAGGGGAGCGCGCCAGCCCUGCCGGAGACGAAGCGGCUGUACAACAAGCUGCGCUCGAUCGGCGUCAAGCCGGUGUUCCUCACCGGCCGGACUGAGGACCAGAGGGCCAUCACCGUCACCAACCUCCGCCGCCAGGGGAUCUCUGGGUGGAUGAACCUCUUGCUGAAGCAACCCGGGUUCAAGGGCUCUGCGGUGACCUACAAGUCCGGCGAGAGGCAGAAGCUGCAGGACGCCGGGUAUGUCAUCGUCGGUAACAUCGGCGACCAGUGGAGCGACAUCCUCGGCGCGCCAGAGGGUGCCCGCACCUUCAAGCUGCCCGACCCCAUGUACUACAUCGGCUAGGCCGCCUCUGGCUCGGCCGGGCAUGCUGCCAUUGAUUUCUCGAAUAAGCUCCAUGCUCUUAGUUAUAUGCAUGUUUCGUCAGAUAAUCAAUCCCCAAUUGUUGCUUGGUUCAUUUCCAUUGUUGAGAGCUUGAGAUCAAUUGCUACUAUGAAUUAGACGUGUAAGUGGAGAUGUUGCAUGCUGCUUAAUCAAUGGAUCUUUGUUAUGUUGUUUUUCUUUUUGCUCUAUUACAAGGAAUCCAUGGGCAUUAUUACUAUUUGAUAUCUUGUUCUUAAGUCUUAACUUGGAACUUAUAUUGCUGGUGGUAGAUUUUUCUGUACUAAAUUCUGCAUAUGGUGUAUUAAAUAUCAGGGACACAUAAUAUUGUCACACAUAUGGAAUCACUACUGCUAAAAUGACCAGUUCCUGAACCCAUCUGCUAUUGGGCCCAUUUUGGCCCGUCGGAGGAAGGGAUCAUCGUCGGUGGACAGGCAAAGAAGUGCUCGCAUAGACUCCUUCAAAAAAUGUGCCCUCAUAGACGACGGGUAUUUUCCACUGAUGUUGCGCAACUGGUGAUUGCAAUGUAGUUUGUGUCUUGCAUGUUGUAUGCAUAUGUAAUGAAUGUAACAUCUAAUAGUUAAUUAUGCAAGACAAAUAAAGCCCACCCUUUUCAGUAAGUUUAGAGCUAGAUUUGAGUUUGUCUUGGUCUCAUUUUUCUAAACAUACAAUCCUGGAGACAACUCGGUGAAGAAAUGAUGGUCCAAAUAGGUGUCUAACACGAAUCGUCAUCAAAGAAACCCUAUGGGAACCCACACUAUUCUAGUUACUUGGAUGAUUUGUAAUGAAAGAAAUAUAUGUGUCUUCCAAGUUAUUUUGACCAUGCCAAACAACAUCCCUGCUAAGAUAAAAAACGAUGUGGAGACUUGGAUAAAGGCCGGGCGAAGGAUCUGGGAAACAUUAUGCCAGGAGAGUAGUUCCGUUCUAUUAAUUUAUCCUUGGAUGACGUUUCGCGGAGAGAGGGGAGAGGGCGACCUGGGCGAUCUGGGAGCGUCGGGGGCCGCCGUGGGCAUCGUCGGAGAGGGGGAACAUCGGUACUCCUCCUCCGAUCUCGCAUCCCAGGCGCGGCGCCGGAGCCCGAUCUCGGCGGUGGAGGGACCUACUGUCCGUGUCCGAUGGAGAGUUGCGUACUCAGAGGCUGGUUAUUCGGAUCUGCGUGAGGGGCAGAUUGUUUUUCAUUCGGUUUCUCGUUGGAUGACACUACGGGAUGACGACGACGACAUCCUCGCCGGCUGCCAUCUCCAAGAGGAAGAUCUCAUCUGCGAAGGUGCGCAUUUCAUGGUGGAUAUCUUUUCUGUUACUUGUAUUUCUCCUUUCCUGCAGGUGAAUUCACAAGAACGGAUGCAGCCUGAUUUGGUGGACAUAUCUGACGAUGAUAAGAUCGCCUCACCAAGACUUCUCCCUCGAGUUGGGGGGAGGUUUUGGGUACUGGCUAAAGAUGAAGACGACGAGAACCACGACAUUGCCGUAGCACAGGAGGUCUCUGCUCCUUUCUGCGACCAGGUUUUCCAUCCGGCCACGAGGGAUUUUAUUCAUGCAUUGCCUGAUUCGAAGGUCGUUAAGGUAGUUCAACGCAAGGAGCGAUUGGCGAUUAAACCUUGGAGCGGUCCUCUGCCUAAGGUUCAUCUCGAACCAUUGCGGAUCUCGGACAUCAUACCUUGAGAGGCUUGGACUACUGUUUUGCCUAAGAGGAAGAACAAGGGUAAGAGCCGUAAAUUGCAGACGUCAGUCCCUGACAAGGUGCUGUCGUCCCGUGAUUCUCGCGAAUUACGUUUGAACGAGCCGAUGGCUGUUGUCGGGCCGUUGGGACCGGCGCUCGAGUUGGGCUUAAAAGAAACUGGGUAUAUGGCCCAGAUAGACUCCAAUCUAGCAAAACCUGCAAGUCCUACACCUACGGCUGCCCAGAUUUGCCUUGACGAGAAUCAUCAGGACUUGGUUUCUACGUCAAGUUUGCAUAUACCGAGUUCGGCUCUGCCUAGGGUUCCACGACGGCGUUUGCCUGGCUUCCCUUCGCUCGGGCCGGGUCGUGCAGUACGGGUUCCAGCGCUGCGGUGCAUGGCGGGGCGGGGAAACAAGCAGGCGCUGCCUCCCCCUCGACCACCGGCGGUUUCCCAGGCUGUGGGGCGGACUAGGCAGCAGCCCGUGAUGCCGCCAGGGCGCCAGACGGGCCAGGCUUCGGCUGCACCGGUUCCCGCUGCUGGUCAGGGUUUGCCCAACGCGGCUCGGGCGGAUACUAACAGGAUGCAGCCGAGAGGUCGAUGGGGGGAUGAUGGUGUUAAUGCAUAUGGUGAUGGACAGCACCGUGGAUCCUCUUCGUCUGGAGGAGGACGUGGCUAUGCCUGGCAGAGCAAUGGCAGCGCUGCUAAUGGGUUCGCCGGUCCUCCGGGACAGUUUGUGCCCCGGGUCUCGGGUCCUACUCACCCUAGGGAGGUGGAUAUAAGCAACAUUGGGGAGGGAGAGGUGGUGGCAGGAGAUUGAAGCCGCCCACGCCUCCAGUAGAGGUAGAUGCUGCCAAGACAACGGCGGGAGUACCUUCCAAUGCUCCUAAGGGGAAUACACUGCUGCCACCUGUUUCCGAGGAGGAUCCUUCCUUGGCUGACAAGGGAGUAUCGCUUGCGAAGGCAGAGGGGGGGGGAUAGGCCCUCCAAGUGGGCACGCAAAAAAGAAAAGAUGACAUGCUACCGUUGCAGUGAGACGGGUCAUUUUGUUUCCGAAUGCAGCGCGGAUCUGUGUGACUUUUGCUUAAAGCCUAAGCAUGGCUCAGCUAAGUGCCCCCUUACUGUUGGUCCUAUACAUGUCGUCACUUUAUAUGGGGUUUGCUGCCAAGAGUUGAUGUUCUUUGAAUCUCCCUCUGCUUCAACGUCGUUGCAUGUGCCAGACGCGGCCUAUACGGGGACGGUUACGGUGGCUCGUGGUAAUAUGUCAGCUGAGCAGGUGGUGCAACAGUUGAGGGAUCUUGUUUCAUCAAUGUUUCGGUGGGAACUGGUCCUUAUAGCAGAUAAUGUGUUCAAGGUUGUGUUCCCUACCAAGGAGGACCUAGCUAGACUGCUCAAGUUUGGUAUGUGUCGGGUUCCUAGUACUAGUUGUGUGCUAGAGUUCGAUGCUUGGAAGAAUGAGGAGCCAUAAGGUGUGCCACUUCCUCAGAUUUGGGUUCGUUUUUCAGGGGCCCCGUCAAAGGCUCUAAAUGACUUUCUGGUGACUUGGAGUUUGGGAUCUUUGAUAGGUAAGACUGAGAGGGUGGAUAUGCAAUAUACUCGGGCUAAAGGUGUUGCCAGGAUGAGGGUUAGUGUAAUUGAUAUUGCGCUAGUACCGGAUGAAGUUAUAUGGACUUAUGAUGGAAUGCGGUACACCUUGCAACUCGAGAUCGAGAGUCCGGAUAUGUUCGAGGAGGAUGGGACAGACAAAGAUACCGAUAUGGCUGACGGAGAUGAUGCUUCGGGUUCUAGGGAAUCUGAUAAGAAGGAUCAACAGCCAGUUAUUACAAAGAUGGUGGAUCAACCUACCUCAGGUUCUGCUACAGGGGCUGCUCAACCAGUGUCUCUUCCCUCGACGCAGCUUAGGUUCGGUUCCUUUGAACCAGCCUCGGCGCCAGAGAUUCGAGGGAGGGCUUCAGAGAAGUAUGAGCGGGAUCUGGUUCAUCUUAAGCCGCAAGGAAAGCAAGCAAAGUCAGGGUCAUUCAGUAUUAAAAAUCCUAAGGAAGCUUUGACCGUAGUUUCUCUUGGGGAAUAUUUUGUUGUCGCUAGGAAUGCUGAUACGGGCCGGUCUCAGCAACGUGAUGCAGUGCAGCCAGCAAGGCAUAUGUUGUCCGGGUUGGGUACUGUGCCGAGGGGUGCGCCGCCUGGGUCGCCUAGGCAGGGUUCGCUGCUGCUGUAGAGUCCAUCGCCAGCCACCCAGGGGGUUGCUGUUUCUCGGCCAGCCACCCCUGGGGCUGCUACCUUUUUGCCAGCCACACCGAGGGCAAUUACAGCGACUCCUCCUCCUGGCCUACUUCCGUCGUUGGAUGCUGCUGCGAGAUCCACCCCUGCUGCUGGUUUCAUGUCAGCCGAGAGAUCAACCCCUGUUGCUGCGGUUCCUAUCGCUACUAUGGCUGCAACCGGGGCAUCAUCUUUGCGGGUGUCAGGGCUGGAGGGUACUGGUCAGGGGCACCAUGGCGAGGUCGUUGCACCGCCGUCUGUUGAGCAGGUCAUAGCAUACGGAGGUAUUCAAAGUCCGCUGACUUCGGACAGGAGGUCCAGUCGGCGAAUUCAGAAUCAACCUGAUGCGGAUUAUUUACAGAUGGGACGUGCUAUGCGUGCGGCUAAAAUGAGAGAUGUCGAAACUGAGACAGGUAUGUCUUUCAGCAUUAACGAUUCUAUUCUUCAUUUUUCUCCUCAAGAUAUUCUAGAUAAGGCAGGUUCUAUUGGGGUUACAUUGGGGAACAAUGGCCGAGAAAUUUCGAAAUCUAUUAAUGAUCUAUUAGACUUAGAGGUCGAUAGAGCGUUAGACUUAGUACGAAAUUUAGCGGCAGUUAAACCAAUGCAAGAGUCUGAAGUUAACGAUCUAGGGGGACUGAAUUCUCUUUGUGAUAGUCUGGCCCCGUCAGUGGAUAUAGAGGAUGGUGCGGGCGAGGUUUUAGUUGGUCAAGGGAUGUGUGCCCAAUCUCAUAAGGCUGAGCCUCAAUUCUCUGGUUAUAUGGACCAGGAGUUGCUGGAAAAGCCGAAGCGUCCAUGGAGACGGAAAGUGUAUCCGGUCUCUGCGAUACGUAGAAGUGCUAGAUUUAAGAUUGCCAAAAAAAAUUAUGAUGAUUAAUGAGAGGAAUUUUUUGGAAUAGCAGAGGUCUUUGAGACUUGGCUAAAAGAAGAUUUCUAGCAGAGGCUACUUUAGAGCAUCACCUUGAUUUUAUCGCAGUGAUGGAGACAGGGAGGGAUAACUUUACGUCUCAUUUUUUAAGUUCUCUAUCAGCUGGGGUGGAUUUUGACUGGCACUGUCUCCCUCCAAGAGGAAGGUCCGGUGGGAUCUUACUUGGGGUCCGUUGUGACACUUUUCAAGUGCGGGAGGUGGUGUUUGGGGAGUUUGCAGUCAAAUUCAAGAUUAGAUCUAAGGAUGACGGGUUCCAAUGGGCUCUCGUUGCCGUCUAUGGCGUAGCACAGCCAGAUCUAAAGCCUGAUUUCCUAGCAGAUCUGGUCAGGAUUUGUGAUGACAAACUACCAUUGCUGGUAGGUGGAGAUUUUAAUAUUAUUAGGCGGGCUGAUGAAAAAAGUAGUGUUAAUUUUGAUGGAAGAUGGCCUUUCAUGUUUAACACAAUUAUUGAGAGCUUAGAUAUGAGGGAGACCGCUCUAUCAGGUAGGAAAUAUACCUGGGUGAAUGCUCUACAGAAUCAGACAUUUGAAAAGUUGGAUCGUGUCUUAACUAGUGUAGAGUGGGAGCAGAAGUUCCCUCUAGUAACUGUUAGAGAACUUCAACGCGCAAUCUCGGAUCAUACUCCUCUGUUGCUGGAUUCCGGUGAGGCUAGCCAUAUAGGAAACAAACAUGGAUUCUCUUUUGAAUCAAGUUGGUUCACAAGGGAGGGGUUCAUGGAUAUGGUCGAGAGGGAAUGGAAUACAGAGGUCAGGGGCGAAACCUCUAUAGAAAGAUGGCAGUAUAAGAUUAGACAUCUUAGACAGUAUUUGAGGGGCUGGUCUAAGAAUGUGUGUGGAAUAUAUAAAGAAGAGCAAGAUAAGCUCCUCAAACUUAUAGACAAUCUAGAUCGGAAGGCUGAGAGUUGUCUUCUGGAUGCUAACGAAAGGGAUCUCAAAUUCGAGGCCGGACAGCGCUUGCGUAUUCUCCUAAGAGAGGAGGAAAUGAAAUGGGCGCUUGAGCCAAAGUGAAGGCCAUAGUUCUUGGAGACAAUAACACUAAAUUUUUCCACUUGAUUGCAAAUGGCAAGCAUAGGAAAAAGAAAAUAGUGCAGCUUGAGCAAGAUGAGGGUACAAUACUAGGUCAUGAGAAUCUAAAAUUGUACAUCUCUAACUACUACAAACAUUUAUUUGGUGCUCCUGAGCAUAGCUUUGUGACUAUGGAUGAGCAAAAAGUGGCGGAUAUUCCUCAAGUUGGAGAGGCUGACAAUGAGAUUUUAUCCGCUCCUUUCUCAGAGAAAGAGGUGUUUGACGCGAUAGGGAAUAUGAAGAAUGGAAAAGCUCCCGGUCCAGAUGGGUUUCCGGCGGAGUUUUACAAGCACUGUUGGCAUAUUAUUAAGAAUGAUCUUAUGUCAAUGUUUGCUGAUCUUUUUAGUGGUCACCUUCAACUCUUCCAUUUGAAUUUUGGUACUAUUACACUCUUACCAAAGAAGGAAGGGGCCACGCGGAUUGAACAGUUUCGUCCGAUCUGUUUGUUGAAUGUUAGCUUCAAGAUUUUCACAAAGGUGGGAACAGAUAGGUUGACUAAGAUGGCCCAUUCGGUGGUACAAUCUACGCAAACAGCUUUUAUGCCAGGACGGAAUAUCCUUGAAGGAGUCGUUGUCUUGCAUGAAACUCUUCAUGAAAUGCACUCGAAGAAACUAGAUGGGGUUAUCUUUAAAGUGGAUUUCGAAAAAGCUUACGAUAAAGUCAAAUGGUCGUUUCUCCAGCAAACCCUACGUAUGAAGGGUUUCGAUGAGCUGUGGCGUAGGCACGUCGAUUGUUUUAUAAAGAAGGGAAGUGUGGGUGUCAAAGUGAAUGAUGAUGUGGGUCAUUUUUUCCAGACACUAAAGGGUCUCCGCCAAGGAGAUCCAAUGUCUCCCAUUUUAUUUAACAUUGUUGCUGAUAUGUUGGCACUGCUGAUUAAGCGGGCCAAUGAGAAGGACCUUGUAAGGGGCUUGAUCCCUCAUCUUGUUGAGGGGGGGAGUCUCCAUUUUACAAUAUGUGGAUGACACGAUUCUUUUUUUGGAGCAUGAUCUCAGUAAAGCCAGGAACCUCAAACUUAUCCUAUGCUUAUUUGAACAGCUAUUAGGGCUGAAGAUAAAUUUUCAUAAAAGUGAAUUGUUUUGCUUUGGAAAGGCCAAGGAUGAGCAGCUCACGUAUAAUCAAUUGUUUGGUUGUGCUAGCGGGAGUUUACCUUUUACUUAUUUAGGGAUCCCAAUUCAUCACAGAAAAUUAUCAAAUAAGGAUUGGAAAUGUAUCGAGGACCGUUUCGAAAAAAGUUGAGCUGUUGGAAGGGCGAGCUCUUAUCGUAUGGAGGAAGGUUGAUACUGGUUAAUUCAGUAUUAACAAGUAUGCCUAUGUUUCUCCUAUCCUUCUUUGAAGUACCUGUUGGGGUACGGAAAAGGUUGGAUUUCAAUCGAUCACGGUUUUUCUGGCAAAGUGAUGAGAUCAAGACUAAAUACAGACUCUCGAGAUGGGACAUCAUGUGUAGACCUAAGGAUCAAGGAGGUUUAGGGAUUGAAAAUUUAGAGAUUAAAAAUAAAUGUCUACUCAAUAAAUGGCUGUCUAGAUUAUCUAUGGAGACAAAGGGGUUGUGGGUACAAAUUCUGACGAAUAAAUACCUACAAAACAAGACUUUGGCGCAGGUUACAUUGAGACCAACUGAUUCACCGUUCUGGAAGGGGGUCAUGCGGUCUAAGAAUGCUUUUUUUCUCAGGUCUAAGUUUGUUAUUGGCAAUGGCCAAUCUACUAGAUUUUGGGAGGAUACUUGGUUGGGGGAGACGCCUUUAGCCAUGCAGUAUCCGCAACUCUACCAUAUUACACAAAGGCGUCAGGCGACUGUUGCGUCAAUUUUGCGCCAGGUUCCUCUAAAUAUUCAGUUAUGUAGAGCCUUAAUAGGUAACACAUGGUCAAGCUGGCUGCAUCUAGUGAGAAGGUUGUUGGAUAUUACCCUUACUGAGAACCCUGAUAGUGUUCGUUGGAAGUUGACCACUGAUGGAGUUUUCUCGGUAAAAUCUAUGUAUUUAGAUCUCAUAGAUUCUGUGUCCAUCCCGAAGUCCUUACAUAUUUGGAAGGUCAAAGUUCCACUUAGAAUUAAGAUCUUCAUGUGGUUUGUUCGCAAGGGGGUUAUUCUAACUAAGGAUAAUUUGGUCAAACGUAAAUGAAAAGGUAAUACUAGAUGCAGUUUUUGUGAGAACGAUGAAACAAUUAAACACCUCUUUCUGGACUGUCCUAUGGCUAAACUUCUAUGGCGAACACUUCUUAUUACUUUCAACAUUAAGCCACCCAAUAGUUUAAACACGUCAUUUGGGACGUGGUUAAGAGGGGUCGAUGAUAUAACUGCUAGCCUGAUCCGAGUAGGAUCAUGUGCACUUCUGUGGGCUACAUGAAACUGUAGAAAUGACUUGGUAUUUAACAAACAUCAACAUAUUCACUUUUUGCAGGUCAUUUUCAGGGUUAUUGCCUUGAUCCGCACAUGAUCAUUACUCACUCCUGUGGAAGCCAGGGAGCCUAUGGUUACUGGGUGUGUCCGAUGGAAGAUGGUAGCUCAGGUUAUCUUCAACCGUUUUGGAUGACGGCAUAUUAAUAGGAUAGGUGUUUAGUCAUCUAGGCUUAUUUCAAUGCCUCCCGGUUGUGGCGACGACGCCGUGUAUCUUUUUGUUAUUUUCUUCAUUUACUUAUCUGAAGACUCUUUGUACUUUUCGAGGAUUUGGUUUUGAAAUAAUAUAUGGCCGUAUGCAUCCUUCGAUGCCGAGGCCGGGGCUUUGCCUCCUUUUCAAAACAAAAAAAUUUAAUUUAUCCUUUCAUUGUUAACCCCUUUUUUGGACUGCAGUUAUUCUAACUCUCUUUUAAGUAAUGUAAUAAGGCAUAUCUUUUUCCUCCAUUUCGAGACAAAGUUCGGACCUAGCACAACUGUAACAUCCGCUCUACAUCGACUCACUCUAGAGAGACUAGUCUUGGCACCUUUUGCAGAACAUGAUUAGUGUCCUGACAUGGAGUAUUUUAGCAUAUAAUGGUCAACUCUCAAGCACAUAUCACUUCAAAUUGCAUUGCUGAAAAAGAACAUACACUUGCACGUUUUUCGAACUUUCACGCAACAAUAAAGUAACUCAAUGAAAUAUUAUGAUACACUCAAAAACAAUAAUAAGCACUCAACAAAAUAUCAACAGUUUUAUUUUGAUGGACGUAGUAGGACUGUAUCUGUUGUCCACUUGGCUACUUUAUCAACAUAUUUAUUUCAACCACCCUGAUCAACAGACAAUAUCUAAGUAUGUUAUGCUAAUUGAGUUAAAAUGGAUAAUCCUUAUUUUAUAAGAUGCAAGGAGUCGAAACAUAUUGUGAUUAGUUGCAUGCUACUAGCCUACUACAACACUAUUGAUCUUAGUUAAGAAGAUUAUCUUGUGAUUAGACGAAGUCUAGAUCAUCUAGCCAAGUAUGAAAAUAUUUAAAGGAGCGUGUGGAUACCUUUUCUUCUUUAAUAAAGGAAAAAAAAUUGUGUAUAUAUGCGAGUCUGAAAACAAAGAAAAGAAAGAUGGACAGCUUAUCACAGCUUCACAUAUGUCAUCUACUCCCUGCGUUCCUAAAUAUAAGUCUUUUAAAAGAUUUUACUAAAAGACUAUAUAUGAAGCAAAAUGAAUGAAUCUACAUUUUAAAUAUAUCUAUAUACAUUCUUUAGAAAGACUUAUAUUUAGGAACGGAGGGAGUAAUAGCUAAUUGAGGGGUUCAAAUAACUUUGUUUCGCAAUAAUGAUUGAAAAUCAACCUUUUGUUGAAAUCCGAAACUCUACGUACGGUAGACCUAUUUUUAUCAAGGGAAUCAACAAAGAUGAUCUGCUACAUAAAAAUGCGCGUAUGGUCACUCACGAGCCACAAGGACGAUGCUUGAGUAGUGAUGAGUGAGGUGCACGAUGAGAUUAAAUAUUCCAACUAGUGUAACCGAAAAGUAUAGUAAGUUAGACAUCGUUCUUGGUCCACGAAAAUAGUGGCGUGAUCGAUGACAUCUUGAUGCCGGCCGGAGACUAGGAUCUGGCUGUUUGAUAGGGUACCAAUUAAUUUAUACCCUCCACUUGGCCAACUUACUUCAUCACCAGUCGAUAACUGUAUACGCAUUGUUCCAUAUUCAUGCAUGCACGUGCUUACAGCCCAAGAGCAUUGGGUUUAGCUGGUGCUGUCUGAUCCGCUUGAACUCGUAGAAAAAGGGCCUUUGGCCUGGACCCUUUAGUCCCAGCCUGUCUUUCGGUCGGAACUAAAAGCCGGCCACGUCAUCCCAAAUUAUCAGUUUAACCCGCUUGGCCACCAUUUAUAUCAUUAAAAAACCUCAAAUUUGUAGCGGGGUGAGUUUACAUGUUACCUUGGAUCGCCAUUGUUUUUUUGGCCCUGCGUGUAACGACGAUGGCCGGAGUAGGCUCGUGCAGAUUAGUCCUCCUCUUGGUAAUUAAGGAGUAUAUAUCCACUAGCUAGUGUCUGACAUUCAGAACCUCCACUCGAUGGCCAGAGUAUUUGAUAUUUAUACUCUCCUCUUGGUAAUUAAGGAGUGCAUAUCCACUAGCUAGUGAUCUAAACGUUUCUAUAUUAAUUUAUGGAGGAAAUAUUUAAUAAGGUUAUUACCCAACAUUACAGGCGCCAUCCGAUAAACCAUAUCACUUUUUUUUGCGAGGACCUAAACCAUAUUCAAAAUGCAGAAUUACUGGCACGUGGUGUAGUUUACGGAUCGAGCCUCCUCCUUCGUGGGCACCAUAGUAGUCAUGCAAGACAUCGUAGUUAUAUAGUGGUCAAGUGUGAGUUAUGAUUGCUUGUAUAUUUUUUAUGCGAUUUAUGAGUCAAUAAAAGUGCUUUUAUUGAGAAAUGUAUCUAUAUUGAUUAUUGUUGAACCUGCCAUUAAUGUAACUAUUUACACAUGUGCGGGGCCAUGCCGUCCAACACGAGGAGCUUCAAAGCGUAUGUGUGGGAGGGGAGUGCGUCGAUGCUGCAAUGACGAACUGCUCUUGGUCGGCGUCCAGCCGGUGUUCCUCACCGGCCAGACCGAGGACCAUAGGGACAUCAUCGUCACCAACCUCCACCGCCCGAGUUCAAGGGCUCCACGGUAACCUACAAGUCUCAUGAGAGGCAGAAGUUGCCGACGACCUGGUAUGUCAUCGUGGGCACCAUUGAUGACCAAGGGAACGACAUCCUGGGGGUAUCCGGUGGGGGGCACACCUUCAAGUUGCCCGACCACAACGGCUAGGCUACAUAGAGAUCGGCCAUGCCUUGAUUGAUUUCUUGAGUAAGCUCUAUGCUUUCAAUUGUAUGCAUGUUUAGUAAACAAUCCCUCCCUAGUUGUUGCUUUGUUCAUUUUCAUUGUCGAGAACUUGAGAUCAAUAGUUAGUAUUUAUAAGACGUGUUACGCUAAAAGUUGCAUGCAACAUAAUCAAUGGUUUGUUGGUUUUAUUGUUUCUCUCUAUUACGAGAUCCAUGGGCUAUAUUGUUGUUUGAUGUAUUGUAAUUCUUAACUUGGAUCUGUAAUAUUGAUCAUGGUGUACUUUUUAACUAAAGAUUGUUGAUGGUGGAAUUAGUAUGAAAGGUACAUAGUGCUGUCACACAUAGGGUGUCACUACUCCCAUUUUGGCCCAACAGAAGGAAGGGUCAUCAUUUACGGGUCACCAGACUGCGUUAGUAUAGAGGCAACAAGGUAUUUUAACCAUGCCGAACAUCAUUAUUGUGAAGAUUAAAAAUGAGGCGGCAACUUGGGUCAAUUUUUGGGGUGGAGGAUUUGAGAAACACUAUGCCCCGUGAGAAACUCCGCUAUAUUAUUUAAGUCUUUCGUUUUUAGCCUCUCUUUUUUCGGCAGCGGUUCUUCCAACUCUCCUAGUAAAUAGAAAGGGGGAAAGAAAAUCUUUUGCCUCCAUUUUGAAAAAGAAAAGGUUGAGACUAACAUCCCUUUCCAUCGACCCACUCUAGAGAGUGUCUCCAACCUUGUUUUCUUGGCCCUUUUGCAUGACAUGAGUAGUGUCCUAACAUGGACUCCUUGAUGUGUAACGCUCAGCUCUCCUGACCAAAUCGCUUAGAAUUACAUCACACGCAAAAGUUAUAUACUUUUGCAUGUUUUUCGCACGUCAAUGCAACAUUAAAAAUUUCAAUGAAACAUUAUGAUACAUUUUGAAACAAAAAAGAACUCAGCAAAACAUACUGUGGAAAUAGAAAAUUUUUGCCAACAACUAAAAAAACGCAGUCAUCAAUUUAGCCGCAACAAAAAUAAGAUGUUAGAAGUCAGAACAUCUUGUGCAUGAUUAUAUGCUAUAGGACUAUUCAUUAGAGAAACUAGUUGGGUAAAACUUUCUCCUUUUUCCGAAUCUCCUUUUUAAUGUGGGGAAAAAGCUAAUGCAUUGUGGUUUAAAGUAAAUAUUACAUCGGCCUGGGAAAUUUAAAAUGAAUCUAGACUGGACGGCUACAAAGAGAACCAUAAAAGUAUUCAAGCACGUCAGAAGAAAAGGAAAGAUAAAAUUCAAAAAAGAAAAGAGAAAAGGAAAGAUGAACAACCUAUCACUUGCCUCAUAUCUUUACCUAAUAAUAAAGAGGCUAUUGCUUCCGUCGAAAAACCCACCGCUGCCGUUUUUUAAAAAGCCCCCUGUCUUUUAGGUAAUUAAACCCGCAGUACCUUUUUAUGUGUUACGAACAUGAAAACGUUUCAUUUUUGCAGGGAGCCUCCCAUGGCAUUGGAUAAGAGAAACGCAUCUGGGCUGACGAAAACGCACGAGAGGGCUAUCGCUUCUGCCCUCAUAAUCCCACAUCGAUACUUCACAGAUAAUUUCAUCACUUUAUAUACAUGCGCCUUGGUGAUUUUACAAGAGGCAACGGAAAUCAAGAGAGGAACAAAUUCGAGAAGAAGAAAUUGAGAUGACGCAAACAGAGGUGGAGCUGCGAGACAGAGGGGGCUCGGGGCGAAGGAAAGGGUCGGGCGCCGGCGAUGCAUACGUGGAGGUGGGGGCGUCGGGGUUAGAGGAUUCAGGCAACCGGCGGGGUAAGUCUUGCCGGAGACUGGCCCCAUAGGCCGACCUCGCAGCAGCACACCAUGGGAGGUGGUCGCGAGGUGCAGAGGUGGGAGGCGGUGGAGGAGCGGAGGAGGAGGCGAGUGCGGGCGCCAUUGGAAGGGGGGAGUCGGGGAGAUUGGGGAUCCUGUGGGGCUCUCUCCCCUAGCGGCGCGAGGUGGAGGAGAGGAGGGGGGCUGGGGAUCGGGCUAGGUUAGGGGAUUUAGGAGUGGGUAAGGCUAUGCCUUGGCACGCCUAAUGGGUUGUGCACUACUACUCAUCUCUCUUUCCUUUAAUUUCUUUAUCUAAAUUCUUUAAUUAAAAAUAUGUGGUAUUAUUUUUUUUCCGUUGCAACGCACGGGUCCUUUUGCUAGUAUCAUCUAACAAAUCGAGGGGUUCGCAUAGAUCUGCUUCGCCACAUAAUAAUAUAAUCAUGACAAAAGGCUACCUUCUGGUGAAAGCAGAAGCUCUGCAAUAAAGCUGCAAUCGUAGACCUAUUUUAUGAAGGGAACCAACAAAUCGAGCUGCACAAUCCAAUUAAAUACUAAUUCCUCCGUUCCUAAAUAUAAGAUUUUUUAAAGAUUAUAUUAUGAACUACAUAAAAAGAAAAAUGAAUGAAUCUAUAUUUUAAAAUAUGUUUAUAUACAUUUGUAUGUAGUUCAUAGUUAAAUCUAUAAAAGGUCUUAUAUUUAAAAACAGAGGGAGUAUAAGUACUGAGUAAGUUUGACAUUUGUUCUUGGUCCAACAAAACAGUCGUGUGACCCAUGACGAAGCGGCGAUGCCGGAGUUGGAUCUCACUGUCUGAUAUUUAUCGAUUUGUGCCCUCCACUUGGCCAGCUUAAUUGAUCACCAGUCUCUUUCAUUGACAAUUAGUGCUGCUCAUACACGUGCGUUGCAUACAGAUGAUAUAUUGGGUUUAGGUACGGCUGUCUGAUCCACUUGGCCACCUUCUCACUAGAAAGCUCAAGUUUGCAGCGACGAGUUUGCAUGUUACUACAUUGGAUCGCCGUUGUUUAGCCCUGCGUGUGUGAUGAGGGGCGGAGACCCGGAGCAGACCCGUGCAGAUUCGUAUUCCCUUGGUUAUGUUUUAUUCUGUAUAUUAGGUUUGUAUAAUGUAAAACCUAAAUUUGCUUCGCCACAUAAUAUAAAAUAAUAUAAUCAUGACAAAGGCUACCUUCUGGUGAAAGCAGAAGCUCUGCAAUCAAGCUGCAAUCGUAGACCUAUUUUAUGGAGGGAACCAACAAAUCGAGCUGCACAAUCAAAUUAAAUACUACUCCCUCCCUUUUUAAAUAUAAAAACUUUUAAAAAUUAUACUAUGAACUAUAUAAGAAACGGAAUGAGUGAAUCAAUACUCUAAAAUACUCCCUCCGUUCUAAAAUAGGUGUCUUAACCUUAAUACAAUUUUGUACUAGAUCUAGUACAAAGUUGAGACAAUUAUUUUAAGACAGAGAGAGUAUGUCUAUAUAUAUUUAUAUGUAGUUUAUGUUGGCUUUGGAUCCGUAGAUUAAUUCACCCAGUAGCUACCACAUACGUGCAAGCUAGCCUCUAAGCUAGCAAGCAGGCACACAAGUGGAUGGAUAUCCAAUUCGUAGAAAUAGAACGACGUACGACGAGCUAGCUAACUGAUUCGAUCGUCUUGACUGCUCGGAAUGUAACUCGUUGAAAAACUGAUCGAUGGAUUGCUAACAGGCUCGUAUCGAGCCUGGUACUUUUUUAUUGCGUUUUGAUCUCUGGUGUUACAAGCAACAUCUCUAGGAUGCCUUUUAUACACAUCCACAAGGAACUAUGAAAAUAGACUAGGACUAGGUAUCCUAAUACUACUAGAACUCGGUUUGAUUUUCUUUCCUAAUCCUAUGUGUACAAGGCAACGUGAUUAACUCACAUUCACCCCCUAAUCACGAUGUCCUUACUUCCGACCUGGGUCCCAAACACGAUUGCUGCUUCUCAUAAAUGUUAUCAUCGACAUGGCCUUUGUCGUCCCUUGCAACAUUUUAUGGACCGUCUUUACUGUCGUCGGCUCGUCCGUAGCUCGAUGACAACACUCCUUUUUGGUCGUGUCUUCAAUCUUCAUCUCUUCUUCGGUGCUUUGUAGACUGUCCUUCGGAUCAUCGAGGGUACAUCUUUUGAACCUGAGCGUGACCAUACUUUGGUCUAACUUUGAAUUUCAAGCUCUUGGCGCUUGCAUCAGCCCGUAACUUUGAACCACAAGGAAGAAGUACUUCUUUCCUCCGUGAGUUGCUGGGGUGAUAGGGCCACAUAGAUCACCAUGGAGCAGCUAGAGUGCAUCACUUGCACGAUAGGUAGACUGAGCAGGGAACGGCCUGCGGUGCUGUUUUCCAACCAAGCACCCGUCACAUACUCGAUCAACAUGGUCGAUAACUGGCAUCCCGGAUACCAUCUCCAUCUUUGACAUCUUCUUCAAGGCGUAGAAGUUAACAUGUCCGAAUCAUCAUCACUCUUGGCGAGCCAACACUCCAGUUGAGAUUGAUCAAGGUUGAGGAUAUAGAGCCUGUUCCGUGUGCGAGUAACACGAGCUAGCACGUUUCGGAGGUUGUCGAAGAUCGUCAUUACUCCGUUAUCGAUACCCACCUUGCAUCCAUUCUCGUCAAGCUUCCCAAUAAAGAUGAUGUUGUUGUGAAGCCGUGGGAUGUAGUACACUCCGGUAAGUAUGCGAUGUUCGCCUGUGAGACCCUCGAAGAGGACAGAUCCUUGCCCACAAAUCUCCACAUUUGAACCAUCACCGAACUUGACUGAGCCUUCAACAUCGUAUUCCAGCUCGAGGAAUUUCUCCUUGCACCCCGUCAUGUGGUUACUGGCACCCGUGUCGAGAUACCACAACACAUUCUGAUCACCAGCUAACUUCGGUGUCACUUUGUUUUCAUGAAGUAGCACCUUCCGGCUUGGUUUCACAACCACCGUUUCAGCGAGAUCACAAACUUCGGCCAUCAGAAGACCUGGACCUUCGUCUUCCUCCUUUGCCAAAUUUGCCUUGAUCUCUCGCUUGUCAUGCUCCGGACAAUCCUUUGCAAAGUGACCCAUCUCGUUGCAGUUAUAGCACUUGACCUCGGACAUAUCCAAGUUCCGUUGCUUCCGCCCUUUAGAUCGGUCAGCCUUACCACGACCUUGUAGCUUGCCUUUUCCUUUGCCUUCUCCGGUUUGUCCGCCGCGCGUUGUGCUGCUUGAGCCUUCGUUGCCAUCACACCUUCCUUUGCUACUUGGGGACUCCCAAUCUGCACGUGAGUACAUGAGUUGGUCACUACCUCCUCCGUUGCCUUCCCGACAACUACGAGAAUUCUCUUCCCACGUCCGCAGGCGUCCGAUCGCCUCCGUUAUGGUCAUGUCGUCGAUGUCGUAAAGCUGCUCGAGCGUGCCAAUGAUGUACGUGAAUUUUUUAGUCACCGAACUGAAAAAUUUCUCCACAAUCUCGGUCUCCUCGAGCUUUGCACCAAGCGCGCGGAUCUCUCCCACCAAAGUAGUAAGACGCAUGGCAUAGUCGUUCACCGAUUCAGUUUUCUCCAUCUGCAACUUGUGAAAUUGGCGCUUCAGCACUUGUGCCCGAGCCUUGGUGACGCGAUCUUCUCCGAUCCUCAUCUCGUUGAGUGCGUUCCACGCCUCUCUUGCCGUCUCGAACUCCACCAAUGUCAUCAGCACGGAAUCCGGCACAGACUGGGCUAUGGCGGCCAUGGCACCUUCGUCGCGCUCCUCGUCGACGUCGUCGUCCGUGAUGGCCUCCCACACUCGAAGAGAUCGGAGAAUAAUCUUCAUCUUCACCGCCCACACGUCAUAGUUGGCAUCGGUGAGCAUCGGGUACUGGAUGGGGAUGUUGCGAUGCGCCUGGACGUUGGCGCUGCUCGUUCCUCCAUCACUCGUUGCUGACUUGUCGUCCUUCUUCACCUUGUCGUCGUUCUUGUUCGCCUUGGCACCGCCUUUGCCGGAUUUGACCGACUCAGCGUCGCUGUCCGUCAUCGUAGAUCGUAGAUCGUCGAGGCUCUGAUACCAAUUGUUGGCUCUGGAUCUGUAGAUCAAUUCACCCAGCAGCUACCACGUACGUGCAAGCUAGCCUCUAAGCUAGCAAGCAGGCACACAGGUGGAUGGAUAUCCAAUAGAACGACGACGAGCUAGCUGACUGAUUCGAUCGUCUUGACUGCUUGGAACGUAACUCGGUGAAAAACUGAUCGAUGGAUUGCUAACAGGCUCGUAUCGAGCCUGGUACUUUUUGUAUUGCGUUUUGAUCUCUGGUGUUAUAAGCAACAUCCCUAGGGUGUCUUUUAUACACAUCCACAAGGGACUAUGAAAAUAGACUAGGACUAGGUAUCCUAAUACUACUAGGACUCGGUUUGACUAUCUUUCUUAAUCCUAUGUGUACAAGGCAACGUGAUUAACUCACAGUUCAUAGUUGAAUCUUUAAAAGGGCUUAUAUUUAAGAACGAAGGGAGUAUAAGUAGUGAGUAAGUUUGGGACACGCCGUUUUGGCUCCCGGACUCAGAUGAGCCCGAGCGUAAACAGUACGCCAGUUUGGGGUGCAAAAAAUGUUCCAAAAAAUCAAAAAAAAUUGUGAUGCAAGAUGCUCCUAUGUGUGAACUCUCUGUAAAAUUUUGUGAAGUUUGGACAUACGAGGAGCUCACUGCAAAAAAGACGAAAUUCAGAUGUGUGAGAAACUUUUGAAAAUCACACUAUUCAUGCCUGAUUUUGUCUUUUUUGCUGCAAACUCUUCAAAUGUCCAAACUUCAUAAAAUUUUACAGAGUUCACACAUCGAAGCAUCUUGCAUCAUAAAAAAAUAUUUUUUUUAAACUUUUUUGUAUUCCAAACCGUUGUACUGUUCACCGGGCUCAUACGAGCCCGGGCUCACAGAUGGAUUACCGGUAAGUUUGACAUUUGUUCUUGGUCCAACAAAACAAUGGUGUGAUCGAUGACCAAGCGGCGAUGCCGGAGUUGGAUCUCGCUGUGUGAUAUUUAUCGAUUUGUGCCCUCCACUUGGCCAGCUUAAUUGAUCGCCAGUCUCCUUCAUUGACAAUUAGUGCUGCUCAUACACAUGCGUUGCAUACAAAUGAUAUAUUGGGUUUAGGUACGGCUGUCUGAUCCACCUGGCCACCUUCUCACUAGAAAAGCUCAAGUUUGCAGCGACGAGUUUGCAUGUUACUACUCCCUGUGUACCGAAAUAUAAGACCUUUAAGAAAAAUUCCGACCAGAUGAAAAUGUGGACAAUUGACCAGGUUACCCCCCACCUCCGGCAGCUCGCUAAUUUCAAAUCAACCCAGAUCCAGUCGCCCCCCACCUCCGGCCAGCUCGCUAAUAACCCAGAUCUCACUACUCUGCUUGUCCGCUCCCUCCUCUGCCCCAGCUUGUCCGCUCCCUCCUCUGCCCCAGCUUGUGCGGCCCCUCCUCUGCCCCUACCUCCUCUGCCCAGCUCGUCUGCUAGCUACCAGCAGCUUCUCCAGUAGCCAGCGGCAGCAGCUCCUCCGGCAGCUAGCAGUAGAUCCAGCAGCUCCUCCACCAGCCAAUAGGAACUCCAGCAGCUCCUCCACCAGCUAGCACGAGCUCCAGCAGCUCCUCCACCAGACACCAGCACCAGCUCAUCCACCAGCCAGCGGCAGCCCCUCUGUCUGCCGGCAGAAGCAGCUCUUCCGCCUCUGCACUCCCAGCUGCCUCAACGAGGUCCUCUCCCAGUGAUGCACCCAUCGCCCAACAGAUCGCCGGAGGUUUUUCUUUUGAUCCAGGGUGCAGAUCGCCACAGGAGGUCCUAGUGGUGUUGGAUCCUGCUUAUCCCGUCUCCUGCAAACCAAAAAAGCAGGACAAUUAGAGGGUAUUUAUCACAACUUAGCAACAGUUGAACAGAAAACAGUUUAACAACAGCAGCAAAAAUUUUAGCGAGAUCAACAACAUCAGUAGCAGCAUCAAGACAUAGCAACAAUAGCAGCAAUAGGGAGACAUAGAAGUAGCGACAUGGAGUGGCAGCAGGAGUUCAUCAAAAUCAAUAGGGAGUAGCAGCAGCAGGAGUUCAUCACAAUCAAAAUCAACAGGGAGUGGCAACAACAUGGAAUUUGACCUCAACUGUACUCCGCCCGAAGAAGAUGAGAUCAGUCAAAAUGAGAUCAACAUGGAGGACUCACAGGGAGGCAAUGAUCAUGUUGAAGAUGAGAUCAACAUGGAGGACUCACAGAGAGGCAAUGAUCCUGGUGAACAUGAUAUGAACAUGGAGCAAAUAAGGGGAGGCAAUGAUCCCCACGAAGAUGAUAACAGUAAGCACAAUAUACUCAUUUAGCAGUAACAGUGUCUCAUUUACCAAGUUUUUGAAAAUGAACAGCAAGUCUAGUUUCUGAAGAUGAACAGUAACUCCACUUUCUAGAAAUAAACAGUAAUAGUAACUCAUUUGAUCAUUUGAACAUGUGACCAUUUAAAUAUUUUAUCAAUUUAUCAUUUGAUAAUUUGAGUAGGACUAAUAUUUUUUCAUUGUUGUGUUUCUUGUUGCAGUUCUUGAGCAAGGAGUUAGAAAGAGGAAAACUCUGAGUGACCAACAAAAAUAUGCUGCUUAUGUGGCAUUGCACAUAUUAUGUAUGAGUAGAGGUGGAAAGUUCAAGAUAACGGAUAAGAAAAACCUUGCACAUUUUUUUAAUGUAGAAUUGAGGAGUAUACAAAGAGUUUGGCAGAAGGCGAUGAAGCAAAUUUCAGAAGGUUUCGAGGUGGAUGUUUCCAACCAGAAAAAAGGAAAUGUGGAAGAAAACCAAAGGACAUCAACCUAGAGAAAAUCCCUACAAUACCACUCAAUAGUAGGUCUACUAUCAGAUCAUUAGCCUGGCAACUGGGAUGUAGCCCUACCACUCUCCACAGGAAUUCAAAAUGAAGUUGAUAAAGAGGCAUACAAACUGUGUCAAGCCAGCUCUAAAGGAAAAGAAUAAGAAGGAUAGAAUGAAAUUUUGCUUGUCAAUGCUUGAUGAGGCAACAACAAAAACUGCAAGGCCUAAGUUCAAGACUAUGCAUAAUGUUGUACAUAUUGAUGAGAAGUGGUUUACGAUGACCAAGAAGAAUAAAACUUAUUAUCUGCUGGAUGGGGAGGAAGAGCCUACAAGGCCUAUACAUGGCAACUGUAUUGGCAAGGUUAUGUUCUUGACGGGCGUAGCUAGGCCACGGUGGGAUAGUGAAGGAAAUGUGACCUUCUCUGGAAAAACCGAUGAACUCACGAUAAACUGCGUGCGCUCUUUGUCCCAGUUUCAGUUCCCUUGUUCUUGCUUUUCUAUAUCCCGAUGAACUCACGAAUCCAUGAUCCAUGGUCAAUCCCCAAUAUAUAUACUCAAGCAAUAUACUCUCUCAGCAGUAUAUAAUCAAUCAUACAGGAAAGAGUAUCACUCUCUCAGCAGAAUACAUACUCACGAAUCCAUGGUCAAUAGCAGCAUAUACUCCGUGUGGGGAUUAGUCUAGCUCGUAAGCCACGGGUCCAAAUCAAGCAAUAUAUCUACACUAGAAUCUGUAGCAGAGUACACAUCUGACAAAACCGAGAGAUGUGGAGAGGAAGGGGGUAAGAGACGGAAGGGUACCUGGGUGAGGUCGCUGAGGUGGAAGCAGCCGGUGGAGCGGUCGAGGUCGCCGCUAGGGUGUCGCCGGUGCACUGGAGCUCUGCCAACUCGUCCCCAACUCGACGCCCAGCUCGACGCCCAGUCCGGCGCCCAGCUCGAUGCCCAGGUCGACGCCGUCAUUGCUCGGGCUCGGCUUCAGCGCCUCCUUCACCCUGUCCUUGCUCGCCCAGCUCGUCGGCUUCUUGGUCUCGACGAGGCUCCCGCUGAAGUACUCCACCCCCGCCGCCGCAUAGACGAGCAACCCAACUGAGGGCGCCCGCAGCUCCCGCUGAAGUGAUCUGCUAUGUCCAGCACCACUCCGUCAUCCAUAUCCAACAUCGGCGCCCACACCAGCUCUGUCGAUGCAAAACAAACACAUUUUUGACCUUUGAGUGGGAAAGGAAGGAGAGGAAGCACGCAGUGGGAAAGGAAGGAGACAACACACGCGGUGGGCUGUGGGAGGAAGAACGCGGUGGGCUGUAGGAGGAAGAACGGUGGGCUACGGUGGCCGGCGACGACGUAGAGAGGCGACGAGGGAGGGGAAUGAGAGGGUGUGAGAUCUGGGCAGCGAGUGGAUGAGAAUGGGCAGGUGGGGGCAUUUUCGGAAACUCGGAAAGUUUCGUAGUGUCGCGAGAUUUACACUAGAAUCGCUAAAACGUCUUAUAUUUCGGUACAGAGGGAGUACAUUGGAGCAGACCUGUGCAGAUUCGUACUCCCUUCGUUUUUAUUUAUUCUGUAUAUCAGGUUUAUAUAAUGUCAAACCUAAAUCCUUUUAACAAAUUUGUAGAAAAAUAUAUCAACAUAAUCCCUUCAUUUCACAAUUUAGCGCUCGUUCGUGUGCUUUUCGAGAUCUAAGUUUGACCAUACCUUUAAACAAGAAGACCGAUUGCUAUGGGAGCAAAAAUUGAAUCACUGAAUUUGUAUUGAAAUUAAAUACUGAAUUUGUAUCGAAAAUAUAAAUUCAUUGGUAUAAUUUCUGUUGCCACCGCAGUCGGUCUCGUUGGUGAAAUUUAUGGUCAAACUUAGACCUCAAAAAACGCGAGCGCACUACAUUGUGGAACGGAGGGAGUAUACACCAUCAAAUCAAUAUCAUUGGAUUCAUCAUUUCAUAUAUUUUCACAUCAUAUAAAUUUAUUAUUGUAAAUGUUCAUAUCGUUUUCUACAAAUUUCAUCAUACUUUAGAUAGUUUGACUUCAGACAAAACUAAUAUGAGGAGUAAAUAAAAUCAGAGGGGUACCACUCCUAGUAAUUAAUGUGUAUAUCCACUAGCUGCUGAUUGACAUUCAAAUUCUCCACUUGACGAUGGCCAGAGUAUCUGAUAUUCAAACUCUCCACUUGGCCACCUUAUUUCUUCUCCCCAAAUGAGCUAUGAACUGCUCAUUCAUCCAACAUUAAAAUCACUGUGAUGAAACUCUACUCUUUCAGUUUCAUAAUUAGUGCAUAUAGUUUUUCCCCAAAAAACUAAACUUUGACAAAGAUUAUAAAUAAAAAGUCUAUAUCUAGCACAUUGAAUACAUACCAAUAGAUUCGUCAAAAAUAUUUGCAUAUAUUAUAUGAUGGUAUUGUGGAUAUACAUAGAGUUAUCUAUAAACUUGGUCAGAUUUUACAAUGUUUGACUUUUCUAUAAAACCAAUAUGCACUACACUAGGGGAUGGAGGGAGUAUCGUAUGAAAUAUUAUGUGGAAUUAUUCCGUUUCAGACAAUGUUUGGUAUCAAACACAACAGGUACAAUGUUCUAUAGUUUCUCCAAUGUGCAGAAUUAUUAGUUGAAUUGGCAAUUAUUUACAGGAGGGGAGUGCGCUGGUGUGACCGAAAACUAAGUGGAUCGAUGUAUAACAAGCUUCUUUUGGUCGGCAUCAAGACGGUGUUCCUCAUUGUCCGAAUCGAGGACCGGAGUGCAGUAAAUUUUACCAAUCUAUGAUGCGCUCUGGGUGGAUGAAACUGCUCCAAAAGUUGCCCGAGUUCAACGACUCUGUGGUGACCUACGAAUCCGGCGAGCGGCAGAAGUUGCAAGACGUCAGGUAUGAUAUCGUAGGCAACAAUAGUGACCAGUGGAGUGACAUCCUCGACACACCCAAGGGCACCCGCACCUUUAAGCUUCCCUACCCGAUGUACUAAAUCGGCUAGGUUGAAUGCUAGCUAAUCGUCCACGAAUAAGCUCCAUGUUGUUCACUAUCCAUGCUUUGUGAUUACCUUUUUUCCGGGCAUGCUUCCUCAAUACUAAUCCACUAUUACUGCUAGUUUUCUAAUUUCUAUUGAGAAAUCUAUUGCUGCUUGGUUAAAUUCCAUAGUUGGGACCUUGAGUCAGUUACUAGUAUUAAUAAGGUAUGCUACAAAGAAAUUGCAUCUUGCAUAAUCAAUGAAUCGAUGCUCCAUUUUUCCUUGAUUAUAUAAUAUAUGUAGUUUCUAUUUUACACUUUGAUUUAUUUAUUUUUUACUUUUAAUAUUUCCUUUUUUUUCAUUUUCUAGUUUUAUGUUUUAUUUUUUUAUUUGAUCUCCCUUAUGUAUUUAUUUUCUUAUUUUAUUCUUUAGAAUGCUUUCUAUUUGUAAAAAAUAAUGAAUUUUUCCAUACCCUAAUAGUUAAAAACAAUUCCGGGAUAUUAAAAUUACGAUGAACAAGGUCCUAAUAUACGUCGAGAUUUUCCCAAAUACCUGAUGAAUAGUUUUUAUAUGUUUAAGUACAUUUAUAAUUUUGUAAUUACACCAUCAAAUUUAAAUAUAUUUUAAAUAUUUGUUGAAUGCACAAAAAGCAUUUACUAAAUAAUUCGGAACAUUUGCUAUUACAUUGUGAACAUUUCUAGAAUACACAUUGAACAGUUUCCAAACCAUGAUGACUUUUCUAAAUAUGCAUUAUAAAAUUUUCAGUUACACGAACUAAACUGUUUUACCCUGAAUUAUUAUUAUUUUUAAAUUUGUUUUUUCUUAGAAUUAUAAAUAAAAUUAAAUUGAAGUGUUUCAGAGUAUAAAGGACAGAACGGGUAAAAACAAUGACAGAAAAAAUAAAAAUUGCAUUGGGUCGGGUCAUUGUGGAAUACUAUGGGCGAGCCCAAAGGAGUGUUCAUUACUGGUGAAUUAUAGUAGCAACGUGAGGGAAAGUGUGCUUCUCAGCCCGAGCUCAAAUGAGCUCUGGUGAACAGUAAAAUCCAAAAAUAAUUAAAAAAAUAUGAAAUUGUUUGGUGAAAGAAAUUGAAAAUAGUCGUAACUGCCUCCAAAAUUGUAUUAUGAAAUAACAUUUAUUGAAGCCAUGGAGAAAACAAAAUCGAUACUCCAAAAUGCUUUUGAAAUUAGUAUUUUCAGAGUAUCGAUUUUGUUUUUUUGCCACAUGUCACACAAAUGUGAUUUUCUGAUGAAAUCUUGCAAGAUAUUAGAACUUUUGCCAAUGUUUAUCACAAAAAAAAAUAGAUUUUUCUGGAUUUUUUUAAUUUAGUUUUGAUUUUACUGUUCAUCAAAGCUCAUUUGAGCUCGGGCUGAGAAACUCCACAUCCCAACGUGAGCGCCUAUUUGGUGUCGUGCUCAUUUCUGGUAGCCGACAAACUGAGUGGUUUUGUGCGUGACGUAAAAGACACAAAACAAUCAGGGCACUUCGAAGGAAUCAACGUUGUGUCCUUUCACAGGGAAUGCGUGAUGCUAGUUGCUGGCCACUCGUGCCAACAAUUUUUGCUAAUAGAAACACAACAACAAUGUGCAGGAAAUUACUGCAGCGGUGAAUUCCAAAUAUUUUCUAAAGUACACAAAUAUUUCAUCAAAUCUGAACGUUUUUUGAAAAAUCACAGUAUUUUUAAGAUGCCCAAUAUUUUUUUUAACUUUUCAGAAUAUUUUAAAUUUCAAACUUUUUUUUUAAAUUGCCAAACAUGUUUUGAAUUUGUGGACAAAACUUUUGAACAGAGAAACAGUUUUACAACAUCUGAAACCUUUUUUGGAACGCAAUAAGUUUUUCCAAAUUUCCAAGCAUUUACAGAAAAUGGAACAUAUAUUGACCAUUUCCAAACAUUUUUCAAAAACAUGAAUACUUUUUGAUUUAUGAACAUCAUUUCAAAACAGGAACAUUUUUUGAUAAUUCUGAACUAUGUUAGAAAAUGCGAACAAUUUUUGGACGUUUGUUGAGAACCCAAUCAUUUUUAGAAGAAAAACAAUUAUUAAAGUUUCAGACAUUUUUUUACUUGUGAAGUAAUGACCAAAGAAAACCAUAAAAUGUAAAACAACCGAAAAUAAGGAAAAAAGGAAAGAAAAAGUUGAAAAAAAUAAAAAUAUGAAUAAUAAAAAAUAAUAAAUUCUGGAAAGCAGUGAAAAAUAAAUCACAAAACGGAGACCAGUUUAUACGUCCUGCUGCUAUAUGACAAAGUAAAAAAUCUAAAAAGAAAAUCCCACAACAAAAGCUAUUUGACAUACCGAGCGUCAUAUAGAAAAUUCAAACAACAACCACCACAGAACGCUGAUACAGAUGACGGGCAGGUGGAUGUUUCUCAGAAUCAGAUUUUGAAGAAUCAUGAGGCGAAAAGAACUGGUGCCUGCAAUCGGCCGUGGCAUGUACACAGGUGCUAGUAAUGAUAUAAAUCACGGAUAUUGAUUUUGAAGGUCGAGCUCCAUGGAGGUCUUUGAAUGCAAAAUUCAAAAUUCAUGAAAAUAUUUUUUUUUUAUAUUUCGAAAAAUUCCGUAACAAAUACAGAGAUAGAUGAAGGCAUAAUACACAAGUGUGUAAAUUUUUAGGACCAAAUACGUUGAAAUAAGGCUGUACAAAAAAGGCAAAUCUGAGGUUGUUUAACACAUGAUACUAUUCAUCCUCUCGGAACAUGAUUUUAUAUUUUUAUACAGGUUGCAUUUCAACGUAUUUCAUCCUUGUUUAGUUUUAUAAUUGUUUUCAAAAAAUCUGAGGAUGAGGCAUAUGUCUCACAUCCUUGUUUAGUUGUAUAAUUGUUGUAAGAUUUUUUUUUUAAUUUUGAACUUUUCAAAAAAUCGGCCUCGGCCAAAACGCCUUUCUCUAUAAAUCGUGAUUUGUAUACUGGUAAGAAGAAUGAAGCAAUGCAUAUUCAACUAAACAAACUACAUAUUGUCUUGAAUUCACUCAUUUGGAAUCUAGCUAGAAAGGGUGCUUUUUAGGUGCCCAGAUUUUUUAAUUUUUUUGAGGGAAGUGACGAGGUUCUUGGGAAGAAAAGAUUUAACAGAUUCAUUGGUUUUCACAAAGAGAGCAAAUCAAUAUGAGCGCAGAAGCAAUCGAGUUUUGCCAUUAUUAAGCAACAACAUGACAUACAUGAUACAACUAGAGGUACAUAUAGCUAAAUUAGCGGAAGCCCUUUGUAUUGGUACUGCUCGCCGAGCUCCGCGAGCAGAUCGUUUUCCGCCUUGAGUAUGUCGCCCAUGUUGUCCAGCAGGAGGUACUUGUCCAGCGAGAAGCCCGACUCCGGCGAGAUGAGCGCCGCGACGUUUCUCAGGAACUCCUCGUCUAAUGGGGCAAGGGGCUCCCACUUUUGUCCCGACGUCAGCAGCGGCUUCUGAGGUCGCCGCCUCACGACCUUCAUUUUCUUCUUCUUCAUCGUCAUCCUCCUCUUCUCCCCUCUUGCGGGCGUCGGCGACUUCGCCCCCGCCUCCGUGUUCUCACACGAUGAACUCGCCAUGAUUCUUCUCCCGUCCUUCUUCCGCUGAGAAGAUUGGUCUGCUCUGCUGGUUUCGCAGACUUGCGUGCUCGCCGGCACCGGUAUAAAUACAGCAAAAAUAAGAGAUCGAUGAUUCAUUUCUUGGCUAGGGGAGCAGUUCGUUGUAUCCGACUCGUAUUCAGUCCACGGUUCCGGUUCCUACUCCCGCAUGGUCGACGCAUCGGUUGGGAUCCUAAUUGGGACGGCCCAAUGGUAGGUUAUUUUAUAGUAUUUUUAUGUAUAUUGUCUAUAAGGACGUUACUGCAUCAAAAAGAAAAGUAUAAUGGCUCUGCAUCUAGUCUAGUUGCUGAAGCGUGUGCGUCGAACAGCUUCCCCAUCGCUUAGUGACAGUUCAUGAAAUCGUGUGCGAUGACCAUUUCUAUGGAUUUUUUUUGCAUGAUAAUAUGUGUCUCAUUUAUAUCAUAAUGAAAAUAAUACAAGACCAUUGUUGUGGAUUAUAACAACACAUAUACACAGCCAAAUACAAACCCUACGGUCUUGGUCACAAUAUAGUGGUACAGGUGUCCAUUAGGACAUAUGUCCGUGUGUUGCAACGGAAAAAAAAUUAAUUUGUAUUUGCAAGCACAACACGUCAUGCUCCGCUACGAAAGAACGCUAGUUACCACAUGACCAAAACGACCAUCGAUGCAUCACUACAUCCAGAGAGUGUCACCACCUGCAGGGAGGCGCACGUCAAAGCCUUCAACAAACGCGGGGACUAUGUUACUCCCUUUGUCAGACAUUAUUAGGCUGGUGGACCACUUAGCCUCAGCCGGACAUUAAUCAUGAAGUGAGCCUUAGCGCAGAUGGUAAAGAUAUCUUCAACGUGACGAUGUGGCGUUGUGGCUCCCUGGCCCAGAUCUUCCCACCAAUGAAUAGUAAAAUCGACAAAAAAUAGAAAAAAUGAUUUUUUUUUUUGGAGUGCAAGAUGUUCCUUUGGGUGAUGUCAAAAACUGCUUGGAGCUGAUUUUUAUUUUUUUUUGCCAGACGCUCCUCGAAUGUCCAAAUACCUCGAAAUUUUGCAGACAUUUUAGCAUCUUAUGAGCCAAAAAGGAUUCAGAUUUUUUUGAUAUUGUGCUUUUCACCGGAUGCAGAUGAGCCGGGGACCAUUUUGAUUAUUAUUAUGGCUAAUCUAGUUUAAAUGUGUCAUUGUUCAUGUAGCCCACAAUCAUUUUUUCUUUUAUUGUUUGAACACACCACGUCCUUCAUUUCUUUUAAAGGUUUCCUUGCAUGUCUGCUCGUCGUGCAGUUCAUUCCUUUUAAUUGUCAUUCCUUUUAAUUGUCCGCUUUUAGCAUCCAUUUUUAACUGUCUUGCUGAUAUUCCAAGCAAACCGCAAGGUAUAUAAACCGGUAGGGAUCUAUCUAAAGAGGCAAGGUGGGUUUAUUUAACAUAAAAUAUUGAUGUCGAGUUAUUUUUAAAAAAACAGCCUCAACUUUAUUAAUUAGAGAUAAUUGUUACAUCGUCUAUUAAAAAAGAUACAAUAUUUUCCAAAGGCUCCUCAAUCCACUCACUCGUAUCAGAACUCUUUGCUAAUCUAGCAAGCUCAUGUGCUACUUCGUUCGCUUCUAGUAAAAAAAAUUCAGAAGCCAUAGAAAAACAAUCCUCAAAGGUUGCAGCCGCCGCUCCCGCAUAGUACCCUCCCUUGUUCAUUGUUUCAAUUACUUCCGAGAAUAUUGAUGUAGAGUUGGUUAGUGCAGUUGCCUUACCCUGGACAUGGAGUAUUGAGUUUAAUCUUCCAUAAAUACAUAUUUUUGUACACGUUGUUCGUGGCCCAUGGCAGACGGCCCAAUAUUGUAGCGAAGCCCAGCAGUGCAGCAACCUGACAUGGUACGAUAGAUGGUGAGGUGUAUGCGUGCUAGCAACGUAAGAAAACGGCCAGGGAGAGGCAAUGUAUGUACAAUAUUUUUAACCAUGGAUUCAAGCUCGUAAAAUUUUGAGACUUUUCCAUAAAACUGUAUGACAGACUAAGAAUACAUAUUUUCUUAAUUAGUAGGUAUAGAUGCGGCAAGUGGAUUGUUUCCUGGUUUUGGGAAGUUUCCAUAAGCUUUUCAGACGGUUUUUCAUUUUUUCUAUUUUGGGGUUUUCCUGUACCAAUCUUGUCUAUUUUUUAUUUUCUACUUAUUUUCAUUUUGCUUUAUUGCAUAUUCUUUUACUUUUUUUCAUUUUCCUUUUUCUAUUUAAUUUUGGCAAAACACGAAUUGUUUCAAUUUUAUGAUACUUUUUUUAAUUGAGGAACUCCUUUUCGAACUCGUUUUUUCAAGUUCAUCAUUAUUAUUUUUUAAAAUUAUCACCUUUUUAAAAAAUAUAUGAACUAUUUUUAAUGUUUGUGAACGCUGUCUCAAAAUUGAUGAACUUUUUUCCUAAAUGCUGAAGUUUAUUUUAAAACUGAUGAACUUAUUUUAAUAUUUGAUGAUCUAAUUUUAAAACCGGAGAAUGUUUUUGCAAAAUAGACGAACUGUUUUUCUAGCAUAUGUACCUUUUGAAAAUUCAUGAACUUUUUUUCAAUUUUUGGGCUUUUUUUAAAAGUUGAUGAGCUUUAUUCAAAAUCGUGAAAUAUUUUCCAUCUAUGUGCAACCUCUUUUUUCAAAAUCAUGAACAUUUUCGAAUUGAUGAACUAUUAACAGAGAUUAUACGCAUGACCUUUUUUGAAUUCGCAAACUUUUUGUUGAAAUAUCUGCAUUCUAUUUGAUUUUCUGAUUAUUAUUUUCAAGCUAGCGAGCGUGCUCGUGGGCUCACCCAUGCUAGCAAUGGUGCGAGCUGGCACUGGCGCAAAACGCGUCAAUUAGGAAGAGCAACUAAUUAAGGAGUACUCGUCCGAGAGCCUCUCGAAGGGUCCAUUGCCACGUGUCGUACUCUUGGUGUUUCCUUUGGAUUUUUUUCUAUACAUAUUUAUGUCUGGAAUUUUGGCUUUAAGAUGAUUUUGUUUUCCGGGUUUUUUUGGCUUUUCCGUUUACCCCCGAUUUUUCUUACAAUUUAGACCCAAAAAUAAGAUUUUAAAGAAAAAUCACAAAAAAAUGCAUUUUCUCUUUCUUUUUUCCUACCCUGAGAGACAUGGAUUUGCUUCUCUUAGAGGCACAUGUGCCUCCUGAAAAAGCAAAAAAAAUGUUUUUUCCUUCCGCGAGGCAAGGUCGUGCCUCUCAGAAAAGAAAAAAGAUCCAUUUUUCCUUUCACGGAAGUACGGAUUUGCUUCCCUGAAAGGCCUAGUCGUGCAUCUUGAAAAAGGAAAAAUGCAUGUUCUCAUGAAGGAAAACAACGUGGUUUUAGUUUGGUUUUUUUGUUUGAUUUUUUCGUGAAAAAAAGUCCAACGAAACAUAUCAACAUGUGGUCUAGUUUUUAAGAUCUCGACGCAUGGAAUCUAACGGCAAAACCAGUUCUAGAUUUGGACGUAGGUUUUGAGAGAUAAAAUGUUUUGAAUAAACAAAUCUGCGAAAAAGGAAAAACCCUUAGGUUGCUACAAGUGACGCACAUGCAGUUGAAGACUUGUCGCACCCUGGGUUGGGGGAGUGAUCUUUGCCAAGAGUAGUUUUCAAUUAGUGAUUUCGCUAAUUAGAAGCUCGCAUCAUCUCCGAUGCGAGCACUAGUGGAUCAGCCCAUGUGCGCUCAUAUGGGUUUUUUGGAGCGGCUUUUGGAAGCUUCUAUGGAGCUGUUUAGACAAAUUUGAAAACCUUUCAUUCAUUUUUUAUGUGUUCACUAUAUAGAUUUACAUGGACUAAAGUAAAAUGUAGAUUUACAUUAUUUUUUCCCUUAGUUUUCUUUGUGUGUUUUUAUUCAUUUUUUGAAUACACAUGGAAUUUUUGGAAAUACAGUUCGAAUAUUUUUUGUUUACAUGUUAUUUCUUUUAUACACGUUGAUGAUUUUUGUAGACACAUUUAAGUGUUUUCCAAAAUAAACAGUAUUGAUUUGUCAAAUGAACAUUGGAUUUCUUAUGAAUAUAAGGUGAACAUUUAUGAAACACCCAUUGAACAUUUAGAAAAAUUCCAUGAACAUUUUUUUCUUAAAGCAUGCAAAACAGUUCUUAAUGUUAGAACAUAUUUUUUAAUGUCAAAGACAUUUUUGUUGAAUGGUACAAAAUAUUAUUUAAAAUUACAAGACCAUUUUUACAUACUAGAAACAGUUGUGGAAAAUGUUAUGACCAUAUUUUUGAAACGGCUGAAUAUUGUUUAAAUUUCAUAAAUAUAUUUAGAAUGGUAUGUCAAAAGUUUAAAAAUAUGUGAAUAUUGUUUCUACAUUGUAUAAAAAAUUUAAAAACUGUCAUGAACAUAUUUCUGAACACAUGAACUAAAUGUCAGGAACAUUUUUCGAAUGGUACAAACAUUUUUAAAAUUGUGGAGACAAUUUAUUACACUACAUGAACAUUUAUUUGAAACACGCAAUGAACAAGGGGUAAGGGACACGUGUCAUGUGCUUUGCUAGCGCAUCGUGGUUGCUGAGUGUCUCAUUCCUUUGUUGUUGAGUUUUGUUUUAGUGCGGAGUGUUUUUACAGUAUACUCGAGAAAGAUCCUACGUUACGAAGGAUGUGUUUGGUAGGCGUUUCUAGCGGGACUGGCUCGUGGACAUUGGCUCAACAAAGUUUGGUUGAGAUAAAACGAUCAUAAAACUAACAUCUGCAUUUAGUUUGGUUGCCGGCAUACAUUCUAAACUGAAUGGGGUGUCAUGAAAGACAUACUAUUUGGUUGUCUGUUUGUGUAUGCGCAAACACAAGGCCUACUAUUUGGCUGCAUGCAACACUUGUUGUGAGAUAACCUCUUCGAUGCGGUGGUGAGGUUACCAUCACAUAGCGGCGUCAGGAAGAACACACAACAUAACAUAGUAGUAAGCAGUUAUAAAUAUUGUGUCACAUUUAAAUAGAUUAGUUUAAAUGCAAAGCAGUUCAAUAUUAAACUAAAGCAACUAGAGCAUAUGAGCGGUUGUCCUAGACGUUCACAACGAAGGCAUCGUCAUGUCUCCCGCACCAGGCCACCACUUUACUGCCAUCGUCAUUGAAGACGAUGACCUUCACCAUGUCGGGAGUCAUCAACUGUGACCAUGAAGCCUAUCUUGAUUUGUUGGACGGCGACGAAGGUGGCCCAAACCUGGUCGAGGGUGACCCUUUCGUUCAACAGACGGACAAUGACCCUCCUAGAGCACUCGGUGUUCGCCUUCAAAUUGAACUCCUGUGGCAUAGACGGGAAGUGCUUCAUGAAGUCGAGUGGCAUAGGUAUGGCCUCGAGUGGCAUGAUUACCUUGCAGAAGUUAUUUGGCUCACCCAUCUCAUGGUAGUGGUCGUAGUUCUGACGCUUGUCGCUGGGGGGCUCCUCCGCGUAUCGUUGUCCGUGACCGGGCUCUGGACAGGCGCCACCUUUGAGGGCGGCACAACAUCCUUGCACUUGUAUUGCUCCUUUGGUGGCACCACCUCAUUGCCCUUGUUCUCCGUGUCGAUUUGCAGUGUGAAGAGGUUCAAACGAUUGGGUCAGGAUUUGCAAUAUGAACAUUGCAUCAUUGUCAUUAACUUAUUGUCGAGAACCCCAUUAUUUACCUAGGCUGAUGGUUACCACUUACCCACCACCUAGUUGUUUGUCUCUCUUCCUCCAACCCAAUGCCAUGAACUCUAAGAACAAGUCUAACCCCAUCCGCAACCCCUUUCCUUGGGGCAUUGGAUGGAGGGCCUUCUUCCUAGGGUGCUCGCUCGAUGACCGCACCAAGUUUGAGAACACCAUGAAAGUGUGUUCAAACUUCAACAGCUUGGAGGAGCAGUACAAAGAGUAGGACGCUAUGGUGAAGAAGGCGAGUCGGAGGAGUUGAAGACGCUGAUCAGUGACCCAAUGAAGGGUUCUAUGUGAGCCGACAUACUUCAUUGAGCCAUGAAUCAAGCCGUCCCCGGCGACGCUGGACAGAGGGAAAACUGAGCCAAGUACAGACAGCAUCGGUGUUCUUAUGACCACGGGGCCGCAACGUACUUCACCACAAAGAUUAUGGUGGUGCCGGUGGAGGAGCAUCAAGAAGUGCUGGCUAUGGAGGUGGAAGAGGAAGAUGCAGUGGCGACGAUUGUGAGGGCGCUGGAGCUAGGACACCUAAGCAUGCCAAUCAAGUUGGACUCCGGCGAGGAAGAAGAUAUGGUGGUGUAGGUCGAGGAGAAGACCAAGGCCAAGGCUACCCACCGCUCCAAUCGCCUCCAGGGUCCUGUGUACUAUGUAAGAUGAACCCUAAUCCCCAUUCCGAUUGUACUCAAUCCUGAUUGGGAACCUCAUAUCUACCCGUAGUCAUGACGAUGUUAUGACCACUCCUAUGGUGUUUACCCCGAUUCCCCAUUCUCCUAACAUGGAUCGAACCUAAACUCGGAUCAAAUGCAAAGUAGUACAUGAGGAGGGGGGAAAGUGCUUACCGCCAUUGCCGAAGUGCUGCUGUGGAUGCCGGUGAAGAGGCCGGAGUCGAUUUGCUGUUCCUCGAUCUGAUGCACGCCAUCGCCGCCGUCGGUGAGAGUAGGGAGAGUGGAAAGAGAGCGGUGAGAAAAGGUAAGGGUAAUGACUGUCGACGCUUCGGGAAACAACGCGGCUUCUCAAGGGUGGCUCCCCUUGUGCAACCCCUGCCGCCCACGUGCAUCGCAGAGGCCUGGCUCGCGAGAAACUACCAAUUCGAACGUGCCUCGCGAGACAUACCCAGACAUGCUUUAAAGUUCGUGACAUGCAGGCCCAACAAUGUAUGUUGACAACCAAUCAGUUUGUUUUCUUUCCACGGGCCUGGUUGGACCUUAUGCGGGCAACCAAACGCAUCCCCAAGUGUUGUUUAUUUGUCGGAAUUUUCUAAGGUACUGGGCAAACGACAUGUGUACUGAGUGCCCAUGAAAUUACACCAGGCAAACUGUAAAAUACUCAGCGUAAUUUUUUUCCUGUAGUUGUACAAUUGGCUGCGCUGCAGUUCCAAAUUUGAUAAAGUUACAAGGUUGGUGUACCAGAAAUUCAUUAUCUACCAAUCAUCAAUAUGUAUGCACAAAACAGUUGCCUGUCUGGGCCUUUGUAUCAACGUCCAUCCAUGUGUAACACGUUCAGCGGAACCGUCUACCAAACGUCUGACAGACACAGACACGUGCAUAUCCUCCAAACCGGGCAGGCUGGUUGCUUGCGCCCUCGUCGCUUUCUUGUCGAACUGGCUCCAUAUAUAGACUAAUGCACACCACAGUUCAAUUUCCAUUUUCGUUUCAGUCAUCGUACAUAUGACUGCAUUAUUCAGCUAACGUUUAAGCAUAGGGAUUUUUAUUUUCAUGUCCCGUCUUUCUUAGUUAUGAUUAGUUUUGCCCCGUUCAUUUAACAUUGCUCACUUUUUUCCCUUCUUUACUCAUCUACGCCUCGUAAAAGAUCAAACGGUGUGUUGACAUUGGGUUAGACCAGGGGCGGUCCUCAGAUUUUGGGGGCCCGGGGCUGGAUUAAAAGCCGGGGCCCUUAAUAUAGACAUAAUAACAAUAACACUGAAUAUACGUACCGGUGAAAUAUAAACACUUAAAUACGUCUAAUACUAAUAUGCAUAUCAAAUGUUUUAAAAAUAUUACCUCAAACAAUAAUUCUGACAUACCUUGAUGCAAAGGCCAUUAUGAUGGCGUCGAUGUUAAUAGCGUCCAAUAAUUUCUUCUCGAUGACAUAAUGUCACCAGACCAUAUAAACACUCUUGGUUCAUCGGUGACCUCACAUAGUUCUUCAAUCAAUAUUUCCAACUUCAGAGAGCUUCUUCCGACCAAUACGAUAGUCACAGGCAUAGUAAAUAGGAUGCAAUAAGCAAUGGAAAUAUCAGGAUAACAGCCAACUUCUAUUGACAUGCUGCAAAUCUCCAUUGCAGAUAUUACAGUCAUAUGGCAGAAUGAAUCCCACAAUUUUUAAUUUAGAAGUAAGAUCAUACUCCCUCCGUUCCUAAAUAUAAGACCUUUUAAAGAUUGCACUAUAAACUAUAUAGGAUGUACAUAGACAUAUUUUAGAAUAUAGAUUCACUCAUUUUGCUCCGUAUGUAGUCUCCUAGUUGAAUCCCUAAAAGGUCUUAUAUUUUAAAACGGAGGGAGUAUAUCUCAACAUCAUGAUACACAAUGCUGACAAAUAACAUUAAUUGUUGAACAAUAUCGAUGUACCGGCGAUGCAUCUACAGAAGCACAAUAAGAAUAUAUGAUAUACGUACCUCGGAUGGCUGAAUCAGCCAUGACGGAAAAUCAAAGCCGGAUUAUAGGACGCCCCGACGAAUUGAAAUCGACGGCGCGCAGCUGAUGAUCUAAAUUAGGAAAGAAAUUAGGUUUGGGAGAAAAGUAGAAAGGAGGGUCGAGCACGCAGUGGCGAACAGACGAUGCGUCGGCGGCCGCUAGGAAUCGCUGCGUCAAUGCGAGAUGGAAUAGGAAGGGAUCAAUCACUCCUAUUUUUUCGUGAAAAAACGGAAGGAACGGUUGCUGCCUUUGUGCCUCGCUGGACUGCUGGGUGCAUGUUUGCCUGCAUGCUACGUGAGGCCCAGUCAACCAACCCGAUAGGUCAUUUUUUUCUGAUCUGUAAAAACAUUAAAUAUGUUUGGACAAAGCCUAUGUACAUACGUGGGGAGGGCCCCCUAAACUUUGGGGGCCGGGGCGGCCGCCCCCCCCUGCCCCUCCCCUCGGCCGGCCCUGCGGUUAGACUACCAACAAUGAAAGUAACAUAGGUGGUAACAUAGAUAUCAUCUAAACAACAAAUGUGAUGUGGCAACUAAUUAAAGAAAAGUAAGAGAAAUUGAAUAACUUAGCAUGUUACUCAUAUUAGGAGUAACAUAGCGGAUACCAAGGCAAGAUGGGUGUAUAGGCUAAUAAAUAAAAGACUCAAUGUUACUACCCCUAUGUUACUAUCCACUAUGGAGGUAGUAACUUAGAUUAGUAACAUAUGUAUGUUACUCCCCAUUGGUCUUUCAGCGGCGUUCAGAGACUCCUUCAUAUUAUUAGACAUAAUUAUGUCUAGAGACACAACACACGAGGCUAUACGUAAAUCACCCUUAGAAUACCAGCGAGCUCUCGUUUAACCUACGGACCCGAUGGGCCAUGUUAAGACUGGUAUGAAUACCAGCAAGCUCGCUGACAAGGAUCCGACGACUCCAUUACCCCUCGCAUCGCUUAGAGAAAAAACCCGAUACAAGUCACCCCCUUGACUUGAUCUGGAAUUAUCUGCGAGAUGCCAUCUAUGCUCUCAUCUAUCAACAAUUUCAACACAUGUUCUGCCGGAGUUUUGGUGCUUGGAAACCAUGAGCAAACCGCUUGUCACUUCUCCCGUGAGAGAGCGUCACCGGCACAGAACACCUCCAAUGGUUUCGUGAUUGCCGAUGGCGGCUGCAGGAUUGGGGGAGGUAGGCUGCUCGGGCUGCGGGGGAUGCGAAUUGAGAGAGAGAGAGAGAGAGAGAGGGAGGGAGAGGGAGAGGAAGAGAGAGAGAGAGAGAUUUCGUCCCCCUUUUUAGGACAAAUGACCCAACCAUCCACUAGCCGGUCCCACAUGUCAGCAUUUCAUGUCAGUCCCAUGCGUCCACGCGUCAACACCGGACGAAGUAACGGUCAACAGUUUUGACCCGACGGUGAGGCAUUGUUUGGCCUUUUGCGAGACGGAGGCGAGUAGAGGAGGGAGAAAAGUGAGUAAUGUUAGACGGACGAGGCAAACUGAGCACAACUAAGUAACGAUGGACGAGGCAACUUACGUAAAACCAGCUACAAUUAUAAUAGCUUUCGAUGUACACCCGUGUGAUCACCAGCCAUCUAACAACCUUUGCCGACAGUUGUCCUUCAUCCACAAAGACAACAUCAUCCAAAUAAUUCACUUGCAAUCCAGGUUUCUCUAUCAUCUCUUUGGACAUUGUGAUAUUUACUAAUUCCCGAUCCAGAGGUCUCAUACGCCAUGGCGAUGUCAUGACCAGUCUAGGAGAAGAAGCACCUCGUAAACUAGAGCGGAACAGAACCUGGGUUUUCUAGGCAUGGCCUCUCGAUAAGAAGUUGAGAAGAUUAUGGCUGAUACAUGGUGAGAUAGGAUGAGGUGUCUACGCUGCCAUACGACAAAACCCUAGUAACAGGGGAUGCUUUAUCUGUGUUAUUUUUUAAUUAAAUCACAUGAAUAAUUGGCCGUGUGUAUGUAAUUCUAUAUUAAUAUAAUAGGACACAAAGAGGCAGGUCCAUAUCAUCUCGGCCAACAAAUCUAAGAUUUGAUGGUUCAUGUUGAGCACCAAGAGACGAAAACCGCUCGCGUCGCCUCCAGGGGGCGACACGGGCGCCCUAGCCGCCGUCGCCCUCGACCUCCCUCCUCCCCCGCUUCCCCGCCGUUGCCGGAGGAGGCCGGCGAGCGAAGCUCGCCCGGCGGACGACGGACGGCGGGCCUUCCUCCCUUCUUCACGAGGGGGUCCUUUGGCUGAGAUGCGACGGCGCCCCUGGGGGUACAACAUGGAGGCGGAGUUGGCGUGCUCGGGCGGCGUGGGAUCCCGGCGGCGCUGCGGGGGCUGGCGGCGGCGGAUCUGGGGUUCCCCACCCCAGAUCGGUUCUCCUCCGGGUGGUCGGGCUCAGGCGCCGUCCAGCGGCCCUAAGCGGUGGUGGACGCGCGCGUUGACUGUCCUCCUUCACAGAUGUGAUUGGAAACGACAGGAGGUGUUGGCGUGCUGCUAGAUCUGAACAAGGUGAUGGCGUCAUCCCCUUCAUCAGGGAUGACGACCAGGUGGUGGGUUCUUGUGGCGUCGCCGGUGGCGGCGGAUCUUGGGAUCCAGUUCCCGGGGACGUCGUGGGAUGUGGUGGCCCGUGCAGGAGAGAUGGGUUCUUCGAACAGAUCUGGGUCAAAGCUUGCUUUCGGCUAUUGCUAAGGUCGGCGAUGGCGGCGCUGUCUACAUCGUUCCCUUCCUGAAGGCAUCGCCGAGGAGAACUUCAGGGCCACUCUCUGCUACCUCCUGGGGUAACCCUAGAUCAGUAGAUCGGAUGACGGCGACGCUCUGGUGUCAUUUCCCCCUUGGGGGCGUCAUUCAUGGUGGUACACACGGGCUCGAGGGACCAUUGGUCGGCAUUUACGAUGGAGCAGCGUUCCUAGUGACACAUCGACGUUGUGGAGUCUCGGCGGCGAGGCGCGGCAAAGUCUCGGCAAUGAAUGCAUGAUGAUGAGCACGCGUAGGGAGGAGGCGUUGUCUGGCGCCGUGGGGGCAUCGAUGGCAGGCCUUGCAAGGUCGAUGCGUCAGUAAUUUUUCUGAAGAUGGAUUGAUGGAAGGCGGCGACGACGACCUAUGAGGGUGCGUCGGACCGUUUGUGCCCCUGACCCGGUAUGUGGCUCUGUCGGGGCCUCCGGCUUUAGAUGUUAGGCUAGGUGAGAGGUCUGGGUAUGUGGCUCACACUUUCUGCACCCCCUUCAUCAUUGUAUAUGAGUAGCGACAGAUGUUGCCAAGAGGACGGCUUCAGACAUACGCUUAACACUCUAGCUAAUUGACCACCAGUAGCACGGGAGAGGUGUUUUGGCUCCCGGGUAUAUGCACUCGGAUGAACAGUACUGCGAAAAAAGUUCUAAUUUUUUUUGUAGAUGAUUGUAUUAGUGUCGCAAAUAUGCAUGACAAUUUUCGUGCGAUAAGGAGCAACGGUGUUUCAUCAGCAAAAAAGACAAAUUUAGGAUGACAUUUUGGGGUAACUUUUGGUGUUCAAUUUGUUUUUCUUGCACAAACCAAAAUGUUUUAUCUUUUUGUCUCAAAAUUUACAAGUAGUAUUUGGAUGUGACAAAGCAUACAAACAAAUUUUGUCUCAUUUUUUUCCAUUUCAAACUUUUUUUUGGCCCCGAAAGCAUAUGCCGGGAGCCGAAUUGCAUUUCCGCCGGUAGCACUAGUUACAUACACACUAGACUCCGCGCAAUCCCAUGAAAUCUGUUUGGCGAUUAACAUACGGCUAAAUAUCAACAUGCAAAUAUUAUCUUACCAAAUGUACCAAAUGUGUAACUAGUAUCUUAAUUCUACUCCCUUCAUAAACUAAUAUAAAAACAUUUAAAAACAAUGCUUUAGUAAUCUAAACGCUUUUAUUUAAUUUACAAAAGGAGUGCUACCUAAUAUCAACAUGCAUUGCACCAACUCCCUUCAAGGUCUAAUGCGUUUUUAGGGUUGCCCUUGACUAUUGAUAAGAUUAAUAAUAUAUGAGAUCUAUGAUAAAGAGUCUUUUCACAUCCGAAUUUGACAAUAUACCUGUAACAUGCAAGUUAUAUAUAUAUAAUUGCUCUAACCCGUGGCCAAAGGAAAUCUUGCAAAAUGUAUCGGAUGAAGGGAGAACAUGAUAAUACCAGUCUAACAAAUAUAUCCUCUCCAAUCGCAAACAUUUAUCCCCUUGGAUCACAACCAUGCAUACCCCUUUUGAGUACUCCCUCCGUCCCAAAAUUAAUGUCGAGCAUGUAGUUCAUUGGGAAUUUUGCAAAAAAAAACCUCGUAUUUACAAAAUCGUCUCAAACAAGCACCUCCACCCCUAUCUUCUUCGUCCGUCCUCGCCCGUGCAUCGCGAGAGGCCGCGCCGUCGAACUGGAAGGGCUCCGCCGCCGUCGCCGCCAAUUACCUCCUCCAUCACCACAACCCAGAUCUGCGCCACCGGAUCUCUUCCCGCUGCAGUUACCUGUCGGCGUCGUUCUCGAGCUCCUGCCGGCGUCGGAACCUUCCGCCACUUCGUCCUCUGGCUCCCAUGCGUCAUCCUCGAGCUCCCGUGCAUCCUCCCCAAGCUCACGCGCAUCCUCGCUGGAAUCUCUACUGCUCCUUCUCCCUUGCAGCCGGUGUGCCUGCUUAUCCCCUGUCACCGGAGGAGCUCCUCUGCACGUACUUGUUGGAAUUAUGCCCUANNNNNNNNNNNNNNNNNNNNNNNNNNNNNNNNNNNNNNNNNNNNNNNNNNNNNNNNNNNNNNNNNNNNNNNNNNNNNNNNNNNNNNNNNNNNNNNNNNNNNNNNNNNNNNNNNNNNNNNNNNNNNNNNNNNNNNNNNNNNNNNNNNNNNNNNNNNNNNNNNNNNNNNNNNNNNNNNNNNNNNNNNNNNNNNNNNNNNNNNNNNNNNNNNNNNNNNNNNNNNNNNNNNNNNNNNNNNNNNNNNNNNNNNNNNNNNNNNNNNNNNNNNNNNNNNNNNNNNNNNNNNNNNNNNNNNNNNNNNNNNNNNNNNNNNNNNNNNNNNNNNNNNNNNNNNNNNNNNNNNNNNNNNNNNNNNNNNNNNNNNNNNNNNNNNNNNNNNNNNNNNNNNNNNNNNNNNNNNNNNNNNNNNNNNNNNNNNNNNNNNNNNNNNNNNNNNNNNNNNNNNNNNNNNNNNNNNNNNNNNNNNNNNNNNNNNNNNNNNNNNNNNNNNNNNNNNNNNNNNNNNNNNNNNNNNNNNNNNNNNNNNNNNNNNNNNNNNNNNNNNNNNNNNNNNNNNNNNNNNNNNNNNNNNNNNNNNNNNNNNNNNNNNNNNNNNNNNNNNNNNNNNNNNNNNNNNNNNNNNNNNNNNNNNNNNNNNNNNNNNNNNNNNNNNNNNNNNNNNNNNNNNNNNNNNNNNNNNNNNNNNNNNNNNNNNNNNNNNNNNNNNNNNNNNNNNNNNNNNNNNNNNNNNNNNNNNNNNNNNNNNNNNNNNNNNNNNNNNNNNNNNNNNNNNNNNNNNNNNNNNNNNNNNNNNNNNNNNNNNNNNNNNNNNNNNNNNNNNNNNNNNNNNNNNNNNNNNNNNNNNNNNNNNNNNNNNNNNNNNNNNNNNNNNNNNNNNNNNNNNNNNNNNNNNNNNNNNNNNNNNNNNNNNNNNNNNNNNNNNNNNNNNNNNNNNNNNNNNNNNNNNNNNNNNNNNNNNNNNNNNNNNNNNNNNNNNNNNNNNNNNNNNNNNNNNNNNNNNNNNNNNNNNNNNNNNNNNNNNNNNNNNNNNNNNNNNNNNNNNNNNNNNNNNNNNNNNNNNNNNNNNNNNNNNNNNNNNNNNNNNNNNNNNNNNNNNNNNNNNNNNNNNNNNNNNNNNNNNNNNNNNNNNNNNNNNNNNNNNNNNNNNNNNNNNNNNNNNNNNNNNNNNNNNNNNNNNNNNNNNNNNNNNNNNNNNNNNNNNNNNNNNNNNNNNNNNNNNNNNNNNNNNNNNNNNNNNNUGUUGGAAUUAUGCCCUAGAGGCAAUAAUAAAUGUGGUUAUUAUUAUAAUUCCUGUAUCAAGAUAAUAGUUUAUUAUCCAUGCUAUAAUUGUAUUGAAUGAAGACUCAUUUACAUGUGUGGAUACAUAGACAAAACACCGUCCCUAGCAUGCCUCUAGUUGGCUAGCCAGUUGGUCAAUGAUAGUCAGUGUCUUCUGAUUAUGAACAAGGUGUUGUUGCUUGAUAACUGGAUCACGUCAUUGGGAGAAUCACGUGAUGGACUAGACCCAAACUAAUAGACGUAGCAUGUUGAUCGUGUCAUUUUGUUGCUACUAUUUUCUGCGUGUCAAGUAUUUAUUCCUAUGACCAUGAGAUCAUAUAACUCACUGACACCGGAGGAAUGCUUUGUGUGUAUCAAACGUCGCAACGUAACUGGGUGACUAUAAAGAUGCUCUACAGGUAUCUCCGAAGGUGUUAGUUGAGUUAGUAUGGAUCAAGACUGGGAUUUGUCACUCCGUGUGACGGAGAGGUAUCUCGGGGCCCACUCGGUAAUACAACAUCACACACAAGCCUUGCAAGCAAUGUAACUUAGUGUAAGUUGCGGGAUCUUGUAUUACGGAACGAGUAAAGAGACUUGCCGGUAAACGAGAUUGAAAUAGGUAUGCGGAUGCUGACGAUCGAAUCUCGGGCAAGUAACAUACCGAAGGACAAAGGGAAUGACAUACGGGAUUAUACGAAUCCUUGGCACUGAGGUUCAAACGAUAAGAUCUUCGUAGAAUAUGUAGGAUCCAAUAUGGGCAUCCAGGUCCCGCUAUUGGAUAUUGACCGAGGAGUCUCUCACGUCAUGUCUACAUAGUUCUCGAACCCGCAGGGUCUGCACACUUAAGGUUCGACGUUGUUUUAUGCAUAUUUGAGUUAUAUGGUUGGUUACCGAAUGUUGUUCGGAGUCUCGGAUGAGAUCACGGACGUCACGAGGGUUUCCGGAAUGGUCCGGAAACGAAGAUUGAUAUAUAGGAUGACCUCAUUUGAUUACCGGAAGGUUUUCGGAGUUACUGGGAAUGUACCGGGAAUGACGAAUGGGUUCCGGGAGUUCACCGGGGGGGGCAACCCACCCCGGGGAAGCCCAUAGGCGUUGGGGGAGGCACACCAGCCCUUAGUGGGCUGGUGGGACAGCCCACAAGUGCUCUAUGCGCCAAGAGAAGAAAAAUCAAGAGGAAAAGGGAAAAAAAAGGAGGAGGUGGGAAAGGAGGAGGACUCCCUCCCACCAAACCUAGUCCAACUCGGUUUGGGGGGGGGAGAGUCCUCCCCCUUGGCUCGGCCGACCCCCUUGAGGGUCCUUGGACCCCAAGGCAAGGCCCCCUCCCUCCCACCUAUAUAUACGGAGGUUUUAGGGCUGAUUUGAGACGACUUUUCCACGGCAGCCCGACCACAUACCUCCACGGUUUUUCCUCUAGAUCGCGUUUCUGCGGAGCUCGGGCGGAGCCCUACUGAGACAAGGUCAUCAUCAACCUCCGGAGCACCGUCACGCUGCCGGAGAACUCUUCUACCUCUCUGUCUCUCUUGCUGGAUCAAGAAGGCCGAGAUCAUCGUCGAGAUGUACGUGUGCUGAACGCGGAGGUGCCGUCCGUUCGGUACUAGAUCGUGGGACUGAUCGCGGGAUUGUUCGCGGGGCGGAUAGAGGGACGUGAGGACGUUCCAAUACAUCAACCGCGUUCUCUAACGCUUCUGUUGUACGGUCUACAAGGGUACGUAGAUCACUCAUCCCCUCUCGUAGAUGGACAUCACCAUGAUAGGUCUUCGUGCGCGUAGGAAAAUUUUUGUUUCCCAUGCGACGUUCCCCAUCAGUACUGCUGCUGGUCAUCUGCCUGAGUUGUUGCUGCUCCUCUGCUGGAGUUGAUGCUCCUCUGCUCGAUCUACUCUGCCGCUGGUGAAGCUCUGCCCGUGGUACUGCUAUUCCUCUGCCCAUUUGCACCUGAAGAAGGUACUGAUGAAACUGUUUGUUGUUUACUGCUACCUAAAACUGCUGUUGUUUGAGAAACUGCAUUGCUUGAGAAACUUGUAAUGUUGUGGUAUCGAAAAUAAUUUUGUGCAAUACUUGUAAUGUUGUGGUAUCAAAAAUAAUUUUGUGGAGUAUCAGAAACAGAGAAGCCUGGUUCAAGGUUUUGCACUGGAAACAGAGCAGUCUGGUUCAAGGUUGUGCACUGGAAACAGAGCAAUCUGGUUCAAGGUUUUGCCUAGAUAAACCAGACCGGAUGAGAGACCAAAUACAUGGGCAAGUAGUCAAAAGAAACACAUAAUUUGCCUAGAAUCUUGUUGUCCUGUGAUGCAAGAAAAUUUCACCAUGUGUAUGUUGUGGAACGCUUACAGUUGCACAAAUCAGACAUAUCAGUAGGUUGGUUCAGGUGUUGGUUCUUGGCCUAUUAACAUAGAAAGCCCCUUUGUAACUACUAGGACAAUCAGCUUGUGUAAAGAUCAUAUUUAGAGACGAAUUGCAAGCAUUAACCUGAUCUUAACAUAUAUAAAUGGAUAUUAAGUUUUCCAUUUUAGGCGAAUACAGAUAGAGGUUUCAACUAGACCUAGUGAGAAAUGGUUCCAUGGUAGCAUUUCUUGUUUGGCUGUCGUAGCUCGAUUACAUAUUGUUUUUACGUGCGUAUAUAUUCUUGUUACAGUACCAUGGUGUACUCAUCUUUUGUCAUUGAUAGCAGGAGUAUGGAUUUGAACAUGAUACCUCAAGAGGAGGAUGAAGGUAUUAAUUUGAAUUGGAUCCCUCAAGAGGAAGAGGCUCAAGGGGGAGAGGAUGGAGGUAUGGAUUUGAACAUGAUGCCUCAAGAGGAAAAGGAUGAUGGUAUUAAUUUGAAUUGGAUCCCUCAAGACGAAGAGGAUCCAGGGGGAGAGGAUGGAGGUAUGGAUUUGAACAUGAUGCCUCAAGAGGAAGAGGAUGAAGGUAUUAAUUUGAAUUGGAUCCCUCAAGAGGAAGAGGCUCAAGAGGAAGAGGAUGAAGUUAUGAAUUGGAUACUUCAAGAAGAAGAAGAAGGUCAAGAAGGUGUACCAGGUAAACAGAAAAGAAAAGAAUUGUCAAAUAAGGAGAGGCAUGCUGUUUACUUUGCUCUGCUAGUAAUCGAGCUCAGAGAUGGAUCUGUUCAACCAAACGACAAGCUGCUAGUAUCAAUCUUGUUGAACAUACAUGUACGAUCUAUUGAGAGAAUCUGGUCGGAGCCAAAAAGCAGAUUGCCGCGGGCCAAGAAGUAGAUGUCUCCAACAAGAAGAAAGGAAGAGUUGGUCGAAAGAGAAAAGAGCUGGAUCUUGCAAGGACCUCAACAAUCCCAUUGAAUAGAAGAAGGACAAUUCGAUCUCUGGCACGGUCUCUCGGUGUGACCCGCUCAACCCUACAUCGGAGGUUCCAGUUAAAUGAGCUCAACCGCAUCACAAACACAGUCAAGACUUACCUCAAACCAGAGAACAAGAUUGCAAGAUUGAAGUUUUGUAUGUCCAUGCUCGAUGACAAUUGGAUCUCAACUUCCCAAGCUAUAUUCAAGCCAAUGACUAAUAUGGUCCAUAUAGAUGAAAAGUGGUUUGACAUGACAAGACUAAAGAACAACUACUAUGUACUUCCAGGAGAGCCUCCACCUGAGCGCACCGUGACAAACAUUAACAUCAUUGGGAAGGUAAUGUUUCUAACGGUUGUGGCCAGAUCUCGAUACAAUUAUGAUGGAGAGCUAACAUUUGACGGGAAGAUUGGUAUUUGGGCAUUCAUCAAAGAGUCUGAGGCAGUGCGAACGAGUCACAAUAGAGCAAGGGGAACGACAGUGCUGAAACCAGUGAAAGUAACGAGACCUGUGUGUAGAGAAUAUCUGAUCAAUAAGGUUAUACCAGCAAUUCAAGAUAAAUGGCCUGACGAUGAUGAGGGAGCAACAAUAUUCAUCCAACAAGAUAAUGCAAAGCCUCGCGUUCUUCCCAACGAUGAAGCUUUUCGAGAAGCUGUGGAAGAAACUGAUCUCGACAUUAAGUUGAUGCAACAACCUCCAAACAGCCCAGAUUUGAACUGUUUGGACCUCUGCUUCCACAAUUCUCUCCAGUCUCUAACCGAUUGUAGGUCACCUACAAACAUCCAGGAACUGAUACAGGGUGUGGAAGAGGAGUUUGAGAAUUAUGAUCCUCACAAGUUGUACAACAGCUUCAUCACAUUGCAAGCAGUUAUGUUUGAAAUUAUGAAAGAUCAAGGAGGAAACCAAUAUAAGUUGCCCCACUUACACAAGGAACGUCUUCAGAAUGACGGCAGAGAAAUAACAAGUGUAUAUUGUGACAGUCAGCUAGUUGCUGAUACUAGGGCCAUUCUAGAAGAAAUGCAAUAGGAAAAGGAAAGGAAGAAAAGAAGUAGUUGUAGAAAGGAAAAAAAGAAUUGAACUUAUCUGAAUUGUACUCCUUGUGUACUCCUUGUACUCCUUGUGUAUGUCUUGUGCAAUAGGAAAAUGCAAUUGGAAUCAUUUGAGAUCAAUGAUGAUACUGGUUAUCCAACAUUUCCAUCUUGUGUAUCGGAAUUCAUUUUAAUUGUUUGGACUAAUUUGUUUGAGUUUAUCUUGAGUUUAUCCAGCAUUUCCAUCUGUAUUGGAGAUCAAUGAUCUUGUGUAUUGGAAGGGUCAUGUACAUGGGGAUGUUGCCUCAAGUUUUAUUAAAUUUAUUGUUUCAGGUUUCAGUAUACAAAGAUUACUGGGGUAUUGUCUAUAGUUUGGAUAAACCAAAUAAAGUUCACAAAUCUUUAUUCCCUUUGUGCAUAAAGUUUACAAAUCCCAAGCAUAGAGUUGGGAUCAACAAAAAAAUUCUAAGCUUACAAAUCGUGAGUGCUUUCAUCUCAAAAAAAUUCUAAGCUUACAAAUCCAGAACUGGUAGCCUUCCUUAUCUCAAUUCUCUGGUACUGAUUUUUGCUCUCUUUUUUUACCUUCCUUCAACAAGUUGUUCCUUGAACUGCAGGUACUCAGGGACAGUCAACUCCUCGUCGUCUGAAUUCUCAAGUACAGUAGUACUAGUAGCUUGGUUCAGGUUGAUUCUCAAUGAUGCCCUGCACUUGACACUAAAGCCUCCAGCCUGCAGAUAUACAAACGAAAUACAGAUACAUGCAUCAGUCUGAACCUGAAGAAGAAGGAAUGCAACCUGUGAAAUGUGUGAAAUGCUCCUACCAACAGACAAUGGAUGGUUUUUUUGUUUUGAUUGGUCUUGCUCUCGGUUUGAAGAUGAAGUGGUGUUAUUUCGCUUACCGUUGAUGUUCAAGUGUAGGCUUUUGCCUGCCCAGCACCUCUUAACCAUGUCAUCUCCUUGCAGUGCGUCUGGUUCAGGCCGAGCUCCGGGAAGCGGCUGCGCAUCAGCGGCAGCAGCGUGUCCGACGUCCCCAGGUACAUGGACUGGAAGUUGGCCUCCUGUUUCUACACGAGCACCCUGAUGAAGAGGUCUUCGGGGAGAGCUGGGGCGACUUGUUGCCAUCUGGUGAGGACGUCCACGGCGCCCUGGUCGACGGACUUCGUGACGCUGAACAUUGUCACUGUCGGGGGACGGGAACGUGCUUCACCUGCCACGAGAGCACGACGCCGAAGCUCUCGCCGACGCCGUUUCCGACGCAGCCGGAGAAGACGGCGGCGGUAGGUGGAGAAAUCAUUGCUUUUUAUGAGGAAGGGGGAAGCUUGGGGAGGCAGGCGAGUCGCAACUGCGGCGGCGGAGCGGCGGGGGACCGGGGGAGCAGGGGAGUUGCGGCAGGCGGAGCUGCAGCGGGCGAGCGGCAGCUGCGGCGGGGGAGUAGGGCAGCUGCGGCGGCGAGGAGCAGGCAAGCUGUAGCGAGCGUAGAUGGGGCAUCUGUCGGAGGAGGAGGACGAGGAGCGCGGGUUUGGUCGGGAGAAGCUGUAGGGGCUUUUCGCAAAAUUACCGUCGCGACAUUAAUUUCGGGACGGAGGGAGUAGCAUCUAAUCCUUCCAAAUAACACAGAACAUACGUGUUGCACGACCCAAAUGGGGCCCGGUCAAUGACAUCAAUCCCAUAUGUCACUCUCUGCUCCUACUACCUCGCUGUCCAUUACUUCAUGGUAAAUCUGGGGACGAGGAGGACAUGGUCGUCUGUCUGGCUCUUCACCUCCCUCGGGAGCAGUGCACUCGACCACGGUUGGACUCUAACCGGUGGAAAUCCAUGGUGUCCGUUCAAAUGUCGUUUGGAUGCGCAGGGAUGAUUGCUCGAGGCGUGCGGGCGCGGCCUCGACGGACACAGUGAUCGCCGUCCAAUUCUAGUAUGAUGAUGCAACCCCUUUGGUGGUGCCUCAUCCCUACGCCCUCGGGCUCGGAGUCGAAGAUCUGCACCGGCAUGAGUUACGGUCCAUCUUCUAACAUGGAGUGGCAUACCCGUCGUGCAAGGCAAAGGCCGCGUGGCGAGACGUAGAUGCUCUAACCACAUCUAGAUGGGAUCACAUCGAUUUAUGAUAUCCCGACUUCCCGAUCAACGAGUCUCCUCUGAUCAAAACCAUGUUACCCUAAUAUGCAUGUAAAAAAGUUAGGCUAAUAUGCGCGUAAAAAAGUUGAUUAACUGCUGCUAAAAUGGUGUGAUGUGAUAAGCCGGCCCUCCCCAACAAGAAAUAAUAACAACUGCCCCCCUAUCUCUCAUAUCCAAUUUAUAUAUGAGCCGGAUAUAGCGAGGACUGGAUGCGUCCGUCAGGUUGUAUCCGGCUCACGCUGGUUCAUCCCGACCCAUAUAUAUCCGUCUCUAUCUCCAACCUGGACGAAACCCUAGCUACUCCACCCCUCUUCUUAGCUCCGUUCCGAUGAUCUCCAGCCAUCUCCGACAUUACAGGCAGCGUCCGACACGGAGUUGGGAUCUCGCCCCAUGCGGGGAUGAGGAGGACAUGGCCGUCCGGCCGGCACUUCGCCGCCCCCGGAAGGAGUGCGCUCGACCACGGUUGGACUCUAUCCGGCAAAAACCCAUGGUGUCCGUUCAAAUCUCGCUUGGAUCCGCAGGGAUGAUGGCUCGAGGCGUCCGGGCGCGGCCUUGCCGGACGCGGUGACCACCAUAAUAUUCUAACUCCGGGAUGGCGAUGCAACCCCUCCGGUUGCGCAUCAUCCCUAACAUGGAGCGGCGUACGCCGUCGUGCGAGGCAUAGGACGCGGGGGCGAGGUGUAGAUGCUCUAACCGCAUCUGGAUGAGAUCACAUCGAUUGAUGAUGUCCGGAUAAACGAGUCUCCUCAGAUCAAAACCGUGUAAUAAUCCUACAAAAUAAAGACAUCGCCCAACGUGUUCCAGAACGCUCUGAAUGAGACCCCGCGAAUGGCAACAACCAUACCAUUUAUGAGCAAGUUUUGUCAGUCCCCCCACCCGGCCAGCCCGUGACAUCGAUGUAGCAGCUUCCGUUCCUAUUUAACCAGCGUACCAUUUGCACUACAUUGCAUCACAGCAAGCACACACACACACACACUCUCUAGAGAAAUGGCGAUGGCUAGGACGACGGCGCUCCUCCUCGUCGCCGCGGCUCUCCUGGCGGCCUCAUCCAGCGCAUGGGAGGUGAACAUCCAGAUGCCGGCGUCGGCGGCCGUGGACGAUGCUGUGGCACCGCUCAUCCACGCGCUGCGGCCGCUCCUGGGCUCCGGCAAGCAAGCCGGCGUGGCGUGCGAUAGCUGGCGGCUGGGCGUGGAGGCGCACAACGUGCGGGACUGGAAGACGGUGCCCGCCAGCUGCGAGGAUUACGUCGGCCACUACAUGGUCGGCGACCACUACCGCCGGGACUCCAAGGUCGUCAUCGACCAGGCCAUCGCCUACGUCGACUCCCUCAAGCUCGCCGGCAACGGCAAGGAGGUCUGGGUCUUCGACGUCGACGAGACCACCCUCUCCAACCUCCCCUACUACGCCAAGCACGGCUUCGGGUACGU
rnacentral:lncRNA from 1 species